CCCAAUCCUUUUAUCCCAUUCUCUGGUGGCUCGGCAAACACAAACACCGUGUGAGUUCCAUCCAAUUCACCGGUGUUUGACACUUCAACGUGGAGGGGCAUUUUUGGGAACGUUCCACAGUUGGCAUGAGACACUUUGAUGGAGUUAGAUGAAGAGUUGAAAAUGGCAGUGUUGAGUUUGUAGGGUGAAACUGAUAAUUGGGCUAGUGGGCUUUGAGCCAGAGUGUGAGUGAAGGUAGUGUAACUUAAACCGAAUCCAAAUGGAAACACCACUAGACCUUUGUAAAAUCUGUAUGUCCUUCCUGGGUAGUUUCCAGAUGCUCUCAUAGCCAUUAUUGUCAUUGGCAGUUUUGUCACGUAAUCUUGUGGAUACCAUGUCAUUGGUAGUUUACCUCCUAUCAUAAGAGACAUAAACAUAUCUAAUAUUAGUUAACAAGAAAUUAUGAAAUGUGAUUAUGAUAAAAGAAAACAAAUGUGAUUAUGAAGUUACCAAUAUAGAAAAUAAAUCUACUAAAUUUAUUUAAUUAGAUCAAGAACAUACCAGGAUUAGCAGCACCAAAAAUGAUAUCAGCAAUAGCAGCUCCACCCGCUUGACCCGGAUACCCGGCCCAAAUGAUGGCAGCGACACGUGGAUCAUUCUUAGCGAAGGAUACAUCGACGGGUCCACCACUCAUAAGUACUAGAAUGACUGGACCUCUAGAGGCCUGAGCCACACGUGUCACAAGGUUUUGUUGGUAACCCGGUAAGAGCAGCCCGGUUCGAUCUCGUGUCUCUGCCUCUAUCGACUGGUCCAGUCCCAUUACAAGAACUGUUGCGUCUGCUUGACGUGCUGCCGCCUCGGCUGCGCCAAAUCCUUGACUCCCGGCACAAGCCACACCAGCACAACCUUCUUGGUGAAGUGUCUUUGCGUAUCUUGAGAUUCCUUGUAACGGUGACGUAUAGGCGCAUGCUUUCCCUAACAACCCAAAAAUACAUAAACAAAGUUAGUAUUAUAUUAUGUAACUGAUAAUAUUAUGCAAGUUUAGUGGAUUUUCUUGUCUACCUGCAUAGUUUCCAAUCAUGGUCUCAGUGACGUCGGAGUUAGGUCCAAUUACGGCGAUGGUGCGGUGGCGCCUAGGAGAGAGUGGUAGAGACCGGCCAGAGUUUUUGAGAAGAACAAUUCCUUGAUGAGCUGCUUCAAGGGCUAAAUGUUGAUGGGCGGGUGUACAAACAUCUCUAGGCCCAAGAUUGGCGUAUGGUCCAAGAUUUCCAUCAAACAUACCAAGUCUCAUCUGGACCGUUAUGGUAUUAGCAAGUGCUAAAUUUACGUCAUUCUCUGUUAACAAUCCUUUCUUCACCGCUCCUUCUGUAAAUAUCGCCAAAAACGGCCCGCAGUCCAAGUCUAGACCUGCAAUACGACAUGAUGUUUUGUCAUCAAAGUAGUCAACGGUUUGAAACAUCCAUGGAUGGUGGAAAACAACUUACCAGCUUUGAUGGAGGCAGCUGCAGCUUCCUCAGGAGUUGUGGUAUAGUGUUGUUGGUUGAAGAAAACAUCUACAGAGUCACAGUCUGAUACAAUGUACCUGCAUGUAUUUACAUUAAGCUGAUGUAUGAGAAGGGGUCAAAUGAAUAUGAACUGUUGAUUACAAUGACUUUUAAUCUUACCCAUUGAGACGCCAUUGACCACGAAUAGUGUUCUUUAAGAGAUUUUCAUCAGCACAAGUAGGCUUUCCGUUUACUUGAUUGUAAGAGCACAUAACACUUGCGACCUUUCCCUCGUAAACACAUGAUUUGAAUGGCACGUUGUAUGUGUCCUCUAAAUCUUGUUUGGUGACCUAUAUCCAUCAUCAACUUAUUAAUUAAAUAAUUGAACCCAUUAGCUAUCUAAAUUAAUUAGCAACAUCAAUCAUGAGUUUUCUAAUAGACUAUUAUGUUUUGAAUUAUUAUGCUAGAAAACGAAUCUUUUCUUUUGUUAUGAUAUGCUUAGAAGAAGAAAAUAGUUGGUCCACAUGACCAAUAAGGAUAAGAUUCUCCACCACAACUACAGCAUACGAAUACGACUAUGCACAUGCCACAUCACUGAAAGUCACGCUGCCUAUUGGCUUAGCUGGUAUAUAAUGUUAAACCAGUGUUUUGUUUGUCUGACUGUGACACGCAUACAUAUUACUAUAUAAACACAUUUUGCCUACUUUAUACUAAAUUCAGUUCAGUGGAUGAAAAGUCUUUUGCAAGAUAACGAAGUGACGCAUAUUAUACGGAACUAUAAUUAGAAUAGAGAUUGAAACAUAUCUAGAUAUGAGCUAUUUUCUGAAUUUAACGAAUCUGAUCAUGAAAUGAGAUAAAAGACGAUAAGCCUUCCAAGAAAACGAAUCCAGUCACAUCCAAGUCGUUUUUAGAUGGAGGCUGGAGCUUUAAAUAACAGAAAACGAUAUAAAUAGAGCUUUCUAAUUUUAGAACGUAAAUUUACAUUUUUCAGCAAAAAAAAUCAAAUAUUUUGUUUUCAUUUUCAUAUUUUGAAAACACCACAGAAAUUUGAAAAUAUAUUAAAUUAAAUUUUUUAUAAGAUGUAAGAAAAAGAUUGACUCACGAGUUCUCUUCUAUUCCCACAAAAUUUAAUUAGAAUAUCUUACAUUUAAGAAGUAAUUGGCAUUCUUCGACCAACAAAAGAAGUUAAGCAUUUAUAUCUAACCAAUUAUAUAAGCGUUUCAUUAAAGAUUUUUACAUUUUCAGUUGUAAAAAUAUAUAUUUGAAAUUAAACAUGCAAUUAAAACUUCAAAACACGCAUAAAUAUAUAACAUAGAUAGUGUAUAACAGUAUAAGAUUUAUACCUUGGCGUUGACAUGAAAACGAAUAUACAUUUGAAAUUAAACAUGCAGUCAAAACUUCAAAACACACAUAAAUAUGUAAUAUAGAUAGUGUAUAAUAGUAUAAGAUUUAUACCUUGGCGUUGAAAUGAAAACGGUCGACCCCAUUCCAGUUAUCAAGAUCAUAAGCAGUGUAAUGCUUGCAACAUGCGGCGACUUUGAGGCGGUUGCCGGCGCCGUUUCCCUGAAGUCCCCGGACGUAGCUGGCGGCGUAUUUUCCGGCGACAACAGGAUCUUCUCCGGGAGUUUCCUGGCCUCGGCCCCAACGUGGGUCCCUCAGUAUAUUCACAUUUGGGCUCCAAUACGUCAAACCGGCCACGCCUCCAUUGUACAUAGCUCUUGCCUCAUCAGACACCACCUAUUAUUUAUUUUAAAUCAUGGUAAUUCUAAUUAAUAUAUUCCUUUUUAGUAAUCCUAAUUAAGAUAUUCCUACAUACACAUUUGCUUUGUUUUAUUAAGAGAAAUAUAAAUUAUCCGUAUAUACAUGUUUUUUUAUCCGCUGGUUAUAGCUAGCUUGCCCAUCAUGACCAUAUUAAUUAUUAAAUAUCGCAGAUAGUAUAAAAGUAUACUACGCGUAUAAGAUAUAAAACCUUUAUCAAAAGUAAAUUUCUGUUUAAUACAAUAUAUUAUUAUUAUUUUGGUUUAGAAUUUUCUUUCUAACCUUACAUGUCUGACUCACUCAUGUCGCAGUCAGAUAAAAAACAUGUGAAUUAUAAAAUUCAAAGAAAUAAAUAAAAUAUAUAAGUUGACAAAAAAAAUAUAAACAUAGAUCAUCCCGCUCUAUAAAAGUCAGUCUAGUGUACCCGCUAUACGAUGUUGAUGUCGAUGUUGUUUUUUCACGUAAAGAAAUCAUAAAAUUUAGAACUCUCAAUGUUAAAAAAAAAAAAAAAAUUCUCAUUUUCUAAGAUAUAUCUUCUUUAAUUAGCAUUAUAUUUUUUAAUAAGAAAUUAGCAUAGUAUUUCUAAUACUCACCCGUCCGAUCUCUUCCCAUAGAGACUGAUUGAAAGAAGCUGCGGUGGUGAUGACCUGAGGGAAGCUGGUGGCACCGGGAAAUGCACCACCGAACUUAGCACCGGGACCAACGUCAGAAACUCCGUGGAGAGCCUCUGACCACCACUCAUAGCCUCCAAUACCGAGGCGUGGCACAGCGGCGGCAUUGUUGACGAGGAGGCGGAUCUUCUCCUGCAACGUGAGCCGUCCGAUCAAAUCUUGAACCCUCGCGUGGACCGGUACAUUGACGCGACAGAACCGGAGUGUUCGGGUUAACCCGUUUGCCGGGUCGCAUGCAAACAGUGGCCGUAGUGACUCUGAUGAGUGAACCAAGCAUAAGAGGAAUACAAGUACACCUACGACUUUGUUGCCGGUUAAUAAUGAAUUAUUAUUACAAAACAUCUUAUAUAUAUCUGUGUUGUAUAUGUGUGUGUUUAUAUGUAUAACUUGUGAUGUUUGUGUGUUUUUAGUUUCAUGGGAAAGAAAGUGAAUGGGGAUAUUUAUAGAGAAGUUUCUUUGGCAAAAUUGGUGACAAAGGAUAAGCCGUAAGCGACUCUUUGUAACAUGAAUAAGAUAAAAGAUAAAACAAUCAAGUUGGUCAGGUUACGGAAAAGAGAUAUAUAUAUAUAUAUCAGACUUUUCUUUUCUUUUUGGUAUAUAAUUUAAAACAAAAAUUUAUUAGUUCUUUCUGAAAGAAACAUAUUAACUGUUACUUUUUUCUUGUAACUGUAAUAUUUAAUAGUUAAUUGUUCUUCUUUUUCUUAAACUUCAAUUAGUUUUUUCUUUCUUCAGCAUAUAUAAUUUCUACAUAUUCUAAAAAAAUACCACAAUUUCUACGUUUUCUCCGUGACCAUUAUACUAGCUCGAAGUCUAGAACAAUGAUAUGAUAUUAAUGUUAGUAAUAUUCACAUUUUAAUCAAAGAAAAUUAUCAUAGUCAUGUAGAUUAUCAAAUUUCUGAUAGAUAAAUAUCCUCCAAUCAUUUUUUGCACACCAUUAUACAGCUUACAUGUGACUUUAAAUUUAAUGGAGGAAUCUUAAUACUCUUAUUUUAUCAGCCAUUGUCUACCGAAUGACAAAUUAAAAACUAUGUUUUUUUAUAAACUUAUGCAUAACUACAUAACAGUUUAUAUUAUUGAUAGGACUACAAAGUAUGUUUAUUAUUUUUUGAUAAAAUUAUGUAUAACUAUAUAAGAAUUUAUAUUAUUGAUAGGACUACCAUUUAUAUUAUUGGUAAAAACUAUGUUUAACUAUACAAUAAUUUAUAUUAUUGAUGGACUACACAUACAAAAUACUAGUAUCUAUAUAAAAGUACUAACUGUUUAACUAUAUAAUAAUUUAUAAAUUAACAACUAUUUAUAUUAUUGAUAUAUACUCUGCCAAGUUAAUUCCGAAGUAUCUUGGGAUAUACACUAUCAGUGCUUUUUUAAUAAAUUAGUUUGUUAAAAACUUAAAAUAUAUGUAAAGAAUUAUUGUUCCCCGGUGGAAAAGCUAAGGUUGGUAGCACGUAAUAUUAUAUACAUACGAUUUGUUGCAUAGGCAUGGGAACAAAAGCCACACCAACAAGGGCAUGGCCACACGAAACGAUGACCUCGGAAGAAAAUGGUUAAAAUAGAAAGAGAAAUACAAAACAAUGUAUAUAGAACCGUAUACACAUUUAGUUGUAGGUAUGAAAAUUAAAUUUAAAAAUGAAACGUAAGACCUAAAAAGCUGAGAGACACGGAGAGAAGGUUGUCACGGGUGCCGACUCUCCACCAAAUCAUAGUCAUUCAGCAUCUAGUCAUGUUGCCCACACUCUCUUUCCGGGUUGUUAUUGAUUAUUGGUCUCUUUUUCCUUUGAACUUUUUAGGCAUUGAUCAAUAAUAAUAAAAAUUGACUCAUCAACUUAAACUACGCUUGUUUUGUUUCUUGGAUUAUACUUGCGGUGUAGCUAAUACAAGUAGACAACCAACUACGUAGCAGUUGUAAUGAACACAAUAUACAGCAAACUAUUUUUUAACUUGUAAUUGUUUGGGAUUAUUUAAAACGUACUUAUUUUGUUUAUGACUAACUAAAUGUUUAUUCGUUGAUUGACAUGCUAACAAGAUGAGCGUUAACGAUAGAUUGAUGGUUGAUAGCUCAUUCAAUAGUCAACUCAUACUCCAUAUGUUCGUAAAAGUAGAAUGUUUUACAGAAUUUUGAUGUUGCAAUAUAUAAUAUGUUUUCAUUUUUCUAGGUAACUUUUACUUUAUUAAAAACUGUGUAUCCAAUCAUAGUUUAAUAGUCUAUUUUGUAAUUGGUUAAAUACCAUUAAUUUAUAGUUUUAAUGAUACUUUCUAGACAAAAAGUAAUUUUCUUAAUAUGUAUGUUUUUACCUAAAUAUCGUAUAUUUAGGAACAGAGGAAGUAUUAUUUUAAGAAAGUCAUGUUUUUGAAAACAAUGGUUAGAAAACACAUUUAUACACAAAUUAAUCAAUCAAGGUGUAUCAAAUUGUUAGUCCCACUGCAUCAAUAUCGCUGUACAAAGUGGCUCCUUUGAUGAUUAUUGUUGUUGUUGCUUAUAUAACCAAAAUGAUAUGUAUGCAUGCAACCAUUCCCUAUUUAUAAGUACUAGAGAUUUUUUCCGCGCUUCGCGCGGAUUGUUUCUUAUAAAUUUAUUUUAUUUAUAAUAUUAUUUUUUGGUUUUUUUCUUUUACAUUAACUUCUUGUUUUUUCAAUGUUAGUUUUUCUUAAUUUAAAUUUAUAUGUUUAUAGUUUUUCAUUUUUCUUGUUGUAGAUGGAGAAUUAUAUUUUCUAUUGAUGGUUUUUUGUAUGUGAUAUAAACUUUUUGAAAUUUUAAAAUAAUGUUAUAUAUAGUACGAUUAACACAUUAAAGAAGAGAAACAUAUUCAGGCACAUUUUACACAGGUUUUAUAUGCAUAAUUUUAAACAUUAUAUAUGUAUAUAUUAUAAGUUUGAAACAUGUAAAUGCUUUCUAAAGCUAAAUACUUGUUCUGAGUUUACAUAACUUAUCGAAAGUUUUAUCUCUUUUUAAAUUCAAAUCACAGAAAAAAAUAUCAAAAAGUCAGUAUAGAUGGAUNNNNNNNNNNNNNNNNNNNNNNNNNNNNNNNNNNNNNNNNNNNNNNNNNNNNNNNNNNNNNNNNNNNNNNNNNNNNNNNNNNNNNNNNNNNNNNNNNNNNNNNNNNNNNNNNNNNNNNNNNNNNNNNNNNNNNNNNNNNNNNNNNNNNNNNNNNNNNNNNNNNNNNNNNNNNNNNNNNNNNNNNNNNNNNNNNNNNNNNNNNNNNNNNNNNNNNNNNNNNNNNNNNNNNNNNNNNNNNNNNNNNNNNNNNNNNNNNNNNNNNNNNNNNNNNNNNNNNNNNNNNNNNNNNNNNNNNNNNNNNNNNNNNNNNNNNNNNNNNNNNNNNNNNNNNNNNNNNNNNNNNNNNNNNNNNNNNNNNNNNNNNNNAUUUUACCAUUUUAAUUACAUAAUUUUACAUGAGUUUCUUCACCUUUUCCGGUUAUUUUCUCUUUAUUUAUAACUACAAUAUAAAGUUAUAAACUAUAUAUAUUAUAAAUUAAUAAUUUAUUUACCUUUGAAGUCUAACGAUUAAAAAUAGAACAUAAUUCAAUAUAAAUAUAUGAUUCUAUUAAUAAAUUAGUAGUUACAAAUUUGAAAUUUCUAGAAAUAUCAAAAGUUGUAUGUUAGUUAAUUAUCUUCUAAGUGACAUUUAUUUUUAAUCUUUUUGGAUGAGAAUAUUUUGGCUGAGGUGGAUAGUCCCAAAAGCCUUGAAUUUAGUCCCUUUUAUAUAGUAGGAUAUGCAAUCAUUCAACCAAAAUGAGUGUUUUGAAACAUCAUAUAUAUUUAUAUCUCGUACGUAAAUUAUAAGCAGUUUAGUGUAGACACAUAGUUAUAUGUUGUUUUUCUAUAUAAGUUACCCAAUAUUUUAUAAUAAUUUGGACUUGAUACAAACAUAUAGGCUAUAUAAUUCAUUUGUGAACAUAGAGAUAGGAUAUAUAUAAUCUAAAUGGAGACAGAGUAUUGUACUUCUCCUUUUCAUAUAAAUGUACUUACCAUAUUUGUAUAUUAUUUUUUGCUUCAGAACUAUCUUACUCCCAAAAAUUUCGUCUUAUUUUUACCUAAUGAAUCAAAACAACGUGUCGCACACGGUUGGUAAGGUUAAGUGCUACGGGAAGAAAAAAACUGACUUGUGUUUUAAGUUUUAACAACUUCAGAAUAAUAAAUAAUAAAAGGAAUCUGAAAUGGGAUUGGUGGAAUGAUUUUAACUGUGUAGAGUUCACAAGUGGUCUGAGCAACCAAAAAAGCUUCACACACACGUGAUGCCCAACAAAAAAACACUCUCUCGUGAGUCUUCAAGCUUCAUUUUACUUUGGUUAUUUAUUUUCUUCCAGAAGUAGCAGUUAAUACCUUUUGUAUAAAUGUACAAUUUACAAAUCAGGAGUUUGGCUUCUUUCUGAAGGAUAAACAUUACAGCUAUAAAUAUUAAACUUUAUUUUCUGAAAACUAAAAAUGCACAAACACUAACUAGAACUUGACUCCACAUACAUAUAAGAUUAUGGAUUAUAAAUUCCAUUGAAGUUAUAGUUUAACUACGUACCAAAGUUUCUAGUUAAUAAAACCCAUAAACAUGAAAUGAUGGAGAAAUAAAUAAAAAACUAUAUAAAGUACAUAAAGAAAUGCGCCGGUGGGUGAUGAAAGUUAUAAAACUAAUGGACGGCGAUAUAUCAAAUCAUACCUCACGACAGUAAAUGAUUAACUCCUUCAACAGAACAAAAAGAUAACCCAUGAUUUAGCAGUUAAUACAUGUAAAUAACAAAGUAAAUAAAGCUGAGUAUAUUAACCUUUGUGAUAUAUGAAACUUCAGAUGAAAAAAAAAAAAAAAAUUCUGAAAGGUGGAUUACGCAGUCGUCUAGAUAUCUAAAUUUCGUAUACCAGUAAUACCAUCACGAUUAUCUAACAAUAAAAUAAUAUAAAUAAGUAUUUUAUUAUUUUAUAGCAGAUAUAUGUAGGGGCGUAGGGCAUACCGCAUACCUACAUAUUUACCAAAACAAUACGGUUCUAAUCGUGUGUCAAUGUGUGUAUAUAUCUAAGUUGGUUAUUGGGUGAUGUGAGGGGUCGUUUUAAUAUACUUUUAUAAAUUAUAUUAUAAUAUUUUGAAUACUAUAAAAACUAGUAAAAAUAAAUAAAAAGAAUUCAAUAUGAUUCGUCAAGCUAAGUAACGAGAGUUUAUGACCGAGUGGAACACUGGUUCGAUCCACGGGUCGGAUCUGUGUGGCAUGUUUCUGGGCUGUCCAUUCUUAGCUGAGAAUUAUUUGUCUGGUUUGAGCGAAGGCUCGAAUCAGGUGGGUGUUAAAGUGGAAGGGUAAUGUGUCAGGCUGUUUCACAGAGCAGCGACUACUUCUUGCUCUCUGCAGUGGACAGAUAACGGCUCGGCGCCACUCAAACUCGCCAAUAUGGCCUGCUGGUUCGUUUUCAGUUGAACCACCAUUUUAAUAAAAAAAAAUGAUUCGAUGGGUCCGUUUCCAUUAACUUCCUUCCCUGUAAUGAUUAAGACAUUUAUUUGCCAUGUCAGCAUCACAAUCCACGUCAAUUCGUGUUAAUCCACCCCAACAAAUCAUUUUCUUUCAGAAAAUAGUACCCAUGACAGAUUCGUAUCUAUUUCAGCAAACAUCAUUCACUCGUACCCAAGAUAAAUGACUCGUUCAUAUCUCAAAGGAAAAAAGAAUUGACACUUAGAUGAACUAUACACCAUGUAGUCUACACUACAUAUCUAGAUAAAACUACACUAACUAUAUAAUUCACAUAAUAACAUCAUCGUUAUAUAUCAGACUUGUAAUCCGAUAACUUCUAAUUAUGUUAUUGGUUAUAUAAUGUUGCAUUUAAAUGUUUUAUCUAGGUGUUUUUUUUAAUCUUUUGUAUGUGUGUUUGUUAUUGUCUGUUUUAAAAAGUUUGGUUAACGGACUUUUCAUUAGAUGUUGAAUUCUAAAUCUCAUACACUUUUCGGUUAUCGAAAUCAUGUUUUUAGUGAUAGUUCAUGGAUGUCGUUAUGUGAAUUAUAUAAUUCGUAUAGUUUUUGAUAUAUAUACUUUUAACUAGAUAUGUAGCUGUGGUAGUGUAUCAUUUGUGUAGUUAGUAAUCAUUUUUUUUUAAUCAUAAACUUGAGACUGGCCGGAAUAUUAUACCAACAAAAAUAUUUGGAAUUUAUACUAACGAGUCAAAAAAUUGUUGAAUAUAUCUCACCAACCAAUACAUAUAUCGCAACAUAUACAGAAAAAUGUUUGAGGAGACUAAUCUUUCUCAAAUCCGAUAAUUCAUUCAGUGGUUAUAUAUAAAAGUAUUCGAAACUCAAUACGAAUUAUUGAUUGAUGUCUGUUACAUGAUAUGCAACGAGCAAUAUAGAUGACUAGAUUUGGAGGAUAUACAACUCAUCUUUAUCCAUUCACAAACAAUAGCAUUUAUGAUGAAUUAGUAAUAUCUAUAGACAAACUUAUACAACUUGAAAUAAAUUUAUGAUAAUAGUAUAUAUGUGAAUCACAAAAUAACAGAAAAAGAAAAAGAUAGUUUCAGGAUAUAACGGUUUGUGGUUCGCUUGGAGCCACUGCCAACUAACAAUAUCUUUAUCUAUGUCCCUGUUAUUGUAUAGGAUUAAAUUGGCAACGUAACGUGUCUUUGAUGCAAGAAUGCGUCUUCUUGUUUCCAACCUUCCAAUGAUAAUACACAGUUCUAUAUGUCUCUAUCUUAACUACUCAUUCCUUUUUCGGAUUGUGUUACACUCUAUCCACACAACUCAUCGCAUUUAAUCAUAUUAUCUAUAUAUUGAUUUUUAUGUGCAUCAAAAUUGUAUUUUUUUCUAAAAUCUUUGAGAUCAUAUACUAAGUUAUAUAGUUUAUGAAAAAAGUAUACUGAUCGAUAAUUCGAUAUUGACAUUUAUGAUUUCUAUAGAAGGUAGUAUUCCCCGCCCCCCCCCUGAAAACUAUAGUUUAAUAUAACUUUUAAGGAAAAAAUAACUGAAAGACAAAAGAGAUAAGGCUAAGGAUGGGCCCGAGAUAAGCCUAAUUUGAUGACAAAUCUUAAAUUAUGAUCCAAUCCAUAAGACAUCAAAAGAUUUGUCGUUUGGGUAAACAUCGGUUGCAUGGUCAUUGCUUUCAAACACAUCCGGUCCUAAUUAUUUGAUGGUGUCUUCCUUUUACACGAUACGUCAUAAUCUAUAUAUGAUAUUUAUAAGUUCGCAAAAACAAUUCAAAACAAUACAAAUUAAGAAAACACUAUAGUAUUUUGAUGAAGUUUAAGGAAAAGGGGAAUUAAAUCACCAAGAGGAUUAUUCUUGAAGGGUUACUCAUAUGUUAAACAACUAUUUUAUGAUGAUUCAUGGAAGAUUUUAUCAUUUAUAACAGAUAUAUAAAAACCAAAUGAAAAGUAAAAAAUUAUGAAUAAUUUUUUUAGAAAAGGACAGUAGCAUAGUUAAUGAACUACAUCACAAGAUUCACAUAUACAGUAUUAUUUACAAAAUGAAAAAUAGUGUUGAAACUUGCUUCUCAUUUAAUAUAUGGUUUUAUUUCACAGUCAAUUGCGGAAAACACUAAUGGGCUUAAUUUAAAGCGGGCUCCAUUACAAAAGCCUAUAUACCCAUUAACUAGAAAAGGCCUGUUGGGUAUAGAGAGAAGUCUUUUUUAUAGUUUGGUGAUCCACAUUAAUUGUAUUUUAAUCAAAUUAUUUAACUUAAUUAAUCUAGGUUUGUUUGGGGUUUGUUUAGCACUAAUCAAUCUAUCAUGAUAUAUUCCGUUUUUUCCUUAUAUACCUUAAGGAUAGUUGAUAACUUGAUAUAUAAGGAUUUAAAAUCGAUGCUUAAUAUUUCUGCUUAAUUUUGUUUGUUUUUCCCACUUGGUCUUCACUGCGUUAGGAAGAAGCUUGUGCGCAGGAACGGAACAAUAAUAGACGAAAAAAAAAAGAAAACACAAUCGAUUCCAUACAAUUACAAGUGAGGAGAGAGAAACUAGAGAGAGAAGAAAUAUCAAUAAGCUUUCUUUGGUCAACGUUUAGUCAACAGGCCGUUACAAGUUGCUGUUGAUUUUCUCUCUCGCUCGUCACCUCCUCAACAAACUUCAUCUCCCGCUUCUCCUCUACUCCCUCUUAUACUCUCAAGAACCCUUAAUUUCGCCACCGUACUGACUUCACCGUCUCGAUUCGAGAUCUACGGCGGGGGGAAAAGGUAGCUAUGGCCGCCCCGGGAGACGCGCAAUCCAACACUAGUUCGACGCAGGUGUGCUCUCUUUCUUUUCGUUCGUUAGCCUGUGCGGGAGAGAUAACUGAGAAAAUGAGAAUCUGCGUGUGUGCUCGUAGAUUCGUGACUAGCUACUACGUAUCUUGGUUCUUCGAUUCUUAGUUGUUUCGUAGUUACGCAGCGAUUGCGAUUUGGUUCGUAUCGUAGUUACGCAGCGACUGCGAUUCUGAAUCUGAGAAUCUCGAAGAUGAUAUUCACUGGAUUUGCGUUCUGUUUGACUAUAACUGAUAGCAAAUGUUCAGUCUAUAAGUUUCAUGAGCUCACAUUUACAGUACUUGUCGCUAUUGUUCAGAGAGUGAAGGUUUAUUGCUUGGACAAAGAUGGUAAAUGGGAUGAUCGAGGAACUGGACUCGUCAGUUUGGACUAUGUGGAGGUUUCUUCUAUAUCUCCCCUGCUCUCAGGAUUCUACAGUGUAGAGACUUGUAGCUUAAUGGAAAUGAUUCACAAUGCAGAGAUCGGAAGAACACUGAGCUGAGGGAGCUUCCUGAUGUCGAUAUUUCUAAUCUUCCCCAAAUACUCGAGGUUCUUAGAUAAUACUCAGAUUUCUUUUUAUUGAUAACUGCAAGGAGUUGAGACUUUAUUUAUUUUUCCCUUGAUUAUCUUCGGAUGCCUGCCUACUGAGGUUUUGAAUUUCUUUUGAUAAUUUGCAUCUCCCUGACCUACAAUUGUAUGUUAUCAUCUUUAACUAUACCGUCAGUGUGUGUUCUCUAGCUGUGGGAGUUUUCUUGUGUUAAGCAGUGCCAUGAAUGCCCUGAAUUGGCAUUCUAGGUCUUUACUUUGUCGAUAGUUUCAAGUAUUUUGUUUCCGUCUUCCCUGCAGAUUGUUACUGAAAGUGGCAUUAAAGAUCAAAUGCGAUUAGCCGGACUUAUGUUGAAGGAUGUAAGUAUUUUGUGCCUUCCAUAGCCCUACUUCUUUUGGUAAGAUAUUUUGCUUAACCUGCUUUCUUUCCUGAUAUUCGAUGCAGGUUAAGUUCUUUCACAAUUUGAUGAAUGUAUUUGAAAUGUGUGAGGACUUGGAAAAACUUGAUUGCCUUCACAUGAUGUUCAACAUUGUCAAGGGCAUCAGUUAGUAUUCUUAUACACUUUGUUCUAUAUUUUCUGAAAACUACAUUUUCUUAUAUGUAAAAAGACAUUUUACCUCAUUUUGAUUUAAAUUAAAAAAAAGAACCAAAUUUAAAUCAAAAUGAUUUAUGUGUGUUUUAGGGUUCGUGUGUAUUUUUGUUGCUCAUGUUUAAAAAUUUAUUAAAAUCUAUAUAUAACUUAGUGAAUCAUAAAGACUUAAAUCAUAUAAGUUAUAAACCAAAAUAUGCAUACAUCCUUAUUUAAGUGAAUUAUGUAGAUCAGGUGCGUCAUAUACAUUUUUUUAAUAAUGUUCCCUUGACUAAAAUUGUUAUACUUUAUACAUAUGAUGGUACAUGAAAGAAGAACUUUAUGCAGCGCUCUUCACGGAUGUUUGAUGAAUUCAGGGACCAAUAUUCCUACGGAAUGCUGAUUUGAUAAAUUUUGUACUCUUCGUUUUUGCAACUUAAAAUUUGGAUCUUAUGUUGCAAGGAGAAGGUAAUAUAUAAAUAAUGCGUAGUAUAGAAAAGUAUAUGACACGAUUACAAAAGCAUAUUACAAUAGCUUUCAAUUAUCUGAACGGAUAAUUUAGGCAUUUUAUAUAUACAGAAGGGUGGUUUUCAAAAAAAUUAAAUAGUAGUGUAGUUUUCAAAUUUGAAUCUCAUAUAAAUGUAUUUUCCCAAAUUUUCUCUAGAAACAAUCAAGUUGGUCAGGUUACGGAAAAGAGAUUUUACAUCUCAGACUUUUCUUUUAUUAUUGGUAAAAUAAUAUAAAAAUAAAUAUUUAAUGGUUUGUUAUCGUUCUUUUUAAAGCAUCAAUUCAUUAGUUUUUUCUGUCUUCAACAUAAUUUCUACGCUUACUCCGUGACCAUAUACUAGCUAGAACAAUACUCGAUUUGAUUAUAGAAUUGUAAUUUCAUAAUAUCCCACUAUAAUGUCAUCGUAGCUUAAAGAUAUCACAUUCGUCAGAAAGAACAUGCUCGAUUGCAAAUAAAAAUUUAUGGCUGAAGUUCAUAUAUAUACACAUAAACCGAAAAUUAUUUGAUUAUUUACUUAAUGUUUUACUUUUAUUAUUAAAAAAGAAAACAAAUUAUGUAAAUGAAGUUGCCUCUAGAACCUGAAGGUUUAAUUUUUUUUUCCUGAUUUGUUUUAAUCUUCUAUCUGAACAUCCACUGUAUGUAUGUACAGUCAUGUCCAUGCAUGCUUGGAUCCGUCUGCCACCGCAGUCAAGCUAUUAGUUACUGGCUUACUGCUACAGCCAAUACAACACUAUUAUCGCUAAGGCAAUGGUAUAUUGGUAUAUCGAAACUCAUAGUAUUUUCACAUCUUUGUAAAAUUUACGACAUAUGUAUACCAGGUUUAUUUUUAUUUUUUGGAUUAAAAUACCAGGUUUAUUUACUACCAAAAUGCUAAUAGAUCACUUUCAUCGUUAUCUUCUUCUUCUUUUUUUAAAGAUAAUUUUCAUCGUUACCGCACAUUUAUUCCUACCUGCAGUGAUUUUAUUAUGGUUAGUGGACAAAUACGUAGUAAGUGCAUCAUUUAGACUAUGAUUCUUAUGUUAGUAAAAUUCACGUUUUAAUCAAAGAAUACUGUCAUUGUCAUGUACUCAUGUGGUUUAUUUAAAUUCUAAGGAUAAAUAUCCUCCAGUAACCACUUUUUGCAGACCAUUAUAAAUCUUACAAGUUACAAAUGACUUUAAAUUCAAUACUCUUAUUUUAUCAGCCAUUUUCCACCGAAUAACAAAUUGAAAAAUAUGUAUAUUAUUGAUCGGACUACACAUACAAACUUCUCUUUCCGGAUUGUCACGGGUGUCUGUCUACUCUCCACCAAAUAAUAGUCAUUGAGCAUCUAGUCAGGUUGCCCACACUUCUCUUUCCGGAUUGUUAUUGAUUAUUGGUCUCUUUACUUCAACUUUUCUUUGAACAUUUUAGACAUUGGUCAAUAUAUAAUAAUAAUAAUUGACCCACCAACUUGAACUACGCUUGUUUUGUUUCUUGGAUUAUAUUAUACUUACGGUCUAGCUAAUACAACCAACUAUGUACUGAUCUUUUGAUGAACACAAUAUACAAGAAACUAUUUUCUAACUUGUAAUUGUUUUGGAUUAUUUAGACGUAAUUGUUUUUGAUUAACUAAGGAUGUAUUCUUGAAGAAGAAGUAGCAUUCGUUGAUUGACAUGCAGCAACAUGAGCGUUAAAGAUAAAUUGAUAGUUCAUUCUAUAGCCGAUUCAUUUUAUCUUAAGAAAAUCAUGUUUCAGAAAAGAGAAGUUUAAAAUGAUGAUUUAUACACAAGUUUUAAUCAAAGGUGUACCAAAUUGUUGUUCCUAUUGAUCCCUGCAAAAAAAAAAUCGUUAUAGUUUAUUUGCAUUUACAAAUACAUAACCAAAAUGACAUAUAUGCAAUCAUUCAAUUAAAAUGAGUUUUUUCUUUCUUUCAAAACAGCAUAUUAUCUUGUUCUCGUAUAUAAACAUAUGAAUUGCCUAAUGUAACUAAAGUAUAUAUGAAAAUUUUGAAUAGUAAAAACUAAUAAAAAUUUGUGUAUUCUCUAUCAUAUUUGUUUAAUUUUAAAUCAGCAAAAUAAAUUAAACAACUAUAUUUACUAUAAAAUAAAAAUUUAAAAUUUUCUUUUUAUGUUAUAUUUUGGUUUUCUUAAACGAUUAUAAAUUACUAAAAUUAUAAAUUAUUAAAAUUAUAAAUUACUAAAACCAUUAAUCCCACAAUAAAUUUUUUGUUAUCAGUGAUUAAUUUUUUUUUAUAAACACAAAUGAUCAAAAACUAUGUGAGUAGAAAACAUCAUUUAAUAUAUAUAUAUAUAUAUCAAUUUUAAAAUACAAUAUUUAUACGUUACUAUUAUUUAAAUUUAAUAUAUAUAUAUAUAUAUAUAAAUUUUAAAAUACAAUAUGUAUAUGUUACUUUUUGAGCUCUUCCCAAAAAUGGCAACGGGACAACUGUUUUCUCGGACCACACAAGCUCUGUUCUACAACUAUAAGCAGCUCCAUGUUUAACGAAUGCUCGAUUUCUGAUUUCCUCUGUGGUACAUUGACAAACUUUACAGUGGUUUGGUUUGGAUCAAUAUGAGUUUUUGAGAUGAUUUGCUUGUACAGGACGUGAAACGCCUUCUGUUGCUGGAAUCAUCAACCCUGGCUCUGAAGGGUUUCAGAAGCUCUUCUUCGGACAGGAGGAGAUCGCUAUCCCUGUCCAUGCCGCGUAAGUAUUAUAUAGAAUCUGAGAGAAACUUUACUAUAUGUUUUUGAACUUGUUUUUUAUGAAUGGGAAGCUGAACAAAAAGUGGUUCGCCAGCUUGUGUGGAGCAUCCACUCCCAAAUUGCCAUUCACCAAAACAAAAUAAUUGUGUGAGUACAACUAUCAAAAUAAUAAUAUAAAAUUCUGAUCCACAAACAGUCUAAUUUAAAGAGCAAAUAUGAAGAUCCGCUAGGAACAGUAUAAACACUCCUCAUUUGAAGUGUUUUGUGCGGUCUAUCUAUAUUUUUUGUUUUAUUUAUAUUCUAAAAUAUUAUAAAAUUCUAGUUGUGUAAGAAUUUUGUUAUAUAAGCUAAAUCUAUUACAUAAUUUUAUGUUUUAUAUUAAGUUCAUUAUAUUAUUUUCUAUGAUAUUUUAUUUAUUUGAUUUAAAAGUUUUAUAUGUCGGUUCACUAGGGACGGACAACCGACAUGUGGGCCGAUAACGUAGGCUGCUAACAUAUAACUAGUCUGGAUCCACUUCGAUGGGAGCCAUGAUUUCUCUGUAUAAUUUAAUUUUUUUUUUUAAUUAUGUAAAAUUGCAAAUUUAAAUUAGUUUCAGUCAUAUAAGUGUCGAAAAAAUCAGUCUUACACAAAAUAAGAACUUAUAUAAUAUAUUAAAUAUUCGUAUUCAAAAUUCUAUUCUAAUUUAUGUUUUUAUUUUUAAUUCUAAAAUCUACGUGUACGAAACCGGCAAACUUUUGAAUAAUUUAGAUGGUACCCAAACCUAAAUUGAAACACGGAAAUAUCCAAACAAAAAUUUAUUAAUAUACGAAUGAAAUUUAAAUCUCUAACCUGGAAACUUGAAAUUCGAGUAGAACAGAACCGAAUCUAAAUGGGUAUCCAAACGCCCACUCUAAUUAUAUUACUUUAUCAAAAACAUAAUUAUUUUUAAUUCAUUUAAAGUUAGAUAUAAAUUUUAUUUUACAACUCAAUCUAUAUAUAUAUAUAUAUGUGUGUGUGUGUGUGUGUUUAAAAUAAUUUGUAUUAUAUUUUGAAUAAAAUUUAUAUAACUUAUUUUUUUAAAAUAAAUACUUUGAAUUAUAAAAUUACAUAAUAAUAUAAAUUAUUUUAAAUAUAUACAGUAUUUUGAACCAUUUUUUAUCCACUUUCACCAUUCAUACAUAUGUUUUAGACCGCUAGAUCCGCUUGAUCCACUCUUGUACUGCUAGAUCUGCUCGAUCCGCUCUUGUUUCACUCGAUCCGCUUGAUCCGCUAGAUACGCAACGCUAGAUCCGCUCUUUCCAUUCAAAGCCUUUGUUUAUACAACAGCAUUGAGGCAGCCUGUGUUGCUCUAAAAACCGCGGAUGUAUUCAUCAACUUCGCAUCUUUUAGGAGGUUUGUAUUAACAAAACUUACCAUUGUCUCUUUGUGAUACUUUUGUUGAUCGGUUCGGAUUUUGGUUAGUUUGGUUCAGAAUUUUGGUUAACUUAUUGCUCGGUUUAAGUUUGAAGUUUUAAUUUUAGAACUUAUUUUAGAAUUUUUAGAAUUUUUUAAUUUUUAUUUUCUUUUUUAAAUUUGACAUUUUAAUUUUAGAUCUUAUUUUAUUUUCAAGUUUGAAAUUUUAAUUUUAAUUUUUUUUGAAUUUUUUAGAUUUUUUUUUUUUUUUUUUUUUACAAUUUUUUUCUAAUCUCAUUCGAUUUUUUUGUAUUAUUAUUUUUUUAUUUAAAAAAAAAGAAACCGACACGUUAUUAUUUUAACCUAUAAAAUAAAUAGUACCGGUCGUAUAUGAAAAAAAAACAUCUCUAAAGAUUUAUUAUGAUAAAAAUGCAACUUUGAAGAUUUAAAGUGAUAGUCAAAAAACUUCAAUAUUUAAAGUGCUAGAAAAUUACACUUUCGGUGUUUAAAAUGUGAUUUUCUCUAUCUAAAUUGGUUAUUGGGUGACGUGAGUGGCUGUUUUUCAUACUUUUAUCAAUUAUAUUAUAAUGUUUUGAAUACUAUAAAAACUAAGAAAAUAAAAUAAAAUAGAAUUCAUAUGAUUCGAUGGGUCUGUUUCUGUUAAAUUCCUUCUCUGUAAUCGGUGUUUUGAAACUCGACCCGAACCCGCGGUUGAACCGGUAAAUCCGGUGAUCCAGAAAAAAUCUGGUUUGGGUUUUGUGAAAAACCCAAAAUUUAGAAACCCGCAAAAAACUACUCAAACUCAGAACUUGAUACCGGUUGAACCACCGAUUAAAUCAAUAAAUAACUUUUACUUUUUUUUUUUUAGUUUUUAGAUAAAAAGUUAGGUUUUCCUUUUUCAGUUUUAUAUUUUUAUUAGAUUUUCAUGAAGAUUUCAUUAUGCCACCAGAAAAAAAAUGAAAUGAACAAUGAUAGAGAGAAUCAAAAUUAGCUGAUAUGAUUUGAUGUUAAUUUAUUUCUGUUAUUGACAAUUUAUUACAAUGAUCUUUUAUUUUUGGUUUAUUUUGAAUUUGAAGUUUAUUUAUCAUUCACAUUAGACAUUAAUAUUUUCAAUCUCAAGUUCCAACUUUUUAAAAUUUUCAUCUCUAUUUUGAUUUUCUUCAUUCAAAAUAUAUUUGUUUUCUUUUAAAAGCUUAAAGUAUGAAUGAUUAUGUUCACUUAUUUAAAUAUUUAUGAAUAUUAUAUCUUGAUUUUUUAGAUGUCAUAACUCUUAUUUUGUUACAAAAAUUUUUAAAUAGUCUAAAUAAUUUUUUGAUAUCUUUUUAUGUCAAAGGAAAAUAAAAAUAUAAAAACUAAAAUUUAGUAAUUUUAAAUACUUUUUAAACAUAAAAUAUAUACAUAUCCAAACUAUUAUUUUAUGUUUUAAAAACAUUUAAAAAAUAUUAAACUUUAGUUUUUAUAUAUUUAUAAGUAAAAUAUUAUUAUAUAAUAAAAUUAAUUUAUUUAUUAAUCUGCAGUUCAUCCGCAGUCGAUCCAGUGAUCCGGUAAGUCGUUCGGUGGGGGUUUAAAAACAUUGUCUGUAAUUGAUUAUGACAUUUAUUUGCCAUGUCAGUAUCGCAAUCCACGUCAAUUCGUGCUAAUCGACCCAAACAAAUCAUUUUCGUUCAGAAAAUAGUACCCAAGACGGAUUCGUAUCUAGUUCAUUUUUUUUUUUGGUAAAAUUUUUAAAAAAGGUGUUUUCACCUCUUUGCCGGGAACCCAAGCAAUGUAAAUAAUCCUUCCCAGCGCGAAUGACUCUCGUUUAUAUCUUAAAGUUUCAGACUGGCCAGAAUAUUAUAUGAAGACUUGUACUAACGAGUAAAAAACAUUUUGAAUAGAUCUAACCACACAAUACAUAUAUGGCCAUAUAUAAAACUAUGUUUUGAAGAGGCUAAUCUUUCUCAAAUUUGAUAAUUCAAUCGGUGGUUACACAUAAAAGUUAAUAUUUCGAAACUCAACAUGACUUUUUGAUUGAUGCACGUUACAUGAUAUGCAGCGAUAUAGAUGACUAGAUGUGGUUGAUAUAGAGUUCAUCUUUAUCCAUACAAAAACAAUAGCAUUGAUGAAUGAGUAAUAUCUAUAUAUCUGAAAUAAAUUUAAGAUAUUAUAUAUGUGAAUUACAAAAUAACGAAAAUGAAAAAGAUAGUUUCAGGAUAAAAAGGUUUGUGGUUUGCUUGGAGCCACCGAGCCACUGCCAACUAACAAUAUCUGUUUAUAUACAUUCCCCUGUUCAUAUGCUCGUAUAUGCAUGCACAUCUCUUCAUAUAAAGCCAUUCUCACACGUAUUAUUGUAUAGGAUUAAUGUGUUGAUUAAAUUGGCAACGUAGCGUGUCUUUGAUGCAAGAAUGCGUCUACUUGUUUCCAACCUUCCAAUGAUAUUACACUCUAUCCACACAACUCAUCGCAUUUAAUCAUACUAUCUAUAUAUUUUACAAGCAUCAAAAUUGUAGUUUUUUUUUCUAAAAUCUUUGAGCUCAUAUACUAAGUUAUAGUUAUAAAACGAGUAUACUGAUCGGUGUUGCCAUUGCCAUUUGUGCUUUAUCUAUAGAAGUUUAAUACAGUUGUUUAGGAAAAAAUAAUUGUAAGGCUGGACCAAAUAAGCCUAAUUUGAUGACGAAACGUAAAUUAUGAUCCUAUCCAUAAGCCAUCAAAAAGACCUACAUGAUAUAGUGCUUCUUUAUUCUGUUUGCUUAAUACUUAAUCAAUAGCGCAAUCUUAUAAACAUUUGAAAGAACUAACCUGGAGGAUUUUAGUAAAACAAAAAUGACUAUAAUCGUUCAAAAGCCAGAGUUGCAUAUAAGAUACAGAUAUAUCACAAUAAAAAUUUACAUGUUGGAGAAUUUAGAGAAAUAGGUCUGGUCAUCAACUUGGAUGAAUUUAGCCUCGUUUAACUAUUGGAUUACGUCUCACUUUCACAAAGUUGCUCGUCUAUUAUUUGUGUCAUGAAAAUAUUAACAAAAAUAUUUGCAUUAACAAAAGAAAUCUAAUCUAUUAGGCUACAUGAGCUCAUAACGAAAAAGACAACGACCAAAUCCCAAAUAGAACCAUGGUUCCUUAACAUUACGUUCAUAUAACAAAAAGAAAACAAAUAUCAUGAUUAUUCAACAAGUGAUAGCAUAAGGAAAACAUAAACAUGGUUUUCAGCGAAGUUUUAAGUAAAUCUUAAAGGAGGGUGAUGACACAACAUGUCAUAAAUAAAAUUUUGGUUCAUCAUAUGGAGCUAAUCAAAUGUCCUUCCAAUGCAUAUUUCAACAAUAAAAGGCAUUUUGACAAAAAAGCGAUCAUAUAGAUGAACCACAUCGUCUUUCUCCAUACGUUCCAAUAUCAACCCGGCUACAUUAUCACCAUUUAUGCCACUGCUUAAUAAACACAAAAUUAGUAUAAAUUUUAUCAUUAACUUUUAUAUGAAUAAGAAGUAAUUAAGGUGGAAAAUUUACCUGUCAUCAUCAACCAAGUCAUAAGACAAACCAGACUCAUCUGGGAAAUUAACUACACUCCUGAAACUUUUAAAAGUUUGAUCAUCAACACCAGCCUGCAAACAACGUCAAGAUAGAAAUUAGUAAGGUUCAACAAUAAAAAAAUACUUAAAUUUCAAAUAAAAAUUACCAAAUAGACAGGAAUGGUUGCAACAAAGUCAUAUAGCUUUAUCAGGAGAUCUUUAGGCUUAUGGUCAGGAGACACAACGUAGAUAUAGAAUCCUAGGUUAUAUAUAUCACAACCUACUCGAUAACCAAGCCCCUGUGUUAGCCUGUAGAAAACAUAGUAACCAUAGCCUUUAAGAGAAGCUUAGCAAACCCGAAAAUCAAAAAAAUAGACACAAAUCAGUAAAUUUACCUCAGAUCGAAAAAUACUUUCUCAGUAACCAUAACCUUUAGAAGAUGUAAAAAUACCGUCACGUUUUCAGCAUUGUAGACUUCGGACUUUUCAUCACACACCAUUUGGAAAUAAACCUGUUGACACACAAUUCAUAAGUAAAAUAAUAACAAAAUCAAACAAACAUAGGAAUUUAUUUUACCUUGGCCAAGCAAUUUGUUUCUGUCUCUGUUUUUGGGUUGGCAAAGACUUGAUAAGAGUAAUCCUGACGUAACACUCUCUUAGUCUGAAAUACCCUUUGGAUUUUAAAAUCUCCAUGUUAGAAUCGGGUUUAUUAUGGGCUUCCAACUUAAAACCAAUUGGCAAUUAGUGGAUUGGCCCUAACCCUUUAUAUAUUACUUAAUGUCCCAUUGAUUUUCCAAUGUGGGAUACAUAUCCCUUAAUACCCCUCCUCAGAAACUUUUUAAGACAGUUAUACUCGGUCGAGCGAGUCAAUUACGACCUAUAUACCCGGUCGGGUAGGGUUAAUAUUAAUUAGGGGUUUAACUUAUUAGGAUCUGGGAUCUGAGCUAAGAUCUUACCAAAAUUUCUUCUAAAUCAAACUCAUCAACGUUUGAUCUAAUUCUUCUUCUACUUCUAAAUUCAUCGUUCUAGAUGUCUAUUACUACUACUCCUACUUCCGCAACUACAGGCGUUCCUCCGGAGCUAUCUCCUUAUCACCUCCAUCCAUCCUAUAACCCCGGGGUUCUUAUCACAUCUGUUCUUCUCACUCAUGAAAAUUACCAGGAGUGGUCGACAGAGCUUCGGAAUUCUUUACAAGCUAAGCAGAAACUUGGCUUUAUUGAUGGAACAAUAUCAAAACCAUCGGAGGAUAGUCCUGAUUUAGCACGGUGGCUGGCAGCAAAUUCAAUGAUCGUCGGAUGGAUUCGUACGUCGAUUGAUUCAAAAGUUCGUUCGACGGUGGCACACGUACCGGAUGCUCAUAAACUAUGGGAAUCUUUGAGACUGCGUUUCUCUGUCAAGAAUGGGACUAGAGUUCAUCAACUCCAGGAUGCUAUUACUAACUGCAAGCAGGAUGGACAAUCAGUUCUGGAAUACUACGGCAGGCUCACGAAACUAUGGGAGGAACUCCAGAAUCUCAAAACCAUACGUACGUGUACCUGUGCUGCGGCUGCUGAUAUUGAAAAAGACAAAGAAGAUGCUCGAGUUCACAAGUUCCUCUUCGGGCUAGAUGACUCACGCUUUAUGUCUAUUAGGUCACGGAUCACAGACGAGGAUCCUUUACCUGAUCUUAACCUAGUCUACUCCAGAGUAGUUCGUGAGGAGCAGAACAUGAUCACAACUCGAUCUACAGAACAACGAACCGAUGCUUUAGGCUUCUCUGCUAAAAACGAGACCUCAAAGGAUCUGUCGUUGUCGGUCAAUAACUCUACACCUUCGCGCUCUAGGGAUCCAGCUCGUACGUGCACACAUUGUGGCAGGCCAGGGCAUGAUAUUUCUGAGUGCUUUCUAGUACAUGGGUUUCCCGAAUGGUAUCUUGAGAGACAAAACAACUCUACCUCGGGUACUCGUGGUGGACGUGGAGGACGUUCCAACUCAAACAGAGGCCGUGGCGGACGCGGUCGAGCAAAUGCAACUCAUGCAUCAACUUCUAUCAAUGCUGAUCAGAUUGCUUCUUUGAUCACGCUUCUACAAAACCAGCAGAGCAACCUCUCGUCCGAACGUUUGUCUGGUAAAACUACACUCACUGACGUUAUUAUUGACACAGGUGCAUCGCACCACAUGACCGGCGAUCUCGCCCUACUACAUGACGUACAUGACAUAGCUACUUCAUCAGUUCUAUGCCCUAAUGGUCGUAACUCUCCGGCCACUAAACAGGGAACUUUGCGACUUAGCAAAGAUUACAUGUUGCAUGAUGUCCUAUACGUGCCCGACUUUCAUUGCACUCUCAUCAGUGUUUCCAAAUUAUUAAAGCAAACGGGGUGUAUCGCGAUAUUUACUGAUACAUUAUGUGUUUUACAGGACCGUUUUUCGAGGACUCUGAUUGGAGCAGGUGAAGAACGUGAGGGGGUGUACUACUUUACGGGAGUCAAAGUUGCACGAGUUCAUGGGGCUACAAAGUCUUCAGAUUCUUCAGUUCUGUGGCAUCGUCGUCUUGGGCAUCCGUCAUACAAAAUUCUAUCUUCAUUACCGGCUUUUAAAUCCCUUAUUAUAGAUUUUUCUGAUUCUAGUCAAUGUGAUAUUUGUUUUCAAGCUAAGCAAACUCGACGGGUUUUUCCCGAUAGCCUUAAUAAAGCUUCUGCACCGUUUGAACUUAUUCAUUGUGAUGUUUGGGGACCAUAUCGCACACCAGCAUCAUGUGGUGCCGUAUACUUUCUUACCAUCGUUGAUGAUUUCUCUCGCGCAGUAUGGACGUAUUUGAUGCUUGAAAAAUCAGAAGUUGCUACUUUACUUAAGAACUUUUGUGCCAUGUCGGAAAGGCAAUUCGGACGUCCCGUUCGAAUGAUUCGCACGGAUAAUGGAACAGAGUUUACAGUCCUUCGGAAAUAUUUUCAGGAGCAGGGGAUUGUACAUCAAACUUCUUGCAUUGAUACACCACAACAAAAUGCUCGUGUGGAACGGAAACACAGGCAUAUACUUAAUGUGGCUCGUGCUUGCCUCUUCCAAGCACACCUUCCUUCCACGUUUUGGGGAGAAAGUAUUUUAGCAGCUGCUCAUCUUAUUAACCGUACUCCUACAAAAGUUUUAGAUGGCAAAACGCCAUAUGAAGUGCUUCACGGUAAACCUCCAGUCUUUGAUCAACUUCGCGUUUUUGGAUGUCUUGCAUAUGCACAUAGGCGUGCGCGAGAUAAAGAUAAAUUUGGGGCUAGGAGUCGCAAGUGUUUGUUUGUUGGUUACCCCUUUGGCAAGAAAGCAUGGAGACUCUAUGAUCCAGAAACAAAUGAAUUCUUCAUAAGCCGCGAUGUUCUUUUCUUCGAAGACAAGUUUCCAGGGCUUCCUGAUACAGAGUAUGUUACACCACCAGUUAUGCAAGAGGACGUAAUAGACGAUUGGCUACUCCCGACGGUGACAUCUAGGGGGAGCACGCCAGCAUCGCCACCUAUUCCCUCUCUUGUGCCAACAGACUCGUCCAUUCCAUCUACAACAACUCAAAAUCCUACAAACGCUUCUCCUACUACUGAGACUCUACCUUCAUCGACGUCUCCUACUUCUAUACCUUCUGAUCCACUGCCUUUGUCUCCAACUACAUCUCCGACUCAGGCUGUGUUACCUACGACAUCAACGUCAGAAUCAGAACAGCCUGACCACACUAAAUCUCCAGGUCUAUUGGAAGUACUUGGUCGUGGUCAUCGUGCUAAAAAGCCGUCCAUUCUACUCAAAAAUUUUGUUGCUCAUACUACAGAAUCUACAAACCCCUCUCACGUUCUAUCUUCUUCUGAUCAGAGUUCUCUUCCACCGGUCUCAGGUAAGACACUGUAUCCUAUCGCUGACUACUUGUCUUCCUCUGUUUUUUCAGAGAAACAUCAGGCUUUUCUUGCUCAGAUCACCUCGGAUUAUGUUCCUGCAACCUUUAAUGAAGCUAUCCUUGAUGAACGCUUCAAAGGUGCUAUGAAAACCGAGGUCACUGCCUUAGAAGACAAUCAUACUUGGGACGUCACUACUUUACCCCCGGGGAAGAAGGCCAUUAGCUGCCAAUGGCUUUAUUCCAACAAAUAUCGAGCUGAUGGUACAAUAGAGCGACCCAAAGCUCGACUGGUGGCGCAUGGAAAUAGACAAAAGGAAGGUCGAGACUACAAAGAUACAUUUGCUCCUGUCGCAAAGAUGAAUACUGUUCGUUUUCUACUUAAGUUAGCAGCAGCAAAGCGUUGGGAGGUACAUCAGAUGGAUGUUCACAAUGCAUUUUUACAUGGGGACUUAGAGGAGGAAAUCUACAUGGAAUUACCACCAGGCUUCCGAUCUUCUGAUCCAUCCAAAGUCUGCAGGCUUCGCAAAUCACUCUAUGGUUUGAAACAAUCUCCUAGGUGUUGGUUUUCAAAGCUCAGUACUACACUUCUUGCCUUUGGUUUUACUCAGAGUUAUGAAGACUAUUCUCUUUUCUCACUUAUCCAAGGAAAUAUAUGUCUUCACAUACUCGUCUAUGUCGAUGACUUCAUUAUUGCAGGCAACGAUAUUUCUACGAUUCAGCGGUUUAAAACCUACCUUAACAAGCACUUCAAGAUGAAAGAUUUGGGAAAAAUCAAGUACUUCCUUGGUCUCGAAGUUGCUAGAGGACCUGAGGGUAUUUUUGUGUCACAGAGAAAAUAUGCUUUAGACAUUGUUGCAGAAUGUGGUCUCCUCGGUGCUAAACCAUCUCCUGUCCCUACGGAGCUUAAUCACAAGCUUCCAUUGUCUAAAAGCCCGUGGCUUACUGAUCCCGGCAAAUAUAGACGCCUAGUUGGUCGUCUCAUCUAUUUGACGUUUACUCGGCCUGAGCUAAGUUAUAUUGUUCAUCUCCUUUCUCAGUUUAUGCAAAGGCCUCGCGAAGAUCAUUGGCUGGCGGCCUUGAGGGUUGUACGUUACUUGAAAGGGACUCCGGACCAGGGUAUUAUGCUAUCCUCUUCGUGUGAUUUGCAGCUUACUGCUUACUGCGAUGCUGAUUGGUCUGCCUGUCCUAUUACACGCCGGUCAUUGAGUGCCUAUGUGGUUCUCCUCGGUGAUUCUCUUGUCUCUUGGAAGACAAAGAAGCAGCGUACUGUCUCGCGUUCAUCUGCUGAAGCAGAAUACCGGUCUAUGGCUGAUACUACGUGUGAGCUAAAGUGGCUUAAACGCCUGUUGGCUCAAUUUGGUUUCUCUCAUCCUCAACCAAUGCGUAUGUUUUGUGACAGUCAAUCGGCCAUUUACAUCGCCAAGAACCCUGUCUUCCAUGAAAGGACAAAACACGUUGAGAAUGACUGUCAUACAGUACGUGAUGCUGUUCAAUCCAAGCUUCUCACGACAGAACAUAUCUCUACUAAGCAUCAACCUGCGGAUCUCCUCACCAAGGCAUUACCUACGCCUACAUUUGAUUACUUAUUGUCCAAGUUAGGCAUUCGGACACCGUCAUUGCCAACUUGAGGGGGAGUAUUGGGAUUAGGAUAAAUAUAAAGUUUCCUAUAUUGUUGGGAUUUAGACGAUCUAUGUAUUUCCUUUUCCUAGCUAGGUUAUGCUAAAGAUGUUGUAUAUAAACACCUCUUGGUGAAUGAAUAAAGGACACACAAUUCUACAUUAUAUUCAUUAUACUCCAAAGGGUUGAAACAAAUUUGUAAUUUGUUUGCAGUCUUCUUUAGACACACUUCCAGAAAAAACAGCAACAACUCGUGCCUGCAAAAAAAAAAAAAAAAAAAUGAAGUGUCAAACUUGAAAGGAUAAAAAUACUUUAAAAUUUUUACCUCAGAUCGCAUGGCAGGUAGGAGGCGCCUGAGGUUGUCAAAAGUAAUAUACUUCAUGACUCCAUACUUAUCUUCCAUGGUGAAAGGUACUAGGAAAACAGCCUCAGAUAAGAGGCAAUGUGCAUGAUGAAUCAGAUCACGAGAAUUAACGUAGAAAUCUCUCUUCAUUCUCUCAGUGAUAAUCUGAAAUAGGAUAAAAAAAAUGAGACAAAAUGGUUUUGAAACUAUAGCGGUAUUGGUGAGGCUCAAAAGAUACCUGAAAGCAAUCAGGAGUAGGCUCAAACGAUUUAAAUUUAUCCCAGAUAGAAGCAACAAGGUAUUUAAACCUUUGAGGAUGGCCAUAGAGUUCCAACACAAUGGUGUUGUCAUCUCCAAUCGAUAAUGCAGUGGAAAUGUACCCUUCUCCGGCCUAAGUAACAUAUAUAACAGUUACUAUAACUAGAAAAAGAGACAGAAGAGGAAAAGAAGAAACAGGUUUACCUUAAAUAAAAGAGAGCUAAGCUCAACUUUGAUGAUCUCGAAGUAGAUUCUGGUUAUCAUGUGUGGUAUAACACCUUGACCAGGAUCCAAGUAAAUGUUUAGCGAAGCUUUACCCAAUACGCCCUUGUUCUCUUUGUAGAAACAUUUGUCAGCAAUGCUUUUAAAAGAACUCCCCACAAUUUCCUCUUCAAGAACUUCCAAUAGAGAGGUCGUUGGCAUCAAUUCAUUCCUGAAUGGCAAGUGUAGCCCAGGAUCUGUUUCUUCAGGAAUCUCCCAUCGUUGCAAGUAAGAAUGGGGAACAUUCUCUUCUUUGAAUGUGAAAGAGAAAAAUGGUUCUCUUUCCCCUAAUUUAUAUAAAAACAAAAUCAGUACACAAAAUAAGCACUAAAACAAGUGAACAGACUAAAAUACCUUUUUCUGUGAAAGCUUUUGAAAGAAAGUCAAUCCUCAUAUUUUUCGUACUGAAAUUACGAAGCAUUUCCUUGAUGUCUUCGAAAUCACCAAAGUCAUAGCCAAAAUCAAGAGAGAUCGCAUGUGAAACAGGAAACUUGAGCAUAUUAACUGGAAAAAAAAGAAGCAAAAUCAGAAGAUGAAUAACAAAAAAGAAUAGUUCUGAAUUAUUGACAAACACCUGCAAGAGCCAGAGAAAACUGGGAAGGAUCACAAAGCUGGUUGCUAUCAAAAUCCAAGCACUGAAACCAAAUAUUCAUUGAAGAUCUGAACUCUUCAAUGAGUGAUGGAAGAGAUGGAGGAGGAUCCAUAGAUUUCAAAAGAUUAAGGUACUGGUACACAUACGAUACCAUAUCAUAUUUCUGCAAUUUAAAACAACAAAAGUGUGUUAAAAGCAUGUAAUAAAUGCAUUAUUAACGGUAGACAAUAUACAUACAUGUUCCCAGCCGCGAUCUGUGAUAUCCAUGGAGAUCACAAAAAGUUGACCUGCUAAUGUAGAGCAAUAGGAAGAACUAUCAACAUCAGAAAACUUUGAUUCAUGACCCGACCAAACAUGAAGCGAUGUUAUCCAUAGCUUCGACUUGAAGAAAGAGGAAAGGGAACCCUGACUCUCUGCCAAAAAAAAAAAACAUUAAGAAACUAUUCAAUUGGUUAAGUCCCAAAAAGAAUAAAAUGAUUCAAAGAAACUAACCGUCACAUAAAAGUCGUAGUAUAAACAUCUCUGGCCUUUUAUUAACAUGUGUCCUAGACACAGGAGGAAGGAUCCAACUAAUCUUCAUACUUUGAGAACCCUCCAAGGACUCAAGAAAAUAUGAAACGCCAUGCUUCCACAAGCUAUGCUUCCACCGAUGUGUAUCAUACUCUGGAAAUGCUAAGUUAAUCUCUUGACCUCUUGGAAGUUCUGAAAAGUAUUUCCUGACCCAUCUUUCAAGUUUAUCUACAGGAUCUAUAAAAAUAAAAACAAAGGUUAGAUAACAUAGUUUAGAAGAGAGGAAAAAUCAAGUAGAAAGGUUUAUACCUGCACCAAUAACGACAAGCUUCAUGCAAGAAGCUACAAAGUGCUUAACAUAUAGCUCCAGGGCAGCAUCACGAAUACUUUUCGGUUCAUGAUUUGACAAAGAACGUUUGUUGCCCAUAGUGAAUCGAUGAAAAGGGUGAUCCACGUGAGUUGUAUGGGCAAACAGCUGUUCCAAACGAGCUUCAUCUCUAAAUUUCCAACCUAACCACUCUAGUAAAAUAUAGACACACAAAAAGUAAAGCAUUAGUUGAUGAAAAAGAAAAAAAAACAAGACUGAAAAUAGAUUUAUAAUGUACCUUGAUUGAUGGUGUUAAUCUCGCUUUUUAUGUCUUCAACGUCCAUGGGAGGGGAAAUGAAACUUUUAGCAAACCUAAAAUACAAAAUAAGAAGAAUUAACUAUAGAAAUUAAACGAUGAAGAAACUUAAAUAAAGCAAAUAACUAACCUCUUCAAACCAGCCUGAAAAUUUGGCGUACCGAUCUCAAAAGAGAAACCCGAGUGUUCCAUAUCUGUGAUAGCAAAAACUCGUUCACCAUUCAUCAUCACAAAACUUUGAAACUGAAACACAAAAAAAAGGAUUCAAUAAAAAUAAUGGAUAAACUUGGAAAUAUUUAUUAAACAAAACAAACUCACAUCAUUUUCAGUUGAUCCCCUUGACAACAUGUGCUCAAUCAAAUGAGCAAUUCCCAUCAUAUCUGGAGGGUCAUUAAUACUCCCAAAUCUAACAGUCAUAGCAGCAGUUGAGCUCAUAGCAGAAGAGUCCGAUAUGAGCAGAACGGUGAGUCCAUUUCUAAGAACAAUAGACUUGUAAACCUUCUGGCUCUUGUCAGGACGGAUUAUAUAGGCAUCAUUCUCUUCAUCAUUAUCUUCAUCGUGAUUGCCAUCUUCCUCGUCAUCGUACUGGACAAGCUGAGCAUCGUAAUAAUCAGAAUCGGAAUCAUCGUAAUGAUCUUGCAAAUCUUCAUAAUAAUCAUCAGGAGGAUAGUCCAUCCAAUUGUUUUGUUCAAACUCUUGAUACUUCCUCUUCCUCAGAAAGCGCAACUUGUAAAGGAAACCCAUCUAUCAAAGAAAAAAAAAACAGAUAAGAUGAAUCGAUAGAUAGGAAAGAGAGUCGAAAUCUAAAAGAUAUAGAGAAAUACUUACACUGUGAAGGUCAAUCGACGGACAAAACGCAGAAUGGAGAAAUCUCUUCACUGAAUCAAGUAACCCUAGAAAGAGAGGUCCAGACGAAAAGGGGAAAAAUUGGGAGAGCGAAAUAAAUAAUAAGAACAAUUUAAGUAAGAACCAACCGGGACAAUACGGAAAAAAAAAAUCAAAAGCGCAUACUAAAUGAGAAAGUUAAUCUAUGCUAUAGACAUUAAAAUCGCAUACUAAAUCAAAUGUUUCUUUUUUUUUGAAAAUGUUUCCCUAUAUAGUAAAUGGUUUCUCACAUUAAUUUUUGAAAUGAAAAAACUAAUGUUUUGUUUGAAUUCAGAACGAGCUUAACAAAUUUUGCAAACUUUAAAACAAUUAUGAUUCCAGAAUGAGCUUAAAACAUUUUCUAAGCUUUUAAGCAAUUAAAGGCAUGUAUCCGGUAUCUGCAAAUAACAAACGGAAAUAAGAUUUUAAUCGAAUGUUAGACUGAGCUAAACAAAUCUAAAUUAUAUACUAUUGUCAAUAAGAAAUGCUAAAUUACACUAAAAUGAUGGAAGAUUCAGAAAAAAAAAGGGGGUAAAAAUAUCUCAUAUUUAUAGACAUAAUUAAAAGCACGAAUGCAUUAAUUUUGUAAGCUUAUAACAUUAUAAGCUUGAAUCAAAUAUAGGUUUAAUAAAAAACCAAUCACUGGAACACUUAAUCCAUGAUCGAUAAAUAACAAACCAAUUUCCAGAAUACUGGAUCUGAGAUUUCCCAUCAAAAUUAAAACAAAAGAUUGCAAUUCACAGAUAUAACCUAAGACAGAGAAAUUAAAGAAUAAUAUUCUAUAGAACAUGAUGAGAACGAUAAAAGAUAGAACUCUAAUACGAGAUAUGAUGAACAAAACAAUCUAAAGAGGAGGAUGAAAAGAGAGGAAGUUUGAAGAAAACGCUUCAUGAUAUAUUUUGAUAUGAAAAAUAAGUGGGGAAGAAGUGGGGCGUUUUAUAAAGAAGAAAGGUGAGGGAUUAGAUUAGGUCAAGGGGUAAUUAAUGUUCUAAGAUAUUCUAUUAACAAUUAGUUAAUUCUCCGCGUGUCAUGCAUUCAACUCUUACCUAAUAUUCAAAUGUUACCAUUAUUAAUAAAAUAAAUUUAUGUUUUUUAAUGGUAAGUAAAUAUAAAAUAUUGAAGAGGCAUUGCACACGGUUCUAUUUCGAAGAAUAUGUUAAGAAUUAAAUUAGUUUUCAAAUCUUUACCUAAACAUCUAAAUCACUUUUACAUACCAUUUUUUAAUAUCACUUCGUAUGAAGAGAGAUAUGUUUAUUAAUGGUAAAUAGAUAUACAAUAUUGAAGAGGCAUUUAAAGCACACGGUUCUUGUUUCGGAGUAUAUAGUAACAAUGAGAUUAAUUUUCAAAUAUGUUCCUAAACGUCUGUAAAUCACAUUUACUUACCAUUGUUUAAAAAAAAAAAUUAGAAUUGUCUUUUAUCCAAUAUUCUUAAAAUUCUCUCCUUUGCUUGACAAGUGGGUUACAUGCAGAGAGGAAACGGUCGAAAAUGAAUGUGUGGCCACACACUAGUUCCCAAAAAAUAAUAAUUUACUCUUGUCUAAUAAGUGGCUCAUGUGUCGGCAACUACACAGUUUAUCGGGACCAUUUACGUUACCCAAUUACGUUGAGAAACAUAUAAUUUAUUGAUUCUGUAAAAUAAUUUCAUUCCUUAUAACGGAGACAGAUAUCUUAACAAAUUUUUAUUGACGAUCAGCGAAAUUAUCUCUUUAGAAACUUCACAAUACUAGUAUAUUUUUAUCAACAUAUUUAGAAAAAUAGAACAGUUUGAAUUUUUAUUUGUCAUACUAGAACUUAUGAUAUUUUGAACAAUUCUGAAAUUUUUUAAAAAAACAUAAUUUACCUUUUUUUAUGGAAAAAAUAAUAAAUUAAAUUUUAAAAAUAUUUUAAAAAUAUGAAAACUAUUAAAAACAUAAGUAUGACAAUAUAUAUGUUUAAAUUUUUCUUUAUAAAAAAAGUAGAAUCAUAUUUUAUUUUAUUUUUUAUCUACAAUUAGAAUAUUUAUUCUGGUCAUCUACUUAGUCUAAAAAUCGGAUACUAAGUUUUAUACAUAGAUAUAUCAUGGAUAUAUAACAUAAACUAGUAUUUCUUAUAUAUAUUCUAACACAGUAUUUCAAAACGUUAUAAUCAAGAAAGAAGUCUACAGUAUACCUACAGGUUGAUAACGAUAUAUAGCCACAACACAGUAAUAUACUUUAUCUAUAUUUUGUGCCAUAACAUGUUAUGCCUUUUAUCUUAUGUGGCGCUUAAAAAAAGAAUAUGUUUCUCAUCUACUCUACUGUGAUAUGUGUUAGCUAGAAUAUAUAUUCUAGGCAAAUCCAGAAAGUAUGGAAACUUCCAUAUUCGAUUAAAAAUGUUUUAUAAAUCUAAACUAAAUCUACCCUAAAUCUCUCAUAGAAUAUUUGCUCGCACGUUUUUCUCCUCCUCCCACAUAUUUUUCUUUUCGUUCUUUGUGUUUAUCUCUUCUUCGUCGACAUAAUCAUUUCUUCUCUCUAUCAAUACGGCAUGAUUAUAAUCUAUGUUAAAUCAAGUGUAUAGAGUCUAGCGACAUUUUCUCUAUUUUGGUAGGACAGCCCAGAAGAGUAUAAACAAAUCGCUUAAGAAAUUUAACAUAUCGUAAUCAUAAUAGAGGUUUUCAUUGGCUCAUUUUCAGGGUUUGAGAUCAGUAAUCAUGUUCUUGAUUAUCAAUAUCUUUUCAAAAUUAAAUCUCUAAGCAACAAUUGCAAAUCAGAUGAGAAUACCAAAAAGUUAACAUUAAAGUUUCUUGGAUUUAAUGGUGGUUGAAGUUUCUUUCUUCUUUCCCUCUGUUGAUUUCUUCAUUUCACAAUUUUAGCUUUCACCUUUACACAAGCCUUCACCAAAAGAUCAACUGACUCUAAGUUGUGAAACCUCAAACUUUUUUUUCCUUCUGAUUAUUCCUAAAAGAUUCUUGUGUGAUGCCAUUUGCAGCAAGAGACGCUCGAGUCUGUCCCUAUUAGUCUUCUUAUCCUUUCAAACAGCUAUCAGAAUGUGUCUUUCAUGUUCUUUAAGCAUUACAUCUAAGUUUCUUCCUGCAGUAGUUAAUGGCAUGAGAUGUUUAUUCUCUCUGUUUUUUUCACUGUCACCCUAACACAUGGCAAAGAAAAAAAGAAAUUGAUUAGCCCACAAAAUGUAUUGAAAGCUUAAAAUGAUAUAUCUUUAAUUAACUUAGUAUUAUAUUUAAUUAACUAUUCAGUGAUACAAUUAAUUAUCUAAGAGUUUAUAAUUUGCUAUUAUUAACUCAUAUAAAAUGUAUUGAAAGCUUAAAAUGAUAUAUCUUUUAAAAAUAAACUUUCUAACUUUUGUAAACAAUUUCGGAAAAUAACGAAUAUUUAAUUAGUUAAAAUAUUUACUGUAAAAAUAUUAUAUUUUAUAAUUUCAUAAAACUGUCAAAUUAUUUUAAAUAAAAUAUAUAUUUGUGCUCCAUAUAAAAUAUAUUUCUAGAUCCGCCCCUGGUCCUAGCGUAACUGAGGGUACAAAGUUAAAAUGAAAAGAAUUGCUGAAAACUGUUUGUUGAACCAGGGAGGAUCGAACAUAACUCAUUUUGAUGUGACAUACAUUGUUUCUAGCAUUAGAGCAUGUUUAUCCCUUGAUCCUUAAGUGUGUUUCUUAGUGAUUAUUUAAUAUUUUAAUUGUACUUAAGUGGAGUUAAGAACCAUAGUUAAGAAACUCCCAUUUGGAGCGGUCCAAUGGGAGUUUCUUAAUUAGGGGUUCUUAAGAAAUUUUUUUUUUUUUAAAGAUAAAAUUUAUUUAUUAAUUUAAACAUAUUAAAAGAUAACAUUUAAAAUAUAGAUUUUUUUUGAAAAAAACAUAAAAAUAAAGACUAGUACAAUAAUCGAGAAUAAUUUGGAAAAACAUCAGAGUUCAGUAGUUGUCUCCCUCGCCUUUUUCACGCUUUCUUGCGAUAUGAACUCUUUUUUUCUUCUAUUUCUUUCGACUUCUUGAUCACCAUAAUUAAUGGUCAAAUUCUCCAUUGUUUGAUCAAAAUAUUAAUCAAAAUAUUGAUCAAAAUAAUUAUCAAAACUUUCAUCAUCUACUCCCUCAAAAGUGUUAUGAGAAGAAGAAGCCAUAGAAUUUAUAUUCUUAAUCGGGACUGUUUUAAAAAGGGUUUGUGUUUUGUAGAAAGGGUUUGUAGAAGGGGUACGGUUUGUGUUUUGCGUUUUGCGUUUUGUAGAAAGGGUUUGUGGUGAUCAAGGAGAUUAGAAAAAGAGAGAUGAAUUUUGAUGACUUGAUAUGAGUUUUGAUGACUUGAUAUGAGCAAUGAGAUGAUUUAUAUAGAGCAAGAGAGAUAUGAGUUUUGAUGACUUGAUACAAUGAGUUUGACAAACACCAUCUCGUGACACAAAAAACACAAACACUCUUUGUCUUCUUUAUACAAAACCAUCUCAGGCACGCAUAAACACCACCAUCUCAUGACCUCUCUUGCAAAUCCAACAACAACUCCUGUGACCUCUCUAGCUAAUCCGACAUAACUCUCGUGACUUCUCUUGAGUAACGACACCAUCUCGUGACCUCUCUUGCUCGCAUAACCGAGACCAAGGCUUGUGACUUCUUUGUCUCGUAACCGCACAGAAACAAAUAUAACAUUUCACUUAACAUUUCACAUAUAACUUUUUAAUAAAACAGAAAGCUCACAUAGUAAACUUGAAACAUACAUUAAACAGAGCAGCUAACAGAAACAGCAAACACAAACAGCUAACAACUUUUUAAUAAAACAGAAAGAUCACAUAACUUUUUAAUAAAACAGAACAGCUAACAGAACAGAUCGCAUAAUAUAACAUAAACUUGAAACAUACAUGAACAUGAAAUUAAACAUAGAGAGGAUUGACUGUCGACCUCAACCCUGUUAAAAUUAUCAACACAAGAAGACUAAAACAUCACUUAAAAGACUCACACUUCCCUCUCAAGAUGAACUUAAAGAACAUGACUACAAAAGAGUUAGUUUGUUACCAUUAUGUCUGGUAGAGACGAAGCCAAUACAGAAAGAUGUUCCUUGGCGUCCUGUUGAAUUGAAAACGAUCAUUAAAACAAAGUAUACACAUAUCUAACCAGAAAACACAUAAAGAGUAAAAGCUAAAGGAUCGUUGAUCCAAGUCAGAAUGCAAAACUAACAAAAAACUUUUCUUUUCUUCUUUCCUUAGAAACUAGAUGAUGAAACGAGAGAGAUUGAUUCAGUAUUAAUGCAAAAUCAGUAGAUUACGUCAAGAGCAAAAACAGAACCGAACUGCUUUGGUUUUGCUUGCGAAGAAGAGAAACUGAAACAUCACUUAUCUGUGGGUUUCCAUGCUUCCUCUGUCACGGAGAAGAGGAGAAGACGAGAGCAAAGACGGAGGAUCGGUGGUGGUGGUGGAGGAUCGUUGAUGGUAAAGGAUCGGUGCGAUCCUUUCUCAGUCGUGACUGAGAACACGAAGGGGAAACAGAGAUGAAAAAGAAAAAAAAAAUGAUUCUGGUGAAAAGAAAAUAGAACAAAAAAAUAUACUUUGCCUAAAAUGGUGACACGUGGGUUGAAAAACUCUCUAAUAAUCGGUCACAAAAGUCACCCAUUAAGGAUCAAUAAUGUAUCUUUUCCUUUAUUUUGAUUUAAUUAAAUGCCAUUAAAACACUAAGAAACCCAUUAAGGAUUGCCGAUUAUCAUGGUCUUAGACUACACAAGUUUUUUGUUAAUUUGUGGCCGAUUUGAUACUUAUAGUUGGAAGCCCAUGCGUCGUCAACUUGAGUCCAACAGCACUACGUCAGUGAUUACGGACAAAGUCCCAUCCAUAGUAUAGAAAUGUAAAAGAAACAUGUUUAUGGUUUAAUCAGUUACGGACAAAGUCUCCAUAAUAAAGAAGCGUAUAAUAAACACGUGACUGAAGCCAUUGGUCAAAAAUAAAUACUCCCUCUGUUUUUCAAUAUAAGUCGUUUUAGAGAAAUUUUUUUGUUAUAAAUUAUAUGUCGUUUUCGAUUUUUUAUGUAACAUUUAUUAAUAAUUAAUAUUGUCUGACCAAUGAUAAUAUAUCUUCUAUUUUUCUAUUGGUUGAAUUGUGGUUAGGUAAAUAAUUAAUGAUGUUUUUGCUUCAAAAAUAUAAGAAAUUAAUGAUUUUCUUAAUCUAUGUGCAUAGUUUUAAAACGACUUAUAUUAAAAACGGAGGGAAUAAAUAAUAAGCACGUGACUGCUUUUGUGUACCAUCUUAGCUUAUGAAAGAGAGGAUGUGCGUAGUAGUAGUCCAGUAGAUGACAUCACCAAAGUUUAUUUCUGAGUUAAAAAAAAAAAGUUAUGUUUUUUUAUUUGCUCUUGUAAUGUUUGUUAUAUUCUGAAAAAGAAAAAAAAGUUUGUGAGGUACAUGAAAUUUACUCUAAUACUAGAUCUUGAUCCGCGCCCCCGUGCGGAUGUUGGAUUUAACUUGCGUUCAAUGUAAAUUUAUAACCUAUUAAUAUUGUAAAAUGUCCAUUUAUAUUUUUAUGUUUUAUAAAAUAUAUUUAGAGUAAAAUAUAUUAUAUUAUAAUAUAGAUGUUUGAUAAUAAUUUUUUAUCUAUACGUAAUAUUAUAUUUAUAAUUUUAUAACUUGAUGCAAUUUGAUGUAAUUGUAAUAUUCAUAUAUUAACAUAUUGAUUUUUUUGUUUACUUAUUUAAAAAUGAUUUAAUUUUUUUUAUAGUAGGUUUUUAUGAAUUAUUAUUGAUUUUAUGAUAUUUGUUUUUUUUGAAAAUUGUAUUGUAGCAGAUUAAUAUAUAUUAUAUAUUACAGUUUCUGUUUUUAUUUUCAGCAAAAAGAAAUAACAAUUCAUUGUAAUUAAUUUUUUUUAAGUGAAGUGGCAGAUUUGUAAAUAAGAAAGAAAUGUAAUGGCUAAAUAUGUAAAUAAAAAAAAAUAUUUAAUAUGUUAUUUGUGUUUCCAAACAAUUCUCAUUUAAUCUGCUAUCCAAGUUUUCCAAUGACAGAAUCUGUAAAUGAGCAAGAAAUACAAAGACUAAAUAUGUAAAUAAAUAAAAAAAUUUAAUCUGCUAUCCUUGUUUCCAAACAAUUUUCAUUCAAUCUAUUAUCUAAGUUUCCAAAUAGUACCAAAAGGUACUUUAGUUUUAAUAAUAUAGAUAGUGAAAACCAUCCGAUAUACGAGAAUGCGGCAACAAUUACACCACGUUUAUGUUAAUACAUGCCACAUAUACAAAGUAAACGAUUAUAUGGUGAUAACAUCACAAUCGUGUUUAAUUGAUUUUAAACUAAGCUAAUAAGGUCAAUCUGUAAUUUAUAUAUUAAAAUUAACUCCGAUUUACUAAACUCAACCCGACCCAACUCCCGACCCGUGUCGGCUUAAGUCUUUUCUUUGGAUUCCCAAUUUGAAAUUAGGGUUCAUAACAAAAAAAUAUUGAUUUCAAAGAGAUGCAAUGGAGAGGGUCUUUAAUACUUUUAUCUUCUCCGCUCAGAAGGAGACCCUUGUUUUUUCGACUGUUCUUUCUUGUAAACGGCCCCAACUAGUGCUGCACAAGAACCAAAUUUGCAAAUUCCAUUUAUUAACUCCAUUGCAACGAAGAUAUUGGAACAAAGCCAAAUGUAUGUUAUGUACAUUAAGAGUUAGAAAGUCUAGUGAGAAAGAGAGAAGGAACCUUCACAUAACGCUUCUCUUAGAAGGUAAGAUCUCAUUUGGUCUGCCAGAAAAAAAAAAGAUAUGUGAGGAAAGUGAAAUGUCAAAUUCUCAUUGUCAAGAACUUGGUCCAAGAAAAUAAUAUUUUUCUCUUUGAUUUGCAUAAACCCAGCUUUGAGUUUGCACUCCCACUUGUUCUUACGCUUCUUCACCUAUUAAAGAAAACUACCUCUGUAUUGCAUCUCUUUGAAAUUGAUUUUUUUUUUUGGUUAUGAACCAUAAUUUUCGAAUUGGGGAUCCAAACAACAGAUUUAAUUCAACACGGUUCGGGUAAAAGAAUUGGGUAGGAUCGAAUCGAAUUUAGUAAAUCAGAUUUAACUUUAAUAUAUUACAGAUUAACCCCAUUAACUUAGCUUAAAAUCAAUUAAACAUGUUUGUGAUAUUGCCACUAUAUAAUCAUUUACUUUGUAUAUGUGACAUGUAUUAACAUAAAUGUGGUGUAGUUGUGGACACAUUGUUAUACAUUAGAUGGUUUACACCAUAUUACAGUAAACUUCGUGUAGGUGACAAACUUUUUUCCUCCGAAAAAAUAAGAAGACAUCUUCUUUACGUCAAUAUAAUCUUCUUUUGAAGGCGCAUUCACUGGUUUACCAUGUUGUUAGGAGAAGAAGCAAGCAAAGAUUUUACAAAUUAUGGGAAACAGAAAAAAGAGAGCUCUGUUCACUACGAGAAUUGUGCUCUAUUUACCAUAUGCAUUUGUAAUUUGCAAAAAAAAAAAAAGAUGAAAUAAUCCAUAUGGGCAAGAACACAGUUUGUGUGGUAUUCUGAAAGGUUCAAAGACUUAUUUAGCGACUAUGCAAAUCGAUAUUUUUCUCAUUACUCAUUUGGUACUGAUCAUUAUUUUCUAAUACAUUAUAUAUUUAAAAUUUGCAUGCUCAACUCUUUUCGUAGACGAGUAAGAAAAAUAACAUAUAUAUGGACAUUUCCAAACAAUAUGACAUUUACUUGAUAUAGAAAACCAUGAAUUAAUUAUUUUUUGUUCUUCUUAAUUCCAUUGGUAUUGCAUAUUCAUAUCCACUCCAAAAAGGCUAAAGAUUUUAUUUUCUGAUUUUAUAGCUUGACAAUUCUCUAGUUUCCACCUAUAAUGCAUAUAUACAGUAUGAAGAGACAAUGCUAAAUGUUUUGGGGGAGUUGACAUCUCAUGUUUUUAUAGGUUUUUAGUAUCUCAUUUUUGUUCAUAUAAGUAAUUUUAGAUUACAUUUAGAUGUUUAUAUUGCAUUUUUACACACAUUUGCAUAUAAUAAGGGCUAGAUUGCACAAUCGGAAGUUUGAGGCUAAAUCAAGAGAAUAUUCUAGAAAAUUACAAAGCUUCGGGUCUAAAUGAAAAUAAGGAAAAGAUGAGGGGCCACUAUGAAAUUAGUAGGAUGUCUAGAAUGGCGCAGUUGAAAGAUUUGGGGUAAUUUAAGAGGAUGUUUCUGUAAACUAGAUAGUCUUGGGUCUAAAGAGAAAGAAAGCAAAAUUUUGAGAACUGAAAAUGAAAAUAUGGAGAAACAAGCCAUUGUUGUUGUUCGACCUCGAGCCUGCGGCGUAGGAGACGGCUUGGAACUUGGAAGGUACUCUCACAGUGUCUUGGAGCUUUGAUUACGGUAUAUUGCGUGGAGGAGAGCUCCGACUUGGAGCCGCGGCGGAUGACUUGACGACGACAUGUGGAGUUUAAACCGGUGCCACCUCCAUGUAGAGCCGCGGAGGAAGAAGACAGAGGCGGGUGGAGCUUCUGUAAGAGCAUCUCCAAUGUAUUACUCCAAAUUUUACUUCAAAAUGGUGUAACUCCAAAAUGGAGUUGGAUUUUACUCCAAUGUAUUACUCCAUUUUUUACUCCAAACAAAAAGAUUCUUUUUUCAUUUAGUUGAUAAUUGUUAUUAGUACAUUCAACUUAUAAAAAAUUAACAAUUAACCCAACUAUUUUAUGUUUACAAAAUUUCUAUAAUAAUAUAUUUUAUUUAAAUUAAAUAUUUAUCAUUAAAAAUACAACUAGAGAUUAUCUUCCAAUUUCAAUUCGUGCAGAUUUUAUCAUAUGCAAUUUUUCUAAUUCAAAAAUAUUUUUAUGCAUUAAAAGAACAUUAAGAAAAAAUAAAGUUUUGUUUUGUAAUUUGAAUUAUGUAUUGGGUCCUAUUGUUUGUUUGUGCAUAUAUCAAGUUCAACAAGUACAAAUGUUAUCAAUCAAAAUUUUGACCCACAAAAUUAAAAAAACUCAUCUAUUCCGUUUGAAUAAUACUUCACCGCUUUUGGUAGUUUUGAAAACAAUUUACCGAAUUAAUUAUUAAAUUACUUAUUUAUAUUACAUUAUAUUUUUUUUUUUUUAUUUUUAGUUUUGAUUUUUAUGAGUUUAUGCAUAUUUUUUGUAAACUAUAAAGUAGUAAUCUUUUGUAGAGUAUUAUAUUUUUUUAUGUUAUUAUGUUAUUUUAAGUAUGAAAUAAAAACAUUAAAAAUCAAAAGGACCAUUUCAUAAAUAUAAAAAGUUCAACUCCAAAAUGGAGUAGUGGGUAAGAUUACUCCAUAAAUGGAGUAACCCUAGCUAUUACUCCAUUUUGGAGUUGAAUAUGGAGUGGGGUUGAAGAAGAUUUUACUCCAUAAUUGAGUUUGAAGUAAAAAAUGGAGUAGGGUUGGAGAUGCCCUAAGUCUGUUCAUGUUCAUAACCACUUACUUUCGUUUAUAAACUUUCGGACUACAGAAAAGAAUAGAUACACCAACUAAUUAUACUAAUUAAUUUUAGCAAAAAAAAAAAAUAAUUAUACUAAUUAAUGUCAAUAAUAUACUCAUAAUUCAUAAAGACAGUGUACGUAAGGCAACUUUUUUUCUCUAUAUACUUGAUUAAUAUGAUUCUUAUUGCUCUUUUUUUUUGGGUCUAAUUCUUAUUGCUCUUUUAUUGUUCAAUCUCGAUCUUUUCACAAGUCUAACUAUUUCAAAACAUGUUUUCUAUUGAUUUAGGCAUUUAGCUUUGAUAUUCCAAGUUCUUGAUGCAAAUGUUAGUCCUCCAUCGGUUUAGCCUUGAGGUGCAUAUUGACCUCUGCAUCACUACAACGAACAUGCUUAAUUCACAAAAAGAAUAAUACACUUGAUAUAAUUUCCCUUGAUUAUUUGCAUCUGAGCCUUUAUUGACCAUAACAUAAAUGUAUAUGAUAUAAUAAACUUAAUACUUAGCGAUCUCACUAAAUUAAUACUCGGCGAUCUCAUUAAAUAAGAUUUUCUUUAAAUGGCGCAAGCUUGAUUUAUAUUAUGAUCCAACAUAAUCAUUUUUUUUAAAUGUAAGAUAUACCAUUAGUCCGUAUUAUAUAAACAUCAACUUAAAUCAAAGUUUGCUAUAUAUUAUGGCUUAAGUAUUGCAUGCUUUUGCUAUAAGUCAGAAAAUAAUAAUUUUUUUAAGUGUUGGUUUUUUUUAUUAAUAACAAAAAGACGUUUCUAUUCAAAAUUGUUUUGUUAAUAAAAGAAAAGAAAAUAUUGUUCGGUUUUUAAGCCUUCCUCACCUGUAAAAAUUUAUAUAAAGAAUAAUAUACAAAUUAAAUUGUUUUGGUUUUACCAAACAAACUUAUAUAUCAAAUAUUUUCCUUACAAUACAAUUCUUUAUACUUAAAUUAUGAAAUUUAUAUUGAAGAUUAAGAAAAAGCUUUGGCACGUGUCUAAUUGUUUUUUGUAGUAUAAGAAAACAUUAAUAAUGAUCUUUCUUAUUAGUUAAUAAUAUAUAUCACGUUAACCUAACUUUCAUCUUAUACAAAAUAUUGGUUGCAAACAAAUAAUCAUCAUCUUUCUAUAUUUUAGCCUCCAGUAUAAUAAUAGACAGACUGCAAAAUUUUAUGUUGCCUUAAUAUGACCUAUAAUCAAACUAUACUUCAAAUUAUAAGCCUAACUCAAUUUGUAAUUCUCUUUUUAAUAUUUUAUUUUUUCAUCUUAUGUCAAAAAGAAAGUAAAAAUCUGAUAUUCUGAAACUAGUGUAACUUCAAAAUAAAAAAUAUAUAAAUUUUAUUUAAUGAUAAGUUAGUAAAAAAAAAUAUCCAAAUGUAUCGACUAACAUAUAGAUGAUUAUAUAAACAAUAAAAAAUGCAUACAUAUAAAAACAAUUCGAUCAUAUAUAAAUCUUAAAUUUAUCAUUAUGAUAUGUUUAAUAUUUUAAUAAUAUAAUUCAAUAUGCACAUCUUAUCCUAGUAUUUUAGUAAGACAAAUGGUAAUUUUUUAGAGGAAUGAAGCUAAAUUUUAAUUUUAAUUAACAUAUUAUAAAGUUGGUCCGAUUCAACUCUCCAAAUGAUAUAAAGCUAUCUACACAUGUAACAGAAAAUUAAGGUUUGAUAAUGAAUUGACUGGCAGAUACAUUAGAAAUAAUUAUUAUGUCGAAAACUGCGAUCGAUCGAAACCAAUACAAAUUAAAUUUUAUUAUUAACAUUAGUUAAAGGCAUCUGUGUCAAUAAGGUUUUACCAAAAUUUUCAAUAUUAAUUAGUAACUAAACGUAUACCUGAAUUUUAAACUUCAAGAAUCUUAGCAAAUCUGUUAUAUUUAUUGCAUUUAAGUAUAUUUAUUGCAUUUACAUGUUGAUUUGCAUACAACAGGGGGUAGAGUGCACAAUUGCAAAUUUGAGGCUGAAUUCGCAGAACAAUCUGCAGAUUAAUAAGUUUGAGGUCAGAAAAGAAAUUCUACAAAUGAUGGAGGACGGGAUGCAAAUAUUCUUCGAUCGAGCUGCAAUUUGAUCCGCGACGGCAAGGCUUGAUAGGACGACGCCGAAGCUAGCUUGGCAAGACACAACGCGGAGUUUUUCGUGUCCAUGGAUUCCGGUGAGAGCAUGCUGACUUGUAGCCAGUGCCGGCCUUGAAUAUUUACAGACCGGAAGCAAAGUUAUAAAAAUAAGGCCCAUUCAUACGUAGAAAUAUUAAUAUAUAUAUAUAUAUAUAUAUAUUAAAAUCUAUGUGUAUGAAGAAAAUGGUAUUGUAGUAAAUCGAACUCGUCACCUUGCAUUCCAAAAUAACCACUAGACUAGCUAAGGAAUUUUAUAAGUAAUUGGCUGCAAAAUAAGUUUAGAAAUCGAAGGCCGGAAGCUCAAGCUUCCACCGCUUCCGGUCAGGGCCGCUACUGCUUGUAGCUGUGAUGGAGACGGCGGCGUGAGGAGCAGAGUGCGAAGAAGCAGCGGAAGAGACAUGGCUGAGGAGAUGAUUUGAACAGAAGAAUUAAGCUUCAUGCCGGAGCGGAAGACAAUAGCGGUGGAGAAGGAGUCGAUCCGGGGGUGGUGAUCGGAGCAUGAGCUCAGCGGAUUAUAUAAUAUUUUAAAGCUACUUUUGAUAUGAUAAAAAAAAACAUUUGAUAUAAUAUCUAGUAAUGGAUUUAUGCUACCAACCUAUAUUUUAAAGCUAUGAUUUAUAUAAGAUGCUCUAAAAUUGUUUUAAAUAGGACUAUAUUAAAAUGAGUGAAAUUGGCUCAAAAUCUUAAAAGAAGUUAUUAAUUAAGUAAGGGUACCCAUUAAGUAACUACCCAUGAAACAAAUUGUGUGGGGUUUAAUAUUCAACUUGGAAAAUUGCAAUUACAAAACAGUCUUUUUUGGGUUAUAGGAAAUGUUUUUAAGUAUAGGGCUACAGGUAGAUUAAAAAGUGAAAAGAAUGUGGAAACAAUAAUAUGGGGAAUUAAUAAUGAUUGGAUUGCCAAAUGAGAAGCUUGGUCAUUCUGACACAAGGAGUCUGAGAAAAAGGGAAAUCACAGCAAUGAGUCCUUGCAUGCAAAAAAAUUGCAGAGGGAGAGAUGCAAAAAAUUCGUGAUACAAUGUUUUAUAGAUAGUUCAACAUUUACAAGCUAUUAAAGUGUCUGCAAUCUAACGUUAAAUUUGGAUAUAUUACAUAAUCUGGUUUGAUAUUAUGUUUUACAGAUUGUUCAACACUAAUAAUACUAUUAUAUGUGAUUUAUUAUUUGUUAUGUGUUAUGUAUAUGAUAUAUAAUGGAUAAUUGUUACACAUUUUUAGAUAUGUUAGCUAUAUAACAGUAAACUAGCUGUUUUAUGGUGCAGUAACAAAAUUUAAAAUAUUUUUAACAGAUAAAUAUAAAUUUUAUUUUAAAAUAAAAUUUUAUUAAUAUUGUAAAUUUUCUUUUUUGCAUCAGUAUUUUAAUAUAAAUUUGAUUUAAUUAAACAUAAAAAUUAUAUUUAAGAAUAUGCAUGUAUAUAUUUGAAAUUAUAAUCUUAGAUAUAUUUUUCUAUCAAUUUAUUUUAAUUAAAACUAUUUAAUUUUUUUUGUAAAAGUUGCACAAUUACCAAAAAUUAAAAUUAAACAAUAUUUAUAAAAUUUGUAGAUAUAUAAGAAAAUAAUGAUUUUACGAUUAAUGUUUUUUCUAAAAAAAUUGUAUACAUUUUUAAAAUUUUAGUAGUAAAAUUGUAUAAUUUAAAAAUGUAUAAUUAAUUAUAUUUCAAAAUUUAUAAUGUCAUAUUUGAAUAUAUUUAUUUUAAUGAUGAUUUAUGAGUUAUUCCCAUAUUCUAAAAAAAUUUCCAAAAAUAUAAAUUGACAUUAAAUAUAAUAUAUGAGUUAUUACCAUAUUUUAAAAAGUUUACCAAAAUAUAAAUUAACAUUAAAUGCAAUUGUCCAUGUCAUAUUAAGCUAUAAAACAUGUCAUCAAUUUCAGUAGCCAUGUCAUAUUUGUUUUGUGAAAUUGAUUGUAUAUAAAUGACAUGUGGCAAAAUCACUUCGCAAAUAUAGUCUAGUGAAUAAAAUUCCAAAAAUAUAAAUUGACAUUAAAUGUAAUAUAUGAGUUAUUACCAUAUUUUAAAAAGUUUACCAAAAAUAUAAAUUAACAUUAAAUGCAAUUGUUCAUUUCAUAUUAAGCUAUAAGACAUGUCAUCAAUUUCAGUAGCCAUGUCAUAUUUGUUUUGUGAAAUUGAUUGUAUAAAAGACAUGGCAAAAUUACUUUGCAAAUAUAGUCUAGGGGAUCUCAUAAAGUAAUCUAAAAUAUCAAUAAAAAUUAAAAUAAAAUUUAUGUUAAUAUGUAAGUUGGAAGGUUACUAAAGAACCUUAAAUAUUAAAAGAUAAUGUAAAUGUAUGAUAAAAUUAAUUGUUAUAUGCUAAUAAAUUAUGGUAGCAGUCUAAAAAAGAACAUUCAAACGUAUACUCAAAAUUAUACAUGGCUAAAAUCUUUAUUGUAUCAAAUUAAAUUGUUAGAUACUUUCAAUAUUAUAUUUAGCGCGUAAAAAAAAUUAUUAACAAGUUAUACAACGAUAAAAAUAUAUAAAUUCUAAGCAUGACCUAGUUUUUAAGCUUUUUAAGCUUUUACGUGUACUAGGGCCUUUUCCGGACUACGCCCGGAUUAAUUUUCUAUAACAUUUUUAUAAUACUCAGAUCUUAUGGAUCAAAAGACAAUUAGAUGUCUAUCAAAUACAAAACUUGUUUAAUGGUAACUUGAAAACAAUUUAGUUUACGCCUUUGUAUUUGUUUGUCAUCUAAAACAUAGAGUGGUGAAAGAUCUAACUAACUUCAUAGCCAAAAAUGAGUUUAAAAUUUUGAUACAUGAACCUUUCACUAAUUAUUUACACAUAAUUUUCUUGGCAUCACUUGUGAAGAAAUAAAUUGUAAAAAAAAUGUUAGAAAAUAUGUCUACGAUAAUUCUCAAAUUCUAUAUACCUUUUGAAUUUCAAAAAUAAAUUAUAUCAUGUGCUCCUCCUUCAAACAGCAAACACCACCGGGUUAAAACUAAACAUCUUUUUUUUAGAUUUAUUUACGUGAAUCAGUGUUACAAUUAUAUUUUUUUGGCAACACCAAUAUAUUGUCAAGUAUAUAUGUAUGAAUACAACUUCAAUAAGUUAAAUCAGGUCAUAUCUCAUAUUUACUGUAUCUUUUUAAAAAUUAUUUUUCUUGUAUAUAUAUUUUACGGUAUAGAUUGCAAUAAUAUGAUUAGGAUAUAUGUUAAAAGGUUAAAGUUAUCCCUAUAUGUUACUAAACAUAGAAAUGUAGACAUGUUAUAUUAGAUUUUUUAAAUUUUCAAAAGUUUUGAUAUGAUAAACAAAAAUUAAGUUGAAUAUAACAUUUCAAAAAGAGUAGUUUGUUUCUUAAUCCACCUUGAGACAUUUUCUGCCAUCUUAAAAAAUAUUGUUUUGUAUUUCUGUGAACCUUUUAAAAAAAAAUGUUUAAAUCUUUUUAUUUUAAAUGUUUUGAAUAAUAUUUAACCAAUGCAAUUUUUGUUUUGAUUUGGAAGUAUUGCAGAUACAAAGGUCACCAGAAACUUAUCGCCAAAAACUUAUCGCUAAUCUUAAUUGUUAGGGAAAUUAGAGUGCCACAAUAUAAACAUAACCCAACCCUUUCGAUCAUUUGAUCUUCUUACGGUAGUUUAAAAAAACAAUUGGGAAUUGAUUGAAAAACAUAGAUACUAUACAAAGCGGAGAUUCUCUGAAGUUACUUUACUUCCUUCACAUGACCUAUGAACAUAGAGUUCCAGCAUCUUCGUACUCGUGUGAAUCUAUCAAAUCUUUUACGUGGCAUAUUUAAUCUUACCAUUUAUGAAUUCUCAUGAGGCUGAACUUUAAUUAUCAAGAUUCUUUUAAAAUGUUAACAGAGUUGAUAUAUGAAUUGAGAUGUCUGAGAAUGAUCCUAUUGGAAAUUGAAAUAUACGAAUUGAGAUGCCCUUUACACGUAAGUGUUUCUAGGCCGUUGCUUAGCACUAAAGAAUAUUAAAAGUAAAAGACGGAAAGUUUAAAUUCUAGAUAAGACCUUUUUUUUUUUGAACAACUUUCUAGAUAAGAUUGUGUCCUAGCUGAGUUUUGUGUACUGAGUCUCUUAUGAUACCGGUAGGGUGUGUCGAUAUAAUCAUUUUUUUUAAAAAAAAAAAAAAAAAAAAAAUUAUAUAGUUUCAUGUCUUUGUGUUUAAUAUUAUCUUUGGUUGUUGCUUGUUUUGGUAAAUCUAAAGUUUGACUAAUUUAAUGAAAAAUUGAUGCAGAUGUUGCGUAUGUUCGCGAACUUGAUCUCCUUCUUCCAAACAUAUCCUCAUGUGUAUCCUGCUCGUGAACUUGAUCUCUUUCUUCUCACCGUCCACCAUGAUAUGCUUCUCCAAGUUAAACCACCUGCUGUUCACCGGCCUGUGGUCAAACCUCCUGUCCAAAUGCUGCAACGGGAUCGCGCAUCUCCCUAAGACCUCGUCCUUGUUAGGAGCAACUCUGUCUUCAACGCUUAAAAUCAACGGCUCCUCGAAAGGCUCAGCUGCUACAAACAUCAGAUCCUUGUUCCACAUGGGGUUAAUAGUCCUGCUUUGAGAUACUCUAGUCCGUAACGCUUGGUUUCCCACUAUAGCCUUCACGUAGACCUCAGGGUACCUCCCUUUAUCGCUCGGGAUCAAAUCUUGAGCCUCGAUGACGUUAACUCUCAAGUACCAAAGCUUGGGGGAGAGAUAGACUUUUGAGCGGAUGUUAGCAAGAGCGUCUGUUCCGCUCACUGUGGCUGCAUCCGAGUGCCAAGCCAUAUGCAAAUAAGAAUCUGAAGGGUUUGCCAUUGAUCUUUCUAAAGAGAUCAAUGUUGACUGGCCAUCUAUAGCAAGUGAAACCCAGAACUCAAAAAGGAAACACACAUAUAAAAUUCAGAAUCUAUAAAGAUAAAGAACAUAAAAAGUUGAUGAUGGUUUUUCUUUUACCUGUCAAACCAUUGCUUUAAGUCCUCUUCUGAUGGUUUGAGAUGAAGAUCAACUAAUGAUGAUUUUAAGAACUUGUGGAGGUAGAUUGUCAUCGAUUAUCCAGAUUUUGUCCCUUGCAAACCCAUGUUGAUCCAGUGAUCCACAAUCUACAUAAAAAGACAUACACACAAACAACUCAAUAAGAUCAUAAUCCAGAAAUCUAAUAGCUAGAGAAAGUAAGAAUCUAAUCUGGCCAUCGUUCAAUCUUAUAUAUAAAUCAAUCGUUAAAAAAUCGGAAAAGCUAAAAGUGUCAUACCGCCACCUCCACGGCCACUGUAUCCACCUCCACCACGGCCUCCUCCACCACGGCCUCCUCCACCGCCGCUUCCUCUAGACUGAGACUCGUUGACGGUGAUGGUACGUCCGUCGAGCUCCUUUCCGUUCAUCUCAUCAAUAACAUCCCUCAUCAUUUCUCAUCCGUGAAGGUCACGAAUCCGAAUCCCCUUGACCUUCCCGUCUCACGAUCGUUAAUGAUCUGUCAGACACCAAAUCAAAACAAAAUAUCAGCAAAAACAAUCUCACAAAAGCUUAAUAAUAAAAAAAGCAAUGACGAAACAAAGAUCGAAUCAAGUAACAGAGAAACACAGAUAGGAAUCAGAUCCGCCAAGGAUUGAGAAGAUGAAAGGAAAAAAUUGAUUUGAGGAAGAAAACAAAAAGAGAGAUCGUAAAUAAUAAAUUGACGUAAAAGGAUUUUUUUUGUAAUUUAUGAUGACAUGACAAUUUGAUAGGUUGUGAAUUUUUUUGCUGAGGUGGAUAGGCUCAAUGGAGCUCAUAUAUCCCUUUUAAUAUAGUAUAUAUAUAGAUAUGUAUCUAUAAAUUCUAAAUUUGUAAUCAAUAGUAAAAAUGUUUUGUAAACUAAUUUGGCAAGUGACUAGGUUGUAUAUCAACAAAACCUGAGUUAGAAUCGUGCGUCCUUGAAGUUUUUGUUUUUGUUUUUCUAAAGAGGGGAAACAUGUAAUUUUGGUAUCAUCUCUUCCCCUUUUCUAUAAUCUGCGUUUUCUGAAGUUCAAACAAUGGUUGCCUCCACUUUUUCCAGAUUUUGCACUCGUUUUUUUUUUUUUUGAACUAAAUUCACUCGUUUAUUCACCUAUUUUAUCAUUUUAAUUUAAACUUUAUAAAUCUAAGUUGUAUUCGAAAAGAAAGGUUGAGGGUUUAGCCACUACAAUCUUAACCAUGGCAGAUCGUAUGAAAAAAGUUGAUUGAGAAUAUGACUCUGGUAAUUAAGUAUGAAAUGAAAGGAGAUGCAUAGAAUUGAAUAUAUUAGAGGAAUGGGGAAACACAAAGAUUUUAGAAAGCUUUGUUCAAGAGAAUAAUUCAUAAAAAAAAUAAUUCAAUUUGUCUAACAUCAUAUUUUUUGUGUAAAGUUGGGUUAUCAGAAAAAGAAAUUUAAAAACAGAUUUGAGUUAGAGGGAACAUUAGCUUAGCAUCAAGAUAAAAUAGGGGUAUUAUGGUCAUAAAAUUUUUGACAAAAACUAUGUAAACACUAAGGAUCCGACUGGUGACAUUUUUGGAAACACGAGAAAUGAAUAGGAAAUGAACAUAUAGGAAUAAAAAAGAAUGCUUGUUCCUUAUCAAAUUUAAUAAGGAAUAUUUUUGUUCUAUUUCUCUACAAAAAAAAGAAUAGAGAGGAACAAGAAGGAAAAACUAUUCUUUGUGAAUGGUGAUUUUAUUUUGGAAUGAUAAGGAAUUCAGCGUUCCCUUUCGUUCCUUGUUCACCAUUCAAAUCCUAAAUGUGUAUAUACCUAAUUAUGCUAUAAUAUUUGUGUGUGAAGUGCAAAUACUUUAUUAAAAUUUGCGCCUUGCGCGGAAUAAAUAUUAUAUAUAAAAAUCAUUUUAUAUAUUAUAUAUUUUAUGUAUUAUAAAAUAAUAUUUUACUUAAUUAAUAACUUCUUUUAGGAUUCUGAGCCAAUUCACUCACAUUAAUUAAUAACUUCUUUUAGGAUUCUGAGCCAAUUCACUCACAUUAAUUAAUAACUUCUUUUAGGAUUCUGAACCAAAUCAUUUUAUAUUUUACUUAACUAAUAACUUCUUUUAGGAUUCUGAGCCAAUUCACUCACAUUAAUUAAUAACUUCUUUUAGGAUUCUGAGCCAAUUCACUCACAUUAAUAAUGUAUACUAUUUGAUAUAGUGUUUGCAGUAAAAGAAAUUAAAUUGUUAGGAAAAGUAACCAACCAACUUAUUCCAAGUUAAAUCAUUAUUAAUUACUAUACCAUAAUCCAGAAGAAAAAUAAAAUUAAAAGAAAAUAAUAAUAAGAUGGGCGCAGGGUCGAACUCGUCACCAAAAGUCCUAAUGUUGCAGCACUCAAACCGUUAAGCUAAUGUGACGUUAUAAAAUCUUGGCGCCCCGCAAAUUCUAUAAAGCUGUGGCGUUUAAAGCCAUUGCUUUAGGUGCUUUUAGGUGCUUUACCCCAGGGCCGGCAAUGCAUACACACACACGAGGAGCAAUAUCUACUAUCUAGUAAAAAUGUAUAAAGUAUUGAAUUACCAAAUUUACCAUAAGGUUUAUGCGUUGUUACCAAGUGAAACAUGUUUUAGUUGUUUAGUGUUCUUAAUGUAAAGUAAAAACAAUGUGCAUAUAACAUGUUUUGGAAGUGACAGAGAAAGCUUAGACAAGUUGAAAAUUAAACUAAAGAAAGUAAACAUAAUAACAUCACAACAAAGGAAAGUAGAAGAAAAUCAUAGAUUUGCACUUUUAGUAACAUCUCUCAGAAGAAUGUAAAAGUGCUAAGUAGCUGGAACAAUAACAAUAAAAUAGGUUGAGAUGAGUUUACUGGGUGUACAAUACAUCUUCCCAUGGGUGACGAUACAGUGGCUGCUUCAAUCUCUUCUGAUCAAAGGUGUGCCCUAUCAAACCAAUGGAGCGAGCAAGAACAAAGAGACCGUUGAGGUAACCAAUCAGAACAAUCUCAUCGAUCUCCUGUUUACUGAAUAUCCCACUUCCAGCUAGAAGGUCCAAAAAGAGAGAUCCAAUGGCUCCAUCAACGUUGAGUACGAGGUUGUUUGCCUUUGAGAGCGUGUAGCUUUCCACUGUUACUGCGUAUUCCAUGUACUUCACUGACGGGAAGUUAGACCUAGCAAAUUUCUGAAGCAGCUCCACUCUCUUGUCUCUGUUGUCUCUGCUCUUGAUCCUAUAAAGAAGAAGAGAACAUGUUUCAGACAAGAGAACCUGUGGGGAUGUUUCUUUAUUACAAUAAGUGAUGAUCUUUUUACCUGUGUCCGAUCCCAGGGACUCUGAUUCCCUUCUUCUUCAUUCCCUCAACAAACUCAUAAGGUGUGAGAUUCUGAAACAAGCAACCAAUUAGAGCUUAGAUUAAAGAACUUAUGUCACUUGUGGCAAAAGAGCCUUUUAAUUACUCUGUCACAUGCGUCCUUGAAGUAUCUAGCAGCGUCAUCAAUGGCUCCACCAAACCGAGGACCAAUGGUUAAUAAACCUGGUGCAAAGUUUUAACAGUCUUAAAGAUCAUUGCAGGGUUAAAAAAACUUAUGUGUUUGAGGUGUGGAAGAGAUGUUGACUGACCUGAGACAAGGCUUGAUACAAGGUCUUUCCCUGCUCUUGCUGUUACAAUGGUGUUGUGAGCCCCGGAGACGCAUGGACCAUGAUCAGCACACAGCAUAAUGCAUAUCUAACUCAAAAGUUGCAGAGACCAGAGUUAAUCUCACUACCCAAUAGUAUACUGAGAGAUAAUGGAUUCAAAAGCAAAGAGAGAAACCAAGAGACCUCAAUGAAUUUUGUACAGUAACGAGGAAGACUACGUUUGAACCAUAGCAGGGAAAUGACAUCACCCACUCCUAAGCCUUGUUCAAUGAUGGAAGACAUUGGAACACCAGCAUAGCAUGGCUCCUCCCCUGCAAAUUAAUAUAUGAAGGAACAUUUUGUUAUCAAGUGUUCUGUGCAACUCGUUUUCUAGUUUUUCAACUCAGUCGACUAUAUGGUUUUAGUGUCCAUUACAGUACCUCUGUCAUCAGAAAUGGUGGAGAUGAUGUGAGUAGGAGCCCGGACUUUCCCACUCUUAAUUGCCGAACUGAGAUCCUCAGGGAUCUGUGGAGGAGUCACUUCCUUGAUAGAAGAGACCUUUCCUUCUUCAACCUUUUAAGAGGAAUUGAAAUGAAGACAUAAGUUUGCAACAAAAGACAUAAGUUUACAACAAGGGCUCUCCUACCAGUUUCUCAAAAGUCUCUUUGAUUGCAGACUCCAGGGCUUCAAAUGAAGUGGGAACAAUAGCUCCAGCAUCCAUUAGAGCUUGAUUCUUGGCUUGUGCAGACUCCAUCUCGCCACCACUUUUAGCACCCUAUUCAUAACCAUCAUGUUCAAAUAAAUCUUUUGAUUUGAACAACAGACAAAGAGUCAUUUAAGUUAAGUGCCGCUUACAGCGUGACCAAACUGUACUUCAGACUUGAAGAGCCGUGCACAAGUCCCACUGACCCAAGCAACAACAGGUUUAUUCACUUUCCCUUGUUUCAAAGCCUCAACAAGAGAGUAUUCAUCUCUUCCUCCAAGCUCCCCAAGCACAACCAUCAUCUUUAUCUGCAAUAUAAGCUCUUGAAUUAAGUCAUCGUUGAACUCGAAGAGCUAAAUACAAGAUCCAUCCUGUAACAUGUUAUACCUGUGGGAUGUUAUUAAACCGCAGGAUGUGGUCAGAUAAAGUUGAUCCUGGGAACACGUCUCCACCAAUAGCAAUGCCUAUCAAUAACAUAAAAAAAACAGUCUCAAUAAUCUUUCUCACUGAUAGAUUACUUCACAUUUGCAUAAAACUCACCUUCGUAGAUCCCAUCAGUCACACGAGCAACAGUAUUGUACAUUUCAUUAGACAUUCCACCCUACCAGAAAAGAAAAGAGUGAUAAAUAAAAACUCUCAUGACAUACAUUGCAGUAAGCAUUAUAAAGUUCUGAAAGAUAAUCACAUACAGAUUUGGAGACAAAACCAACAGAUCCAGGUCUGUACAGCUUGCACUGGAUAAUGUUAUCAAUAGUUCCUGCAGUGUCACCAAUCUUAAAUGCUCCAGCUUGAAUACCUCCAACAGUAGCUGGUCCAAUCACAACCUGCAAACAAACACAAUCAGUCUCAGAAUAUGAGUUUGUAAUAACUGAAGCUAGUAAAGAUACAGACCUUGUUGUUUGCACGAGCAUAAGCAAUCAGGUGCUUGGUGUCCGAUUCUGGAACACCUUCCGCUAUAAUUGCCACAACUUUGAUAGUUGGUUGCUUCAAAGCAGCCAUGGAUGAAGCAGCAGCACUAUAUAAUAAGGAAAAACCAAUCAACAAAAGUAUCAGAAAGAGACAAUGGUUAAGUUUUGUUAAUACAAACCUCCUGAAAGAUGCGAAGUUGAUGAAUACAUCCGCAGUUGGAUGAGCAGCACAGGCUGCCUCAAUGCUGUAUAAAACAAAAACAAGUUCAAAACCAUAUAGUAAAGUUUCUCUCAGAUUCUAUAUGAUACUUACGAGGCGUGAACAGGGAUAGCGAUCUCCUCCUGUCCGAAGAAGAGUUUCUGAAACCCUUCAGAGCCAGGGUUGAUGAUUCCAGCAACAGAAGGCGUUUCACGUCCUGUAAAAAAGCAAAUGAUCUUAGAAUCUCAUAUUGAUCCAAACCAAACCAAACCACUGUAAAGUUUGUCAAUGUACCACAGAGGAAGUCGAAGUCGAGCAUUCGUUGAACAGGAAGCUGCUUGUAGUUGUAGAACAGAGCUUGUGUGGUCCGAGAAAACAGCUGUCCCGUUGCCAUUUUGGUACGAGAUCAAAAAGGGUAGCUGAGAAUCAAACAGAACAAUGAUCAAACACAAAGCAAUGCGUUAACUACAAUAAAGUGUUAAUCUUUUCAAUGUUGGAGACGCGAAUCGAACUCGGAACCUAGAGAAUACACAAUUCGUUAACGAAUCUAACGUUGAAAGAAAAGAAAACAUAAACUUUAUGCAAUCUCCUCGGAAAUAUCGAAACUUUGGUAUCGAAACUUCAAGACAGAUCUAAUGAAAGCUUAGGAGAAGAGAGGAUAACAAACCUUAGUCACGACCCGAGUCGAGUUAGUUAGUUAGGAGAAGCUAAAAAAUGGUGGGAGGAAAAGGAAUGGUAGAGAGGAGAGACCAUUCUUAAGCUCUCUCAUCGAUCAUGUGGCCUCCUAUUGGUUGGUUUAGGUAGUUAGAUCACAACUUCUCUACCCAAUUUUGAUUUUUUUUUCUUUUUUUUUUUUUUUAAAAACUAAUGACCAGCUGGUACGGACUGAUUAGUAACAGUAAUUACAAAAUUAAUGACUACAUUUGUUUAUUAGUUACACAGAACAGAAAUAUAGGUUUUUUGUCCUUUUAAGAUGUGAUGAUGAUCGUUAUAAUUAAGCGUGGCUUGCUAGCUUGCUGUCGGUAGUACAUGGCUGUUUCGUUCUUGUCGUUAAGACUAAGCAACGGUUAAUACUAAGCAACGUUAAGAUGAAGACUAAGUGACGUUUGAUUCAAGUUUCUUUUAUGUUGAGAUUAUUAUAUGUUAAGCAUUAUCUUUUCAAAGAAUUCAAAAACAAUGUUCAAUUUGAACUGCAUGCACACACUUGUUGCCAUCAUUCCAUUAAUCCAUCUCAUCUAGAAUCAAAAAUCUUUUUUUUUUUGAUAAGUGAUCGAAAAUCUUUUGCCUUCAUCUCUCUCUCUCUCUCUCUCUCUCUCGAAAACUAAUUCGACUCAGAAAAUGUAAAUAGAGCAUUGAAACCGAGGAAGAACAAUAGAAGGUAACACAAUUGAGAUUGAACGUAUCUUGAUAUGAAACAUCUUUGGUUAGAACUAAUCAAAAAUUCCACUAUGAACUUUGAAGAUGUUAUCUAUUGUAUCAUUUAACGUUGCAAAGAGAGAGUGUGAGAAUAAUGAUUGUAUGUUGUAUAAAUAAACCAAGCUGUGGACCGUGGUAAUGUGAUGGUAAGAGAAAAGAUUUAGAGUAAGGCCUAAAUCCGUAAAUGAUAGAUUCGAAUUCUGAUAGGAACUAAAUUUUUACUAUUUAAUCAGAUGAAGAUGUGAUCAUGCUCCGGUCAGACUAAUCGUUAGUUUUUUUUUUUUUUUGAGGAAGGGUUUCGUUAGUUUUGUUUCCUUGGGGGAUUAGUUGUAACAAUUACCAAGUCUGUAUGUUGUUGAGUCUAACUCUAACCAAUAAUCCAUCUUGACUUACGUAUGAUAAAGAGCUAUAUUAUCAUGUGUUAUAACAAUUUUAAUUUCAUAUUACUUUCGCCCGGACCAAGACAAUAUCCCUUGAAUCCUUGAUACCUAUACAAAUGAUCAGGGAAAUGCUUAUCAGUAGGUAACAAAAAUAAUUUGACCAGUAUUAAGCUUAAGCAUUAGUGUGACUGACAUAGUAUAACUGAAUGUUAACAUAAUUAGAAAACAUCCACCAAUUUAAAUGGUUUCUCAUAAUCUGAUAAAACCAAUUACAAACUAUACUAAUCCAAAACAUCCAUGGGCCUAGAAACAAAUCCAAAACCUCGGCCUUGGUUAUAGUAAAACAGAAGCAAUAAAACAAAAUAAAGUGUGGCUGCUGGGAUUCGAGCCCAGGUCUCCACGGCCACAACGUGGAAUUCUCACCACUAAACUACAGCCACUUUUGUUUACUUGGUUCUUCUAUUAAUCAUGCCAGGUGAGCGAACCAUACAAUUAAAAGCCUCUGAAAAAGAAAUCAAAACGCAGUGUUUUGGGGGUCAAGGUUCUUCUUUCUCUGUGUGCGACUCCACAAAAAAUCUUUAGCCUUCUGCCAUGACUAGUAGCAGAGAAAGCUUCACGCUUCUUAUUAGAUUCUGAUUCUCUUUCACAAACCCUAAUCGAAUUUCUCGAAAUCUGGAUUCAAACCGUCUCUUCUCCUUCCUCCCCUAUCCAAACGAAGCUGAAAGCUUUCGUCGACUCUCUAAACAGAGAACAAACACUUCAAUAGGUUCAUUUUUUUUUUAAUUUACAUUUUAUAUUCCCUUUUUUUUUGGAAGCUGUUGUAGCAUAGAGGAACUGUUGCUGGGGUUGUGUAUGUGAUGUGUGUCAAUCUUAAUCCUGUUAAUUGCAAUGUUUUAAUCGGAUUUGCGUUUGGAUUAUUAUUAUUAUUACUAUUGGUGGUUAGAGAUUGACCAAUUCAAAUUUAGGGUUUUGUUUUAAUGUUGCAGAUACAAUAAUGUGUUAUAGGUUUGGAGUUUCUUAAUCUUGGACACUGGUGCCAGAAUCAUCCUUUUGAAUCGACAAAGAUAGCAUUUUUAAACAUCAGUAGUUCAAUACAAUGAUGUUGUAGAUAGAUUAUCAACCAUACUCGUACAAGGAUGAUAUUAAAAAGGAACUAACUUGGUUAAGGAUGUUUAAGUAUGAUUUUGAUUUUUUUUUUUUUUUUUUUUUUUUUUAAAAACUAAUGACCAGCUGGUACGGACUGAUUAGUAACAGUAAUUACAAAAUUAAUGACUACAUUUGUUUAUUAGUUACACAGAACAGAAAUAUAGGUUUUUUGUCCUUUUAAGAUGUGAUGAUGAUCGUUAUAAUUAAGCGUGGCUUGCUAGCUUGCUGUCGGUAGUACAUGGCUGUUUCGUUCUUGUCGUUAAGACUAAGCAACGGUUAAUACUAAGCAACGUUAAGAUGAAGACUAAGUGACGUUUGAUUCAAGUUUCUUUUAUGUUGAGAUUAUUAUAUGUUAAGCAUUAUCUUUUCAAAGAAUUCAAAAACAAUGUUCAAUUUGAACUGCAUGCACACACUUGUUGCCAUCAUUCCAUUAAUCCAUCUCAUCUAGAAUCAAAAAUCUUUUUUUUUUUGAUAAGUGAUCGAAAAUCUUUUGCCUUCAUCUCUCUCUCUCUCUCUCUCUCUCUCGAAAACUAAUUCGACUCAGAAAAUGUAAAUAGAGCAUUGAAACCGAGGAAGAACAAUAGAAGGUAACACAAUUGAGAUUGAACGUAUCUUGAUAUGAAACAUCUUUGGUUAGAACUAAUCAAAAAUUCCACUAUGAACUUUGAAGAUGUUAUCUAUUGUAUCAUUUAACGUUGCAAAGAGAGAGUGUGAGAAUAAUGAUUGUAUGUUGUAUAAAUAAACCAAGCUGUGGACCGUGGUAAUGUGAUGGUAAGAGAAAAGAUUUAGAGUAAGGCCUAAAUCCGUAAAUGAUAGAUUCGAAUUCUGAUAGGAACUAAAUUUUUACUAUUUAAUCAGAUGAAGAUGUGAUCAUGCUCCGGUCAGACUAAUCGUUAGUUUUUUUUUUUUUUUGAGGAAGGGUUUCGUUAGUUUUGUUUCCUUGGGGGAUUAGUUGUAACAAUUACCAAGUCUGUAUGUUGUUGAGUCUAACUCUAACCAAUAAUCCAUCUUGACUUACGUAUGAUAAAGAGCUAUAUUAUCAUGUGUUAUAACAAUUUUAAUUUCAUAUUACUUUCGCCCGGACCAAGACAAUAUCCCUUGAAUCCUUGAUACCUAUACAAAUGAUCAGGGAAAUGCUUAUCAGUAGGUAACAAAAAUAAUUUGACCAGUAUUAAGCUUAAGCAUUAGUGUGACUGACAUAGUAUAACUGAAUGUUAACAUAAUUAGAAAACAUCCACCAAUUUAAAUGGUUUCUCAUAAUCUGAUAAAACCAAUUACAAACUAUACUAAUCCAAAACAUCCAUGGGCCUAGAAACAAAUCCAAAACCUCGGCCUUGGUUAUAGUAAAACAGAAGCAAUAAAACAAAAUAAAGUGUGGCUGCUGGGAUUCGAGCCCAGGUCUCCACGGCCACAACGUGGAAUUCUCACCACUAAACUACAGCCACUUUUGUUUACUUGGUUCUUCUAUUAAUCAUGCCAGGUGAGCGAACCAUACAAUUAAAAGCCUCUGAAAAAGAAAUCAAAACGCAGUGUUUUGGGGGUCAAGGUUCUUCUUUCUCUGUGUGCGACUCCACAAAAAAUCUUUAGCCUUCUGCCAUGACUAGUAGCAGAGAAAGCUUCACGCUUCUUAUUAGAUUCUGAUUCUCUUUCACAAACCCUAAUCGAAUUUCUCGAAAUCUGGAUUCAAACCGUCUCUUCUCCUUCCUCCCCUAUCCAAACGAAGCUGAAAGCUUUCGUCGACUCUCUAAACAGAGAACAAACACUUCAAUAGGUUCAUUUUUUUUUUAAUUUACAUUUUAUAUUCCCUUUUUUUUUGGAAGCUGUUGUAGCAUAGAGGAACUGUUGCUGGGGUUGUGUAUGUGAUGUGUGUCAAUCUUAAUCCUGUUAAUUGCAAUGUUUUAAUCGGAUUUGCGUUUGGAUUAUUAUUAUUAUUACUAUUGGUGGUUAGAGAUUGACCAAUUCAAAUUUAGGGUUUUGUUUUAAUGUUGCAGAUACAAUAAUGUGUUAUAGGUUUGGAGUUUCUUAAUCUUGGACACUGGUGCCAGAAUCAUCCUUUUGAAUCGACAAAGAUAGCAUUUUUAAACAUCAGUAGUUCAAUACAAUGAUGUUGUAGAUAGAUUAUCAACCAUACUCGUACAAGGAUGAUAUUAAAAAGGAACUAACUUGGUUAAGGAUGUUUAAGUAUGCUUAAAGCUUAGAGAUGCAUAGCGUCAUCUGUAGUUUUCAAGAGAGUGGAAGUAAUAGAAAAUCGCUAAGGAUCGUGUUCUUCUCUUAUUGGCUGGAAGUAUUAAUCUUCUUAAUCUUUUUUUUUUCUGUCUUUUCAUGUUUUUCUUUUGCGUUGACAGGGUCUAAUGGCUCUUAGGAAAAAUACUCCGAAAGCUGAUUCGGUCUCUCUCCCUAUGAAGCCUUUGAAUUUUUCCAGAAAGUUGCCAGGGAAUGACCCAGAUAUUGCUCAAGAUGUUGUGCGGACUGACAUUGAUUUGGACCAGCGGGAAGUUUACUUUUUGAUGCUCCACUUACUGUCCUCUGGGCCUUGCCAAAGAACCUAUGCACUGUUGCGACAUGAACUUCUUGAACACGAGCUUCUUCCUAGAAGAUAUCAUGCUUGGUACUCGAGGAGUGGAUUGCCUAGCGGGGAUGAGAAUGAUGAUGGAAACUCCUUUCCUUUAAACUAUGCUGAGUUGGCUAAGAGGUAACUACUUGAGCUGCUCUCACUGAUUGUUUUUUAUAUGAAUUUUUAUGUGAAGAAGUUAAUUGUUGGACUGGAUUAAAGUUUAUUCCCACCAGAGAUUUUUUAACGGUUCAUGGCAUUAUAUGUGCACUUUCAGGUAUUCUCACGUAAAAAGAGAUCACUUGGUGGAGCUUCUGAAGCAGUUGGUCUUUGUUUCAAGUAGGCGUACACCCUCACGAGGGCUUGGUGAUGGAAAUAAACUAGUUACAGCUGGUGUCCCAACGCUUUUAGGGACUGGAUCGUUCUCCCUUUUGAGCUGUAGGUGAUUGCUAAAAAAAUUUUUUUCUUAUUGGCGAGUUUAGUUUUGUCUUUUUGCUCACGAUGGGCACACACCACACAUUUAUAUUAGACACAAGCUAUAAUAAACCAAUUUCUCUUAGAAGUUACUUAGGACUUUAUUUUGUAUUUGCUAAGUUUUUUUUCAAAAGCUUGGCUCGCUAAAGCUGCCUUGUUUGGUUUUGCAGACGACAAGGACAUAGUUGGAAGUGAUCUCAAAAUGUUUUUCUUUUGCGUUGACAGGGUCUAAUGGCUCUUAGGAAAAAUACUCCGAAAGCUGAUUCGGUCUCUCUCCCUAUGAAGCCUUUGAAUUUUUCCAGAAAGUUGCCAGGGAAUGACCCAGAUAUUGCUCAAGAUGUUGUGCGGACUGACAUUGAUUUGGACCAGCGGGAAGUUUACUUUUUGAUGCUCCACUUACUGUCCUCUGGGCCUUGCCAAAGAACCUAUGCACUGUUGCGACAUGAACUUCUUGAACACGAGCUUCUUCCUAGAAGAUAUCAUGCUUGGUACUCGAGGAGUGGAUUGCCUAGCGGGGAUGAGAAUGAUGAUGGAAACUCCUUUCCUUUAAACUAUGCUGAGUUGGCUAAGAGGUAACUACUUGAGCUGCUCUCACUGAUUGUUUUUUAUAUGAAUUUUUAUGUGAAGAAGUUAAUUGUUGGACUGGAUUAAAGUUUAUUCCCACCAGAGAUUUUUUAACGGUUCAUGGCAUUAUAUGUGCACUUUCAGGUAUUCUCACGUAAAAAGAGAUCACUUGGUGGAGCUUCUGAAGCAGUUGGUCUUUGUUUCAAGUAGGCGUACACCCUCACGAGGGCUUGGUGAUGGAAAUAAACUAGUUACAGCUGGUGUCCCAACGCUUUUAGGGACUGGAUCGUUCUCCCUUUUGAGCUGUAGGUGAUUGCUAAAAAAAUUUUUUUCUUAUUGGCGAGUUUAGUUUUGUCUUUUUGCUCACGAUGGGCACACACCACACAUUUAUAUUAGACACAAGCUAUAAUAAACCAAUUUCUCUUAGAAGUUACUUAGGACUUUAUUUUGUAUUUGCUAAGUUUUUUUUCAAAAGCUUGGCUCGCUAAAGCUGCCUUGUUUGGUUUUGCAGACGACAAGGACAUAGUUGGAAGUGAUCUCAAACCACCACCUAUAGGGAUGCGUUGGCCUCAUAUGCAUGCUGAUCAGGUGCGUGGUUUAAGUUUGAGAGAAAUUGGUGGUGGUUUUGCCAGACAUCAUCGAGCCCCAUCAAUUCGUGCAGCAUGCUAUGUCAUUGUAAAACCAUCUACAAUGGUACAAAAGAUGCAGAACAUCAAGAGGCUACGUGGGCACAGAAAUGCUGUGUACUGUGGUAAGUUAUUUACUUGUUCUGGGGUGAAUCUUAAUAUUAUGUUUCGUUUUUAAAUAAUUUAAUAAUCAUUUGGAUGAUCUGCAUACCUAUAUCAAUAUGCUGCAGCUAUACUUGACCGCUCAGGAAGGUAUGUAAUCACUGGUUCAGAUGAUCGCCUUGUAAAAGUAUGGUCAAUGGAAACUGCAUACUGCCUGGCCAGCUGUCGAGGGCAUGAAGUGAGUUCCAAGUACUCUAUAAGAAUAUUAUAAUCCUGUUACUGUAUUCUUAAGUGGUGCUUAUAAUACGUGUGUUUUGGUGCAUAUGAAAGGGUGACAUAACUGAUCUUGCUGUGAAUUCGAACAACACUUUCAUAGCAUCCGCUUCAAAUGAUUGUGUGAUCCGUGUUGUAAGUUUCUUGUAUCUCCUAUGUUUAUGUUUCCACUAUGCCAUACAUUACCCUCCUUGAUGAGUUCACUCAUCUGGAUUUUUCUAGUGGAGAUUGCCAGAUGGGUUACCAGUUUCGGUACUUCGUGGACAUAUUGGAGCUAUUACUGCUAUUGCAUUUAGUCCCAGACCUGGAUCCCCGUACCAACUUCUUUCGUAAGGAUUUUUCUCAAGUUGUACCUUUUGCCAUCAUGUGUACGCUAUCUGGGGCGUUAUUUUUGCUCGUUCUUUCGAAGAAUAUUUGAGAAUUAUUAUGUUUCGUUAGUUGUUUUCAUUGGUUGACACCAUGCUAUUAAUUAUGUGGAUUUUCAGUUUAUUGCCUAUGUAGUAUGGCUUUAGAAUUUUUGAUUUAAUUAACCUUUUGGUCACAAAGCUGGAAAGUUAAAUGUACUCCGAUUCAUUCUCUUCUUUAGAUGGAAUUUACGAUGUUGACUUUUUAUUGUGCUGUGAAAUCUAUCUCUACUAUGUCAUGACUCAUGUUUUUGUUUUGUAUUGAGAUUUUAUUUGCUUAUCUGGAUACUGUUUUAUUCUAUUAUCUUUAUAAGCCGUUUGAUCCCUUAAAUAUCUGCAGAUCGUCGGAUGAUGGUACAUGCAGGAUAUGGGAUGCUCGGGGUGCCCAAUUUGCUCCGCGGAUAUAUAUCCCUAGGCCUCCUAGUCCUGAUGGUGAUUGCUCUACGUUCUUAGUUAUUUGCUUUUUGCUUUGAUCUACUGGAAGCUGUAGGACUGACUAUGGAAACCUAUUCCAGGGAAGAACAAUGGCCCUUCUUCUAGUGACGCUCAGCAGAGUCACCAAAUUUUUUCCUGCGCAUUCAAUGCCAGUGGAUCUGUCUUUGUCACUGGUAGCUCUGACACUCUUGCCAGAGUAUACUCGGUACUGAUAAAUGUCCAAUCCACACUUUCUGACAAAAUUUAUAGGGUUCACUUAAUUACAAAAGGUGUUUCCUUGGUCAUAGGUUUGGAGUGCUAGUAGGAUCAGUAAUGAUGACCCAGAGCAGCCAAAUCAUGAGAUGGAUGUUUUGGCUGGACAUGAGAAUGAUGUUAAUUAUGUUCAGUUCAGGUGAACCAUUCACUUUUGAAAUUACAUUUCUUAUGAGAUCCUAAAUAUCUUAUCUUAGCCCUUUGUUGUGGUGCUUCCCAGUGGUUGUGCUGCAGGAUCUAAAUUUGCCGACUACUCAAAAGACGAUAGUGUUCCAAAAUUUAAGAGCUCCUGGUGUGUAAUGACAGCUGCAGUUAGAUAAUUUUGCAAUUACUGUUAAUAUUCACCUUUUCCAAUGUUCUAUUUUGUGUGUUGACAUUCAAUGACACAUCUAUUUUCUAGGUUCUGUCAUGAUAACAUAGUUACAUGCUCUCGUGAUGGUAGUGCAAUCAUUUGGAUCCCAAGAUCUCGGAGAUCACAUGUAAUAUUCACCGAUUUCACCUAAUUCAAUUCAUUUUCAUCAGAGCAGAAACUCAGAUCUUUAUUUAUGUUUUCCAGGGAAAAAGCUGCCGAUGGACACGAGCAUAUCAUCUCAAGGUUCCACCUCCGCCCAUGCCUCCUCAACCCCCUAGAGGUGGGCCACGUCAAAGGAUCCUGCCUACUCCCCGUGGGGUUAACAUGAUUGCUUGGAGUCUGGAUAAUCGUUUUGUUCUUGCCGCUAUCAUGGGUAACACUUUCUUGACACGCUUGAUGGCUUAGAGUUUAUCCAGGACGACUUUAUAGCGCUCAACUCUUGCUAACUAGAAUCACUUUCUAUGUUAAAGAUUGUAGAAUAUGCGUGUGGAAUGCCUCUGAUGGUAGCUUGGUACAUUCUUUAACUGGCCAUACAGCAUCUGUGAGUGCUUGAUCCCUUUUAUAUUUCUCUUCAUUCAUGGAUUUGGUUGACUACCUUAAGGGAGUUUCCGGAAUUGCUAAAACUGUUGACCUCUGUACUACAAAGCAAGAAAAAGGAAAAAAAAUUCGCUGAUCAUGCCUAUAAAAUUAAUCACAAAAAUCAUUCUUCUUCUAAGCAGACUAUGUAUUAUUUCACCAUAAGAUAAUUUUUUUUUUUUUAUGUUUUUAUGAAAACACUCCUAACUAUGCCUAAUGCCAUUUAUGCCUCGUUAUAUUUUUUUGCUGGUUCCUGUUUUAGUUUUCGAGGCAUGAUUUCCUCUUAGUACCUUGUAUUACUGUUAUUGACAUGAUGUACUUAUUGUUUGUAGACAUAUGUUAUGGACGUCCAUCCUUUCAAUCCUCGGAUAGCUAUGAGUGCUGGCUAUGAUGGAAAAACAAUAGUGUGGGAUGUAAGUUUUACUUUCUGCAUUGUCUAAGUGUGGUAUGUAAGUUUUACGGAAAACAAUAUUGCUGCGCGUCUUCUUCUUAUCUACCAAAACCUUUUGUUCUCUUCUUCUAGAUAUGGGAAGGAAAACCUAUCCACACAUACGAUAUUUCACACUUCAAGUUGGUCGAUGGGAAGUUUUCACCGUAAGCAAAUAGUACCUUUUCCGUACUCGUUAUGCUCCUAGUACUUCUGAUUGCUAAUCUUUAUCUUCAUAAUGUAGAGAUGGAACGUCAAUAAUACUUUCAGAUGAUGUAGGGCAACUGUACGUAUUAAGCACAGGCCAAGGGGAUUCUCAAAAGGACGCUAAAUAUGAUCAGGUACUAUAUAACUUCAGUUGCAGAGAAAGCUUCAUUAAUGUACUUCUACUAACUACAUUUUUGAUAGAUAUACUAGAUAGGAUUUUAUCAGGAUUAAGUUUGUUGGUGCUUUGAGAGACCGACAUAUCUCCUGAUUCUCUUGCUCAGAGAGAUCAGAAAUAACCUUUUCGAUAUAAACAUUCAAUAAUCCUUAAUACACGCUAAAGAUCUCUUCAUAAGAAAAGCCUAGAUAAUACUGUAGGAAUAUAUCUCUGAACAUCUAUAGAUUCAUACUAAAUAUUAUAGAGAUAUCUUAAUUCUAGCUGCUCCACUUUAACUCCGCUAAACAAGUCGGCAUUUACCUGUCUAAUGCUAAAAUGAAUUUUCCUUGUAAUUUCUCUGUGCAUUUUGCAGUUUUUCCUGGGGGAUUACCGGCCAUUAAUUCAGGACAUAUAUGGGAAUGUCCUUGACCAGGUAAAUAGUUCAUCUUUUUACCCUUCUUGUGAUUCUGCUUCAUAACCAUUUAUGUAAUUCUGCUCGUUAGUGUACUCACUAAUUGGCAUUUGGAACUUUGAUUCAGGAAUCUCAGCUUCCACCUUAUCGCCGAAAUAUGGAGGACCCUCUUUGUGAUUCAGGUUUUACCUUCUUUUACUAUGAUCAAAAGUUCUUUGUGGAUCCUUCUACUCAGGAUGGGCAUAUUAUUCACUCUUAUCUUUCUGAAUUCUAGCGAUGAUUCCAUAUGAAGAGCCAUAUCAGACCAUGUUUCAGAAACGGCGACUUGGCGCCUUAGGCAAAGAAUGGCGACCAUCUUCUUUAAAGCUUGCUAUAGGGCCAGAUAUCACUUUAGAUCAAGAUUACCAAAUGCCACCUUUGGCAGAUCUAGACUUAGCUGAGCCGAUGCCAGAAUUUGUAGAUGUGAUGGAGUGGGAACCAGAAAUCGAUAUCUUAAGCGAUGGAAAUGACUCCGAAUACAAUGUGCCAGAAGAGGAUUCGUCUGGAAAAGAGCAAGAAUGUUUAAAUUCUUUAACUUCUAGCGAGUCAGGUUCCAGUUCUAGUGAAGGCGAUGAGGAUGGUGGUCAUCAGAAUAGCCGUAGAAGAUCCAAAAGGAGAAAACAUAAAACAGGAGUAAGUUUUGUAAUAUUGCUUUGAUCUUUUGUGCCUAAAGAUGCUACUUAUCUCUUUUUACCUCUUUACCAGGCUGAGAUCAUGACUUCUUCGGGUAGGCGUUUUAGAAAGAGAAACUUUGAUGAGCUUGAAGGUGCUACAAACAAGAACAAACGUACCAGGAAAUCUAGGAGUGGUCGUAAAAAAUCCAAAAGGAAAUCUUCAAAAUCUAAAUCGUCCAGACCUAGGCGAGCGGCUGCACAAAAUGCACUCUCUUGGUUUUCUAAGAUUACAGGUACAUCUAAAGAUGCAGAAGAGGAAGAAGAUAUCUCUGAAUUGAGUGAGUCAUCAGAAAGUGAAUCGACAACAGAGGAUUCAGGCACUGGGGAUAGUGAACUUGAUGUCGCUUUGGUAAAUGGGCAUGACAAGCAAUCAAAGGGGAAAGAUAUUCUCGUAUGUGAUUCAGACAAUGGGGCUCAACAGUGUGAUGUUAGCGAAACUCAACGUGCUGAACGAAGGAGAUUGGUUGUUAGGUUUCCUGUUAAGAGUUCAGAUAAGCUUUCCUUGCUGGAGAACCUACCUGGAACAUCUUCCUAUGCUCCAACUCCAACUUUAGGGAAUGGCUGUGCUGAAGACUCAAGGGUUUCUGGGAACUUUGAAGUUUCCACAAAUCACUUAGAUGCAAGCAAAGUAAAAUGGGGAAUGGUUAAGGCUCGUACAUCAAAGCGAAUGAGAACUGAAUCAAUGUCAUCGCAUGGACUUAUGGGCUCUGAGCCAGAUGGAGAAGAAAAUAAUCUUAGCAAAGAGGCAGAUCACCAUGAUAAUGGUGUUACAGCACCUAAUUGUUUGGAAUUAAGAACAGAUAUCGAUGGAAUUGCAGUUGACACUGACACGGUGAUUUCUAAUGGUUUGCCAAAUGGUGAAGAACGAUGCCUAAGAGUGGAUGGGUCGCCAAGUCGAGUGGCUGAUGAGGGUGCCUCUAACUGUUCUCAGGAUGUAACAGGUCGCUUGCAUGAUCUAAAAGAUAGCCUUCCACCUAUCUCUAGGACGUUGAGGAUACGCUCCAAGAGGGUUUCAAGGGCUCCUGAUACAUCUUUGAAGCAAGAAGUAAAAUCUUCAUCUAUAAAUCAAGAGAAUGGUGGCUCUGACGCGUUAAAUGAUGGUUCUGCAAACACUAAAUUGGAUUUGGCAUUGGACAACCAAAAGGAUGGUUUGGUUGGAACAGAGCUACCUCUGACAAAUGAUUGUGUGCAUGAAUCAAAACCGCUGACCAGUGACCCUGUCUCAGUUGAUGUUCCUGUGUCACAUCCUAAACGGAUGUUUGAUUAUGUCUAUAGACGAAAGAAGUCACGAAAGCAGGAGAAUAACUCAGACCGGGGUGCUACUCUGACUCAAGAAACAAGUCCAGGUUCGUGUAGUCAGGAUCAAAGUAGUGGUGCUAAUACCCACGAAGGUGUCCCUAAUGGGCUCCAUGAGACCGAGUCAAAUGGUUUGGAGAAGCCGGAAAGCAGUUUGACACACAUCCGAGAUAAACUAAGUGAUUCACAUGGAAACCAAAACUCUCAAGAAGAAUGUAUAUCAACUUCUGGGGCAACACUUCGGUCGAGAUCCACAAGGAAUAGAAAGUCUACUUAUCCUUUUAGUGAAAGUAAACCUGUUGAGACAAAGAAGCUUCAGCAGUCGAUAGAAAAGGUAUCUUGGUUAACAUUAUCGACACAUGAAGAGGGUUCUCGUUAUAUCCCACAAAAGGGAGAUGAGGUUGCUUAUUUGCGACAGGUAAUCUUAUCUGUUAGUCUCGUUUAAUCAACCUCUGGUAUCAAUUUUUUAACCUGUGGCUGUUACUCGUACCUUUCAGGGGCAUCAAGAAUACUUGAACUUCAGCUCCCUGAGGGAAGUGGCUCCUUGGACUUCAAUAAAGGCAGGAAAUAUAAAGGCGGUGGAGAUUUGUAAAGUGGAAAGUCUCGAAUACGCAACACUACCUGGUUCUGGGGAUAGCUGCUGCAAAAUGAUACUUAAAGUCAUCGACCCCAACUCCGAAGUAUUCGACAAAACUUUCAAGCUGACAUUGCCUGAGGUGGUGAGCUUUCCAGAUUUUCUCGUGGAAAGGAGUCGGUAUGAAGCAGCGAUACAGAGGAACUGGACUUUCAGGGAUAAGUGUAAGGUUUGGUGGAGAGACGAAGGCGAAGAAGAUGGUAAUUGGUGGGAAGGACGGAUUCUAGCUGUGAAGGCCAAGUCACCUGAUUUUCCUGAUAGUCCGUGGGAGAGGUACACAGUUAGAUACAAGAAUGAUCCGACUGAGACGCAUCUUCACAGUCCGUGGGAGCUUUUUGAUGCUGAUACCAAGUGGGAGCAGCCUCACAUGGAUGAUGAGAAACGAAACCGUCUGCUCUUGGCCUUAACAAAGUUGGAGACUUCUGAUAAAAGAACCAAGGUUUGUUCUUCUAAUCAAUUUUAAUAUCUCUUGCCUCUUGGUAUUCAAGGAAUUGGUAGGCGGUGGUUAGGCAUCUUAUAGAAGAUUAUUGUCUAGGCGGACACUUAGAUCGAUUUUUGAAUGUCUAGAAUGAUUUUAUAAAAAAUCGUUUCGUUCUGAUUUGCCAACUAGGUGGACACUGGUUUUUAGAACACUGGUUGAGACUAUCCUAGCCUCUAAGCAUAGGCAUGUUUACGUUAGUUAGGAGGUUAUAGUUAGUCCACUCUAAGUAGAUUAAGAGGCAAGAACAUAGCAAUAUGACAUAAACUUUACUUAAUCGUUUCAGGAUUCUUAUGGCCUGCAAAAACUGAAGCAGACCGUGGGAAGUUCGAGCUACACCAACAGGUAAAGUUUCUUCAACACUGGAAGAAGAGGAUUAUAAUAGCGAUGAAGCUCACACGGUUUUGUUAUAUGGAUUCAUGUGCAGGUUCCCAGUUCCUUUGUCGAUUGAAGUAAUCAGAUCAAGGCUUGAGAACAACUAUUACCGGAGUGUGGAAGCAUUAAGACACGACGUAGAAGUUAUGUUGUCCAAUGCGGAAACUUUCUUUGGUCGAAAUAAAAGCGUAGCAGCCAAAAUCUCGCGUCUCUCUAAAUGGUUCGACCGCACGCUACCUUCUUUGUAGCAUAUCUUAUUUCAUAGUAUGUAGAUAAAGUAUUAAUUUCCGCUCGUACCUCAUAGUUCUAAUGAAUGAAAGAUAAUUUUAGGAUUUUUUUCGUUUUAGAGAUUUUUAGGUUUAGGGUUAGUUUUGGAGAGAAUUGUUUUCAUUGCAAGCAAAGAUAGAUUUGGAGAGAGUCAACAACAUUUAAUGCUUUGUAAAACAGAGAACCAUCUUACCUUGAAUAAUCCAACCAAGUUUCAGUAUGAUUUUCUUUUCUGCUUAAUAGUACGAAAAUGUGAACAAAAAUUGGACACUACAUGCAGCAAAAGGACACAGAAAAGUUAUAUGUAAAUUUUGUCUAUUAUCUACUCCUAAUAGAUGAUGGAUAAAAAAGAUAAUACUGCACAAAAGUUGGUGGAAUAUUGAGUAAAAACUUUAUAAAAUGUCUUUAACUGUGAUUUUAUUAAUUUAAACCUAUCUUUCGGCCAAAAUAUUAUUAACGAGGUUCAAAAAAGAAAUAUGUAACGUUUUUAUCAGUGUAACUUUAUAGAUGGAAAUAUCAUCAAAUAACCGUAUUUUAAGCAUUUUUCGCAUAAAUAUGUUUUAGUAGAGAUCAUGCUUUUUUUAUAAAUAUAGAGAUCAUGCUUUUAGUAUGUAAUAACUGAGUGAGCAUGAACAACAAAUAUUCGAAAAUUAUGUUUUAAUGUGGUAAUUACCUUACGAGUGCAACAUCUAUAUUCAUCAGUUCAUCAACUUUUAAGUCACUACCAUACGAGACAAUAUUCUUAUCGACCUAUACUAGAAAUCAGCAAAUUACCAUGUCUCCGUCAUGGACACGUUUGGCAAUCACUUGUAUCAUUUUUGUUUCCCUUUUUUAUCAGCACCAAUGUAAGCAUAUAGACAUAUAUAUAUAUUAUAUAGCAAUAAUAUGAUCAUCAUCGUUAUUGUGAUCAUUAACAUCAUAUAUUCAUUACCUUUUCUGAAUAAUCUAAUUAGCUUUUUAUCUUUGUAGGUGAAAAUGUGGAUGGUUAUGAGCAGAACAAGCUAUUUAUACCACCGUGCAUUGGUUUACAUCGCCAUCACAUUUCCUUUAGACCCGAUAGUUAUUGCUGCGACGGAAAGAAUAAGUUCUGUUCACCGAUUAAAGAAGAAUGUUGGCGUCAAUGUGCGAUCCUUAAUCCGCGACCUUCUUCUUCUAAGAAUUAACAAUCUCUUCAAGUGUGUUUCAUAUACAUGAAUUUCUUGUAACUUUCUAUUUGAUUUUCUCUCUCAAAUUAUCAUAUAUUAUAAUAUAACACGAGUAUGUGACUCCAAAAAUUUAAUGUAAGAAAGUGACAAUAAAAGUGUUCACAAUUGCUGGAUUUUUUUGGAUUUAAUUAGUGAGAGAUUUUUAGGUUUAGCUUAGGUUAGUUGGAGAGAAGAUAUUUCAUUACAAGGAGAGGGAGAUAGAUUGGAGAGGUCAGCAACAUUUGAUGCUUUGUAAAACAGAGAACCAUCUUCCGUUGAAUGAUCCAACCAAAUUUCAGUCUGAUUUUAUUUUCUGCUUAGUACGGAAAAUUUGGGGAAAAUUGUUUGAAAAUAGUCUAUAAAACUGUUUGAUCCACAGCAGUUUGUAUAUUGUCUUUGCCGUAUUCAAGAGUUUAUCUUCAAACCCUAGAGCUUAUCCGCAAACCCUUAUUCUCUUCUCUUAUAUAAUAAUUUAUUAAUUUUAGAAACCAAGUAUGAAAUAUUAGCUUCUCUUUUUUUUUUACUACAAUAGUUUUCUAUUGAUCUCCUCUUCGCGGCUUUAACUUGUCUAGUUGUCGGUUAUUUCUUGUCUUAAGUUAUCCAUAACUCUCUUCUCCUCUCUCACGCUGUAUCAUUUCUUAACAUCAUAUGAUCGCAUCAAAUAUUUAUUUUCUACGUUUAAGUUCUAUGAUGGCUGACAUUGGAGGGAAAAACACCUCAAAGAGAAGCAUCACAAGUAAAUCUGAAGGAGGAGUAGUAUUAAGACAUUAAUGCUUUUUUUGCAUUGGUGUUACUUCUUUGUUAACACUUCCCAGUUGCAAGAUCUUAAUUACUUUUUUUUAGUUGUUUUUAGUUUUGAACAUAAAGUCCUACACUUUACAUGUUUCUAACAAUUCACAUGGCAUCAUCAAACAAUACAAGUCCUAGAUAAAAAUCUACACUAAAACGAUAUUCCAAGCAAUAUGAACGUAAAGUUUAAGUAACUCUUUGAUAAAUCAUGCACAUACGAUACGACAACCACAUGGUGCUAGCUUUCCAUUGCUAGAGCUGUAAACUGGGCGAGCCCAUGUCCAUUAGCCCAUAUCCAUUUGUCCAUUCAUUGUUUGUGGACAGCAAAGUGACCAUGUCCAUUAAGAACCAUGUCCAUUAAAGACCAUACCCACUAACACCCAUAUUUUUAUGGGCUGGCAUGGGAUCCAUAAUGACCAUAUAAGAAAAUUUUAAAUUUUAAUUUAUAAACCUACAAUUAUAUAUAAAAGUUCAUAAAAUUAAAAUUCAUCCAUAAAUUCAAAAGUACAACAAUACAUAAUUUCAUAAAUACAACAAUUACGGUUUUGGCGGGAAAAAUUGAUUUUGCGGUUUUAGCGGAAAAACUUGAUUUUACGGUUUUGAUGGAAAAACUCGAUUUUGCAGUUUUGACGGAAAAACUCGAUUUUGCAGUUUUGGCGGAAAACUCGAUUUUCUGAUUUUGGCAGAGAAACUCGAUUUCGGUUUUGCCAUGGGGUCUAUAAUGACCAUAUAAGAAAAUUUUAAUUUAUAAGCCUACAAUUACAUAUACAAGUUCAUAAAAUUAAAAUUUAUCCAUAAAUUCAUAAGUACAAUAAUACAUAAGUUCAUAAGUACAACAAUUUCGGUUUUGGUGAGAAAAAUUGAUUUUGCGGUUUUGGCAGGAAAACUCGAUUUUCUGGUUUUGGCGGGAAAAUUCGAUUUUGCGUUUUGCAGAAAAAUUCAAUUUUGCGGUUCUGGCGGAAAAACUCGAUUUUCUGGUUCUGACGGGAAAAUUUGAUAUUAAAAUUUAGCAAAAAAAUCGAUUUUAUGAGUUUAGCGGAAAAACUUAAAUUUUAGAAAUCUUAGGUUUUGUGACCACUGGACAGUCCACGUCCAUAAAGCCCAAAACCAUUAAAUACCAUUUUUUUAAUGGUUUUCCACAUUUUGUCCAAUAAAACCAAUGGGAAAAAUGGGUUUGUCCAUAUUAAGCCCAUUUGUAUAUGGACAUGGGCAACCAUUGGACGGCCCACCCAUUUGACACCUCUAUCCAUUGCCAUGGCGUUUUGUGAGACUCAAGCCCUUAAUCCCCAUGGAUCGUUACUAAACCAAGCUAUCUAAUAAAUGAUGGGUAAGAAAUAUAAUACUACACAAAAAGUUGAUCAAAUAUUGAGUAAGAACUUUAUAAAUUAAUGUCAACUAUGAUUAUUAUAAAUAAUUUGUAUGUAACUUUUUUAUCACAAUGUCAUCAGUUAACCGUAUUUUAAAUGCGACUUUUUCGCAUAAAUUUGUUUUAGUAGAGAUCAUGCUUUUAGUAUGGAUAACUGAAUAUGAGCGUGAAAUAAAAAUACACAAAAAUAUGAAUCAGUUCUUCAAGUCUUAAGUCACUAACAUACAUAUAUAUAUAUAUCUUCAUCAACACAUUUUGCAAUCCCUUGUAUCAUUUUUGUUUCCCAUUUUGGUCUACACAAAUGUAAACAUACACUGAUACACACGCAUACUGUUGACCGUUAAUAUUUUCAUAGCAAUAAUAUGAUCAUCAUUAUUGUAACCAUCAUCAUUAUAUCCUUCAUAACUUUUUCUGAAUAGUAUGAUUAACUAAAUAACUUUACAUUUUUUAGGUGAAAAUGUAAAUAACUUCAUCUUUUGCAUUGCUUCAAAAUUGUAGUCUUCCUCUGUUUUUAUCUUUUUUUGGCUUAGGAAGGCUGGCCUGCUUAAACUUUUUGUAUCAACAAACUCUCUCAUUUUCUAAUGAAAUUCACAUAGCAAAAAAAAAAAAGAUAUUUCUACCACCGUGCAUUGGAUUACAUUUCCGUAUUAGCUUUCACCAAGUUGUUAUUGCUGGGUCGGUAAAAAUAAGUUCUUACAAAGAAGAAUGUUGGCAUCAAUAUACGAUCCUUAAUCCUCCACAUUCUUCAAAGAAUUAACAAACUCUCUUCACGUGUAUUUCAUAUGCAUGAGUUUGUUGUAAAUUUUUAUUUGAUUUUCUUUUUCUCAAAUUAUCAUACUAAAGUAUAGCACGGGUAUGUGACUCCACAAACUUAAGUGACAAUAAAAGUGUAUAAGCGUAAUCAUCGAGAGAAACUUGUCAAGAAAGACAUUUUAGUUACAUUAAAGUAAGAAGCGAAGAUUCAAGAAACAAAUUCUUAAACCAAACACUGACUAGUCAUGGAAGUUUAGGGUGGCCGGAAGAUUUUCCGGUGAGAUUUUCCGGGGGCUUAGAGAAUUUAGAAGGGUUGUGUUUAGUGAACCAAGUAGUGUACAGAAACUGCUUGUGAGGACCAACAUGGUUACAUAUUAGCUUCAGCUUCUGUCUUUCUCUCAUCCACCUUAGUAUUAUCUUCAUGUGCCUCUUGCUCGUUAACCCUCUUAAUCCCACUUCCUGUUCAAAUAAUGAUCAGAUGAAAGCUAACUCUGUAAUGAAUAUAAUUAAUGUUACUUGGAAGCAAAACAGCAACUACUCCAGUUCUUGACCUAAUAAUUUCUCCAAAGAAAACAUCUUGUGAUUUAAAAAGAGUAUACCUUGACACGAUCCCAAGUUUCAGCGAUGGUGAGAGGUCCAUGUUCCUUCAAAACAUCAAAGAUCACUCGGGUGAUCGUCUGGGUUUGCUCCGGUGGUGUGUUCAGCUCGAUGGGUUUCAUCUUAGGUUUAGGUUUCGUCGCGAAUUGCCUUAUCAACAAUCCAACUACAUUUUGAUUGCUUAUGUUCCAAGGCACCACGUUCCGCAACAUGCUCAGAUACUUUGCAGCUAUAAAAACAAGAACACUUGUUAACUCAAAUCACUAUCACGACAGAUUCAUGUUAACACAAAAUCGAAACCUUUAAUUUAUUUUUCCUGAGAAUAACAGAAAUGAAGAAACAAACCGGUUAUUUAUCAAAUUUUUGAAGUUGUGAGUCUCGGCUAGACAUUUGAUCGAACAGGUUAUGUGCGUUACGAGCUUUGUAAUGUAUACAAGGCCACAAGGAUUACAAAAAUUAGAGAGCGAAAACUCACACGAUGGAGAGAAAGUGGAAGCCGAAGCAGCCGAGUUUCUAGAGACUGAGACUUGGGAGAGAGCUUGGACUCUCUGUAAUAGCCAAGCAAACGUUACUACUAACAACGUAAUGCAAUUACAUACGUAAUGUAAGAAGCAUCAUUUACGUAUAUUUAUAAAAGAGCCCCUCUUGUUACUCAUAAUUUACAAUGUUCACCCAAAUUUGGAUCUGUUACCAAAAAUCCCUGAUCGAUCUCUGGAGUUAACAUGAAUCGUGAUUGAUACAUUUACACAGUAGCCCCUGACUUUACUCAAAAUUUCAAACUUUCACUCAAAUUUGUAACUUCCACAAAAAGAGCCCCUUAUCGAUCUCUAGAGUUAACAUUAAUCAUGAUCGAUACAUUUACGGUGGAAAUUUACACAAUAGCCCCUGACUUUACUCUAAAUUUCAGACUUUCACUCAAAAUUUGUAACUUUCACAAAAUAGUCCAGUUGACAUGAUUAAUAAUUUUAUGGUGGAACUUUUCUUGUGGGGUUUACAACUUUCUCUAAAGAGCUAUUGAAACUAAAAGAGAUUCUCAAAUCCAUGAGUGUGUGAUACAACACAAAGCCAUGAACGGCUGAGAAAUGAAAAGCAGUGUGAGUUACUUCAUGUAGCUCACUCAAUUCAACGACGUUUGCUGUGCCUCUUGCUCUUCUUCUUUCUACUGCUUCUUCUGUCAUCAUCCGACUCCGAGUCAGAACCUGAUUCUGAAUCAGAUGACUCCUCCUCAGAUGAAGAAGAACAAGAGCUGUAUCUUCUCCUUCUCCUCCUUUCCUUCCUCUGCUUUGGCUUCUUCUUCUUGCUCGUCCUCUUACUCCUCCUCCUCCUCCUCUCCUCCUCUGACUCAGACGACGAACUGUACUCCGAAUCACUCUCCCCAGACGACUCAGACCCAUCACUACUUUCAAACACAGAUGCUUCACUAUCACUACCAGAAUCAGACUUCGACCUCUGCUUCCUCUUAGCCCUCCUCUCACCUUCUCCUUUCCCAUUCGCUACCUCUAUCUUCCCAUCAUCGCCACCACCAUCAAGAUCAUCAACAGAAGGCUUCGUCCUCAGUUUAGGAUUCUUAAGCUGCUGAGUCCUCGACGGUCUCGACACAUAAACCCUCUCGUUCUUACACUCAUAAGUCCAGUGCCCCGUCUGAAAACACUUCUGACACUGAGAACCGCCUCCUCCAACAACAGCAGAAGCUGACACAGACUUGUUGUCUUUCCUCUCCCCAAGCCUAACGGCUUUCUCGGUACUCAUCAAGUACAUCUGCCUCUUGGCUUCCCGUUUCUCCUGCCAUCGGCUAGGACCUUCUUCCUUUUGCCCGUAAGCGUUGACGUUACGAGCAGCUGCGGUUGCUGCUCGCUCGGCUUGAGUACGGCUAAGACCUUUGGCGGCGGUGAGUGCAGCGGCUUUGAUUCUGUCGGCUGCAACCUGUGAUUUCUCCUCCUUUGCAUCGGACAUGAUUAUUGAAUCCUCUGCAAUCAAAUUCAAACACAAAGUGAAUUUAGUAUAAUCCUUAAGCAGGAGGAGCCUUUCAAAAUUAGGGUUUCUACUUCCAUGUAAGUAAACUGGGUUUUGAUUAUCUAGAACAUAUGAAUAAACUUGGAUUCGUGAAUUCUACUAAGACUUAACGAUAAUAGAGCGGGAGACAAUUAGGUUAAUCGAUCUAUUAGUUUCAAAUUCAAGAUCUACACAAGCCUUAAUUUGGAAAAGAAUAAGAAGGAGAACUUACAAUUAGAAACGGGAGGACGAGGAGGAAGAUCGAAGCAGCUUUUGCUUGGGAGAGAUUAAUGAAGAGGAUGAGCGAUUUUGAGAGGCGCGAGAGUAAAAAGGCGACGGCGCUCUCAAAGGCUCAAAGCAGAGGGAGGAAGACGAAGAAACAGACUUAAGUAUUGGGCCCAAAUACUCUUUUCUAUUUUUCAAAAACUUAAAAAUAGAAAACAGAAUAAUAGUCUAAUUUAUAAAUUCUGAAUUGUUUUUAGAAGAAGAUAUUAUUAUUAAUUUAUGUCUUGAUUAAAUCAUUUAUUCUAACAAAUCUAUUUUCUUUUUAUGAAGUUGUAUAUUUUAAAUUUCAAUUUAAGACUUAAUUUUCAGUAAAAACAUGCUUGAUCAUGUAUUUUGAGGUAAAUGAAAAAAGACAAUUGUUAAUAAUAGCACAUUUUAAAGUUUAUGUCUCAAAAAUGGCAUUAGAAGAAGAAAGUCACAAAAAUGAUAUUCAUUAAAGGGUAAAAUAUCCCUAAUACCAUUGGUUUAAAUUAAAUAAACAAACAAAAAUAAAUAAAAAUAAAUAAAAUAAAAAAAAGAAAUUUUUUUUUAUAGUUUUCAGAUUAUAUGAUUUUAGAUUCGAAAUUUUUAUAAUAUCUUUUUUUCAAAAAAAAUUUCAAAAUUUUUUUUUAUUUUUUUCAAAUUUUCUUUUUAUAAUUUAAAAAUACUUUUUGAAACUGUUUUUAAAAUUUUUAUUUUUUAUUUUAGUAUUUGUUUUUUAUAAAUUUUUAAACCUUAAUUCCAAAACCUCGCCCCUUAAAUCUAAACCGUAAUGUUUUGAUUAAUUAACCAAAGAGUAUAAGUGUAUAUUUACCUCUUUAAUGAAACCUAUUUUUGUGACUUUGAAACUUGAGUGCUACUUUGGGAACAAAAACUUGGUUUUGGUUUGAUGCUAUCCUAGUCUUUUUCUCAAUGAUCGAAAAAUCCAUCACCUAACUAAAAUAGCAAAAUAGUUCACUUGUGAAGCACAGCUACAAGUAACAAAACAUCAUAUGGAUUUGCAUUUUCCAAAAAAUGCAAUUCCUAAGUCUUGCUUGUUGACACAGCAUAGAAUAAUCUUCAGAAACCAACAUAUAUCUAUAAUCUGUUGUGGGGCUAUAUACAGUUUCUCUCAUACUAUCCCUUCCUCCUCACCUAAAUCUAUUUCUCAUCAGUUUGGACUCUGCUUUUAUCUCAACUCCACAGAGAGAGAGAGAGAGAGAUACACCAAAAUCCUAUCAUUGUCGAGAAUGUUAACCAUUUACAUUUCUCUUGAUGUUUCUGAAAGUGUCAAUGCACGAUUCAUCAUCUCCUCCUAGCUUUCCUUUUUCUCAUCUACACUAUUGUUGUUGUCUUCACUGCUUCUAGCGUUCUCAGGUUCUUUAGCUUCACCGCCAUCUCUCUCUGUGGAGAUCUUGUUUCCUUCAAUUGUUGGACAGAGCUUCGGUUUUUUCUUACACUCAUCUUGCUCAUCUUCUCUGCAACGGCAUCUCUUCUCCCUUCCCUUCACUGAGUCUUCUGUCUGUUUCUGUGUUUUAUUGUCUUCAUCAUCAUCUUCGUCAUCCUCAUAAUCAAGCACGCGUUCAGACCUAUGUCAUUAAUAGAAAUCAGCACUCAAAUCCGUUAACCCUCUACUUGUUGCAUUGUGACACACCUUCUAUAGAGAGAGGGUAGAGAGAGAAAAAUACCUCAAAGGAGAAGAACUUGCAGCUUCUCCAUUGGAACUAUGGGGAUUAGCUUCUUCUUUCUGUGUACUAGAAUCAAAAGCUGACUUCUCUCCAUCGCUGUUAGUAUACAACGUAUGUGAGAAAAGGUCAAGAGAAAAACAAAACAAAAAAUCGAUUAAUGUUUUGAACACUCUAGGGGAUGCAUGCACCUGUUUCCUCUCAUGUCGACUGGAUCAGUGUUGCUCUUUGGUCCCAAACUUUCUAUGCACUGAAGACACAUUACAUUGUUAGAACAAAGACUACUGUAGGAAAAUUUCCAAAGUGGAAGUUGGAUCGAAGAAUGAUAAUACCUGCUCAUUUUUUAAAGCCUGGAUGGAGGUCCGGUGCUCAAAUGGAGCCAGCUGGUCCCAAAAUGUAUCAACUACGUAUUUGAGCAACACAGUUGCCUUUGCCUGCACACAAAAAAAACUGUGAUAUGUACGGAGGAACACCACUAAGAAACAAAUUGAGAAGAGGAUGAAAAUAGAUACCUUGCGUAUGUGCUCAAGAAGCGCCAAGAUAGAAGAAAUCAGCAAAUCGUCAUGAUUACCACCGGCAACAAAAACAUCUAUGAUCGGUUUCAGCAAGUUUUUCUUUACAACGUAACUCUGGACACUCUCAUCCUGAAGUAGAACAAUACUUUUUUUAGAACUUGCAUACCCAUCAUAGUCGUCCCAGAAGCUUUUGUAGCGCCAUUAUAGAAACUGAUUUCAUCCAGUUUUCUAUAACAUGACAUGUGAAACUGAACUACAACUUGCCAACGUAAUUUUACGAGAAUCAAAAAAUUUAAUACAAAGAAGAACAUCUGAGCCUCAGUUUUCAACUAAAACAGAUAACCAAAUUUCAUCCUGUCAGAUUCAUUUUCAUAUAAGUAUAACAAAAAAUGCUGACCGAAGACUACUUACAAGGACAGAGAGGAGAGUGCGGAAAAAUCGAACAGCCGCAGCCACUAUGGAUUUCUCCUUUCUUCGUGUGAGAAACAAAACCUUUUCUGUCGCAUUUUGAAGGAGAAAACUGCAUGUGGCAGACAAGAGAAGUAAAUGCACAAGAAUACUAGAUAGCUACUGUAGUGUAGGUAAAACAGUAAAAUGGUAAUCAUCAUAAAAAGGUUACGUUGUCCUUGAUGGAUCAUGCUGAACGCAAAAGCACAGCAAUUCACAAAUGUUCAGUAGGCUGCUAACUCUUCCGGGUGUACUUUCAGAUGUAUCGCCAGGCUUUUCAGGACAUGAGGUAGUAAUGAAAUUAACUAACUCAGGUAUAUGCUUCUCACAGAAAAUAUCCAUAAUAUUCGCUCCCUGCAAACAAUGAUAAAAAGUUACCAAAGAAUUAUGUUUAAUAGAAGGCAAGAUGUCUUGCAGAUAAAGAAAGAAAGAAAGAAAGAAUAAUAAAGUAUGCACCUGAGCUCCAGCAGAUAAGGCCCUUGAAGCCAAUAAAAUUCGAAAAAUUUCUAGCAUCUUAACACCAAAAUCUUCCAUCAAUCCCUUAACCUAUCACAGAUAAUGAGAACCAAUUAUUUUCUAAUAUAGAAAGAAACAGUGAACAGCCUCGCAGCCGAAAACAAAAACAAUCCAAAAGAGAACAGACUUUAAGAAAAAAUUACCAGGAGACCAAGGAGGGGAGUUUCCGGUUUAACAAGAUAGGAGCGUAAGAGUUUGGGAUCUGCAGUCAAGAAAAUGAGAAGGAUAUCUGCCCUGCAUCCAUUAUACAACAAUAGAGCUGGAAAUUAUUUACCGAGGGGAUAAUUAGCUAUCAAGUAUAAUUAAUUAGCUAGAGGUGAUUAUAUACGAUGCGUGUUGCGUGUCUGGAAGCUGCAAGACUUCUCCUAUUACGUCAAAAAUUCCUUUAUCUAUAAGUUCCCUACACACAUGAUUAAGUAGACAGAAAUCUCAAAAGCGUGAAGUUAUAAUCAUAGAAUUGUAAUGCAAUAGCUGCUACACACAUGAUCAAUUUCAGAAGACUAAUUCUCAGUACCAAUAGAUUUAGUUUCCGAAAAGUACAUACUUAAAGAGCCGUAGCUUCAGCUCCAUCUCAAGGCUCUUGCUUAGACUGCAAAACUCGUGCAAGAAAUGUACCUAUAUUUUGAAAGAAAAAAAAUACAUCAGUCUAACUCACCCAAGAAACAAUUUGGUUUUGAUGCUAUAUCAAGAUCAUCUACUAUCAGGCUAGACAAGAACGGCUCUAGUUUCUCGACAGCUACAUCACUGUUUACCCAAAAUACAAUUUCCUUCAACAGAUUUUUGCUACAGCUAAUGCCUACAUAGCCGAAUAGGUGUAGAGACACAAAGGUUUCUAACUAACAAAACCUUUUUCAUACAAUAAUCCAUAAAUCUUUAAAAAUAUAGAAACUUAAGAAAGCGACGCCCUCAUGAUGCCAGGACAUACCAAAUCACUCUUAGAUUCCACAGAUGUGGAAGGUGACCGUAACCUUGCAAAUAACUCUUGAAAGAAGUUGCUGUCAUCCUUCAGCAAUGUAACAAUCUGAAAAAUAUGGGGGUGCAUAAUAGCAGUUCUGAUACUUUAUUAUAUGCAUUCUGUUACAUAUUAAAUUAGAUAAUGUUUAUUUGGAUGACUUACAGCAGCUUUGUUUGCAUUGAUUAUCGAAUCUAGGCUUGUAGCUGUAGCAUCAUCUACUACUCUACUCAAAAUAACAUCCUGUAAGAAAUGAGAGAAAUGAGACAUUUUCUGAAGAAUAAAAUGUUUUCAGAAGAGUUCAUGGGACUGAACCUUCAGAUAACCAAUUCUGUAUGUUUGGUGUAUCUUCGACAGGACCAUGGGAUUCUUAAUUGGUAUAGCCUGCCAACAAUAAUGGGAUUUAAUAAUGUUUUCAAGUCUCAGUUUUUUUUCAAAUCAUUUGCAAGGUUAUGGUCACGAAUAACAUACGAGAACAUUGUAUUACCUCCUUAAAAACAACAUGCGUUGUCACAUCAUUCCGGUAAUGUAGAGACUGCGGAGCAUCGGGAUCAUCUGUGAGGAGAAACAUAGGUAAUAAGUUAAUUAGAGAAAACAGCAAGAAAGCUGUAAUAUUGUAUUAAGAAAACAUACAAGGUCCCCUUCGUAGUCAGUGAAAAUUAAGAAAAUUAAAGUUCGACCAGAAGCAUUAAGCUUACACUCAAGGCUACCAAUAACUUUCAUGAUUAGGCUAUCCCCUAAGAUUUUCUCCAGGAUCUGAUGACUGUUGAGAGAAACUGCAUAAGAAUAGGAAAAAAAAUGCUGCUUAUUAUUACAUAAAAGUUAGUAAUUCGAAUGAGAAAGAAAUGAUGUUGAGAUGUAUGCGAAUCCUAACUGAUGCCCUUGACAAUGUUGAACAUCAUGUGAAGGCAAUCAAGUUUUUCCAAGUCCUCACACAUUUCAAAUACAUUCAUCAAAUUGUCAAAGAACUUAACCUGCAUCGAGUAUCAGGAAAGAAAGAAGGUUAAGCAAAAUAUCUUACCAAAAAAAACGUAGAGCUUAGGAAGGCACAAAAUACUUACAUCCUUCAACAUAAGUCCGGCUAACCGCAUCUGACCUUUAAUGCCACUUUCAGUAACAAUCUGCAGGGAAGACGGAAACAAAAUACUUGAAAUUAUCGACAAAGUAGAGACCUAGAAUGCCAAUUCGGGACAUUCAUGGUACUGCUUAACACAAGAAACUUCCACAGAUAGAAAACACACACUGACGGUAUAGUUAAGGAUGAUAACAUACAAUUGUAGGCAUCCGAUAGGUAAUCAAGGGAAAAAAUAAAUAAAGUCUCAACCCUUACAGUAGAUAUUACAAUUAGGGCUGUUUUGUUGCAGUUAUCAACACCAAUGAGAAAUGUAAAGAAGAGCAAAGCAUCUUAACUGACCACAAUACAAAGAAAUCACAAGAUGAGUAUUAUCUUAGAACCUCGAGUAUUUGGGGAAGAUUAGAAAUAUCGACAUCAGGGAGCUCCCUCAGCUCAGUGCUCACUGUUCAAGCAAAGAUGAUAUUAUUGUCAAGCACAAAAUUCGUGACAGAUUCAUAAAAAUAUACAGUGUUCCUUUAUUUAUUUCCAAAUACUUUAAAGUCCAAAUUUUGACAGAUGGUGCACAAAAUCUGAUAACUCUAUGCAGGUGAACCUCUUGAACUACUAUUACAGAAAAAAUGCAAACUUCAAACUCAGACUUAUGACACAUUUAACAGAAUACAUAUGAGAAAAUGAGAAAGCAUGUGAUAAGAAGAAAAUCAGACUAGUACAAGAGUUGAACAAAUACUACACAUACGGGCAGGAAAAACUCUUACUGUUAAGAGAACUGAAAUGUAGAUUCCGUUGCAUAGUGCAUAUAUGAUUCCUGAAUACGAUGAAGCACCAUUUUUGCAGUCAAUAGAAUGAUCUCCAAAAUGGAAGCUCGUCCAAAAGGAAAUUCACUUACCAUAUAUGAGAGCAUCCCGCAGUCUCUUGAAAGCUCAAAGCCAAUUCUGUUGAGCCCUCUGGCUCUCUCCAUGAGAUAAUAGUGUCUGUACAUUGACACAGAUAUCACUUAUCCAAACUCAAGGAAUAGUUAAUAAAAAAACAUAAACGGCUACCUUCUUGCUUCCUGUAGAUAUCAUCAGUGCUGAUCCGGUGAACGAGCAACGUCUCAUGAUCAUCUUCAUCAACCACAUAUAGACCAAGUUCUUCUGAUCUCUGCAUUAUAUAUCAUUUCCAUUAAGCUACAAGUCUCUACACUUCAGAAUCCUGAGAGCAGGGGAGAUAUAGAAGAAACCUCCACAUAGUCCAAACUGAUGAGUCCAGUUCCUCGAUCAUCCCAUUUACCAUCUUGGUCCAAGCAAUAAACCUUCACUCUCUGAACAAUAGGGAACAAGUAUGAGAUUGGUACUGUAAAUGUGAGCCUAUGAAGCUUAUAGACUGUUCUAUGUACAUUCAAUAGCGAAUCUAAACUUCUCAAUGCACAUUUGCUAUCAGUUAUAGUCUAUAGUACACUAGCCAAUCUUAUGUACUUCUUCUGAAUGCGAAUUUGCUAUCAGUUAUAGUCAACAGAACGCAAAUCCAGUGAAAAUCAUCUUCGAGAUUCUCAGAUUCAGAAUCGAAAUCGCUGCGUAACUACGACACGAACCAAAUCGCAAUCGCUGCGUUACUACGGUACAACUAAGAAUCGAAGAACCAAGAAAACUUAUAGUCACGAAUCUACGAGCACACACUCGAAUCUCAUUUUCUCAGUUAUCUCUCUUCCGCGCAGGCUAACGAGCAAAAAGAAAGAAAGAAAGAGAGCGCACCUGCGUCGAACUAGUGUUGGAUUGCGCGUCUCCCGGGGCGGCCAUAGCUACCUUUUCCCCCCGCCGUAGAUCUCGAAUCGAGACGGUGAAGUCAGUACGGUGGCGAAAUUAAGGGUUCUUGAGAGUAUAAGAGGGAGUAGUAGAGGAGAAGCGGGAGAUGAAGUUUGUUGAGGAGGUGACGAGCGAGAGAGAAAAUCAACAGAAGAAACUUGUAACGGCCUGUUGACUAAACGUUGACCAGAGAAAGCUUAUUGAUAUUUCUUCUCUCUCUAGUUUCUCUCUCCUCACUUGUAAUUGUAUGGAAUCGAUUGUGUUUUCUUUUUUCUUUCGUCUAUUAUUGUUCCGUUCCUGCGCACAAGCUUCUUCCUAACGCAGUGAAGAAAAUAAAGAAGGAAACAAAAUUAAGCAAAAUAUUUGUAUACAUAUGCAUCGAUUUUAAAUUCUUAUAUAUAUCAACUAUCUUUGAUUACGUGAAAUUAUAUUGUCUGCAUAAUUAAGGGAUGACAUAGGUUUAGGUUAAGAAUUAUUGUCUGCGCACACCUUGCACGGAAUAAAUAUUAUAUUUACUAUUUUUAUGUAUUAUAUAUUUUUAUCAUAUUUUUAAAAUAAUAUAAUAAAUACAUAUUGAAUAAUUAAAAAUCAGUAACUACUACAUAUAUAACUAAAUUGGUGUAAACAAAUAAAUAAAUUUUAUAAAUCCAAACAAUCACCUUUUUAUUUUAUAUAAUAUAUAAUUAAAUUUAAAUAACAUUAAAAUAUAUAUAGUGUAUUUUUUUAAAUUGAAAUAUAUUAAAUGAUGCUUUCUACUCAGAUAAUUUUUUGAUAAUUAGUAUAUUUUUAUAAAUAAAAAUUUAAAUAACUCAUAACAAAUUUUUCAUUGUGUGAUUAAUAGUUAUAGUAAUUUAUAAAUUUUUAAAAAAUUAAAGGCUAAGUUUAAAAUUUAAAUAUUAAGUUGUCAAUAUUUUUUAAAAGCUUUUACCAAAAAAUAAUUUUCAAAGCAAAUUUUGCAAUUAAAAUAUUUAUGUAUUUUAAUAUGGUAUAUAGUUUAAUUUAAAUGAUAUUAGUAUAUAUAUAUAUAUGUCUUUUACACUUAAUAUUUAUUAAAUGAAAUUUCUUACUUAUAUGAUUUUGUAAUCAUUUGUAUUUUAUCAUAACAAAAAUUUAAACCAUAUAUCAUAAAAAUUUGAAAGUGCGAUUUUUAACAGUUUUACUAAUUUACUGUUGUUUAAAAAAAAAUCAAAAUAUAACAUAUACAAAAAAUCUAAUUUUUAUUAUAUGGUUAAUGUAGUUGUUUAUUUAUUUUGUUAAUUUAAACUUAAAAAAUAUGAUAGAGAAUACACUAAUUUAUAUCAAAUCUUAUUUAUUUAGAAUAAUUUAUAUAUAUAUAUAUAUAUAUACUUUAGCUAUAUUAGGAAAUUCUGCAAUUUUUAUUUAAGAAAAGAAUGAAAAACAUUCCAAGCCAACAACGAGGUAUAUGUCCAGAAGACAUCGACCUCAAUGAAUAACUAUUGAUCCAUCAACUAGACAUGAUCGAAGAACGACGAGAAAAGGCGGUAGUACGUGUACAAAAUUACCAACAAGCCGCGGCACGUUACUACGACUCCAAUGUAAGAAACCGCGUCUUUUCCGUAGGAUACGGCUACGGGUGACAUGGUUUCGUUCGCGACGAUUUCAUGAGCAGAAUCCGAGGAGCUCUCUUCAGACGGCGUGUCGGGCCUGCCAAGAUAACUUGGAUGCGGCGACGGUUGGCCUGUUGCUCAUCUUUGGGGGUUGCGUCGCGAUCAUGAGCGGCCGCAGCAUCAUCGGUACCUUGGCUUUUGUGGGAGGCGUCAUGUUCGACUGUCGAUGAGUCUUCUUCCCCUCUUUCUUUUCCUAGUUUUUGUCGUUUUUGGUAUUUCUCCUCGUGGGCGGCUCGACUUUGACGGUUCCGGUUUUGAAACAAGUGAAAAGAAGGAGGUGGAACCGCUCCGGCGGCCGUUGAGGGAUCUUCCUCGGUUGAGUGGUCCCAAACAUUCCAGCCUUUUUCGCGCACAACCACAACCGAAUCUGGGAGCUCCUCUUCGUUGACAACAUAGAGGAACUUCUUAUGUUUGCCUUUAUCGCUGGAGGAGUGUUGACGUGGCUCUAGACGGGUGUCACAACUCUUGGCUGGAGCUGGCUUGGUUACGUUCUAAAUUCCGAGAAUAGUUCGGGUAUCCUCCUCCAUUUUGAUGAAAUUACGAGAUAGAGGUCGUCGCGGAAUUUAGAGUGGACAAUGAGUGUGUUUCGUAGGGCUUCGAUCGCGACGUCGUCGGGGACGUUGACCGCUGAAACGAGGAGUUUAAACUUUUCCAUGAAGUCGCACAACGUCUGUCCUUGGGUUUGUAAGAGUUUCUAGAGAUCGGAGGCCGUCGCGCCUUGUCGUGAGAACAUUAUGUAAUGCUUGAGGAAGUCGGCGGAGAGGUCGUGGAAACUGUCGACGGAGUUCUCGGGGAGUCUGGAAAACCAGGUUAGGACCGCGCCGUAGAGACUUUCAAUGACGUACAGAAACCUGCCUCCCUCUAAUGCUCGGUGAGAUUCGCGCAUCCCAUCGCGAUGUUGAACACCGUCAUAUGGUCGCUUGGGAGGCGGAAUUUCUCGAACUUGAGGCGGAGUUGCUGAUGCGUUGUGUGAAUGGGGUUUUAAGCGUUGCACUGAGAAUGCUGUCGAUUAGCGGGGCCGAGCUCGUGACGUGGUGUAGUUUAUAGUGGAUAUUCUGCAGGGAGAGCUUCAGCUCGGCGAUCUCGCGGACGGUCGCCGGGUCCGCGUUGCUCUGGCUUCGUGCAUCAUCGCCAGGUGCAUUGUCUGCUGGGUGCUCGUCUUCGCGAGUUACACGGUCUGUGUUAAAGAGCUGCUUUUGGAUGCUAGUAGCACCAGUUGGGGGUCCUAGGGCCGUGACGAUGGCGGCCAGUUGCUCGUUUGUCGCUUUCUGUGCUUCCUCGUGCUGGAUGAAGCGUGCAAUGACUGUACUCAUGUACUCGGUCAUGUUUGGUCCCGCGGCCGCGGGAGUUGGCUCUGGGUCGUCGCUGGAGGCUGAACUGCUGAGAGUCAUGCCGAUUUGUUAACGAUGUUUUGUUCCGCCCCACGGUGGGCGUCAAUUGUUUGAACCGAGUUUGGUCGAAACUCGUAAGAGAGAGAUGAAACUCAUCGGUGGGUUAGUUCAAAGGCAUUUUUUAUUGAUCGGUAGACAAGACGUGUUACAAAAGAGGAAAGUUUGGUCAGAAAUAAGUUGAAGCUCAGAGAGCGAGGGCCGGAAAAUUACAAGAUGGCAAGAAUAUGAAGAGUCAAAACCCUCGAUCUAGCCGUCAAGUGAAUAUGUGGAAAAUGUUCGGAUCCCCUCUUUGGUUCCUUUCGCUCUCCUUUUAUAAGCCAGUCCUGGCCUCCCUCCCAUUUGACCUAAUGGGCAUGUUGCCCCCAGGCCGGUAGUCGGGCCAAAAUAUCUCGCUCAGUAGAGCUGAGUAAAGGCUUAAUCUCUUGACGAGGUCAGGUUGGUAUCCAGGACAGGCGGCUCUUCGGUGGGAUUAGCUGACAGAGCCGAGCUCCUAGGCUGGCUUGCUGGGCCGAUUCUCCAUUUCCUCGGGCCUUAUGAAUGGGCAUGAUCUAGCCUAUACAACACCCACGCUGCACCACUGUUCUGAGAAAAGUCCACCCAAAAGGAAGCCACAUUGCAUUUGACUAAUCCCAUAGUCCAUAGGAGGUUUCUGCCAUCUAUUAGGAGAUCCCACUUCUCCAGAUGGUGGUAUGAACCCUCAUCAUUUUGUAACUACAUAUUCAACGCGCAUCAUUCUCGUGUGGAAGCUUUUUACUUUAGCCCAUCAGCUGAUAAAGUUCAGCCACACAUAAUUCAGAGAAAAGCCAUCAAGAAACAAAACAAAGCCCAAGUCUUCCUCGCCACUUCACAAUGGAAUAAGACGUGACAGAUAGUUUCAGUGUAUAGCCCAUACCUAGUACAGGUCGGAACCAACAUAAUACCCUGAGAUCUUAGACCAUUUUUGACUGCCAAAGCUCCAGACAGAUCCCUCCACAUGAAAUGUCUUAUUUUAGGAGAUGUUUUAGUUUUCCAUAGAUCUUUCCGUUGGAGGAAGGCUUGGUUCCGAAGGAGAUUGCUGUAAUUGCAGCACUUCAGCCAGCUUAUAUCUAGGCCUAGAAAUAUGAGUCUUUACCCGCGAAGACCGGUCCGUUUGAGCCGUAGCGGGGCGGGUCGAACAAUUUAGAAAAAUCGAUUCGCGGAUGCGGAUGCGGAUGCGGAUCCUGAGCAUUUUAUGCAGGGUGGGUGCGGGUUGGUGGAUUUUGAAACGCGGGUACCCGCCAACAUUUUUUUUGUAAAAAUGUAUAUUUUGUAAAGAAAAUAUGGAAAUUUUAAAAAAUAAUAAUCAAAAUAUUUUAAAAUAUUUAAAAUUUGAAUUAUGAAUAUAUUAUUUAUAUAAUAUUUUGCAAAAAAAAAAAUAUUUUUUAAAAUGAAAAUAUAAUCCGCGGGUCCCGUGGGUGCAAAAUUAAUCGGGGCGGGUACGGUUACAAAUUUAUUUGUUUGCGGGUUGUGCGUAUCAGAUAUAUUGACAAAAAAAACUUUGUAACCCGCGGGUUGAUGGAUCAGUAGGGCGGGUUUGACCCGCAACCCAGCCCUACUUUUAACCACUUUUCGCAUAUAUUGUUUUGUUAACUAUUAAAUCAAUAAACAUGUAGUAAAUGUUAAAAGCGUGUCCUACUUGGAUGACGUAUGUUCGAUCCCACGGGGGCGAUAAUGUAAGAACCCGCGUCUUUUCCGUAGGAUACGGCUACGGGUGACAUGGUUUCGUUCGCGACGAUUUCAUGAGCAGAAUCCGAGGAGCUCUCUUCAGACGGCGUGUCGGGCCUGCCAAGAUAACUUGGAUGCGGCGACGGUUGGCCUGUUGCUCAUCUUUGGGGGUUGCGUCGCGAUCAUGAGCGGCCGCAGCAUCAUCGGUACCUUGGCUUUUGUGGGAGGCGUCAUGUUCGACUGUCGAUGAGUCUUCUUCCCCUCUUUCUUUUCCUAGUUUUUGUCGUUUUUGGUAUUUCUCCUCGUGGGCGGCUCGACUUUGACGGUUCCGGUUUUGAAACAAGUGAAAAGAAGGAGGUGGAACCGCUCCGGCGGCCGUUGAGGGAUCUUCCUCGGUUGAGUGGUCCCAAACAUUCCAGCCUUUUUCGCGCACAACCACAACCGAAUCUGGGAGCUCCUCUUCGUUGACAACAUAGAGGAACUUCUUAUGUUUGCCUUUAUCGCUGGAGGAGUGUUGACGUGGCUCUAGACGGGUGUCACAACUCUUGGCUGGAGCUGGCUUGGUUACGUUCUAAAUUCCGAGAAUAGUUCGGGUAUCCUCCUCCAUUUUGAUGAAAUUACGAGAUAGAGGUCGUCGCGGAAUUUAGAGUGGACAAUGAGUGUGUUUCGUAGGGCUUCGAUCGCGACGUCGUCGGGGACGUUGACCGCUGAAACGAGGAGUUUAAACUUUUCCAUGAAGUCGCACAACGUCUGUCCUUGGGUUUGUAAGAGUUUCUAGAGAUCGGAGGCCGUCGCGCCUUGUCGUGAGAACAUUAUGUAAUGCUUGAGGAAGUCGGCGGAGAGGUCGUGGAAACUGUCGACGGAGUUCUCGGGGAGUCUGGAAAACCAGGUUAGGACCGCGCCGUAGAGACUUUCAAUGACGUACAGAAACCUGCCUCCCUCUAAUGCUCGGUGAGAUUCGCGCAUCCCAUCGCGAUGUUGAACACCGUCAUAUGGUCGCUUGGGAGGCGGAAUUUCUCGAACUUGAGGCGGAGUUGCUGAUGCGUUGUGUGAAUGGGGUUUUAAGCGUUGCACUGAGAAUGCUGUCGAUUAGCGGGGCCGAGCUCGUGACGUGGUGUAGUUUAUAGUGGAUAUUCUGCAGGGAGAGCUUCAGCUCGGCGAUCUCGCGGACGGUCGCCGGGUCCGCGUUGCUCUGGCUUCGUGCAUCAUCGCCAGGUGCAUUGUCUGCUGGGUGCUCGUCUUCGCGAGUUACACGGUCUGUGUUAAAGAGCUGCUUUUGGAUGCUAGUAGCACCAGUUGGGGGUCCUAGGGCCGUGACGAUGGCGGCCAGUUGCUCGUUUGUCGCUUUCUGUGCUUCCUCGUGCUGGAUGAAGCGUGCAAUGACUGUACUCAUGUACUCGGUCAUGUUUGGUCCCGCGGCCGCGGGAGUUGGCUCUGGGUCGUCGCUGGAGGCUGAACUGCUGAGAGUCAUGCCGAUUUGUUAACGAUGUUUUGUUCCGCCCCACGGUGGGCGUCAAUUGUUUGAACCGAGUUUGGUCGAAACUCGUAAGAGAGAGAUGAAACUCAUCGGUGGGUUAGUUCAAAGGCAUUUUUUAUUGAUCGGUAGACAAGACGUGUUACAAAAGAGGAAAGUUUGGUCAGAAAUAAGUUGAAGCUCAGAGAGCGAGGGCCGGAAAAUUACAAGAUGGCAAGAAUAUGAAGAGUCAAAACCCUCGAUCUAGCCGUCAAGUGAAUAUGUGGAAAAUGUUCGGAUCCCCUCUUUGGUUCCUUUCGCUCUCCUUUUAUAAGCCAGUCCUGGCCUCCCUCCCAUUUGACCUAAUGGGCAUGUUGCCCCCAGGCCGGUAGUCGGGCCAAAAUAUCUCGCUCAGUAGAGCUGAGUAAAGGCUUAAUCUCUUGACGAGGUCAGGUUGGUAUCCAGGACAGGCGGCUCUUCGGUGGGAUUAGCUGACAGAGCCGAGCUCCUAGGCUGGCUUGCUGGGCCGAUUCUCCAUUUCCUCGGGCCUUAUGAAUGGGCAUGAUCUAGCCUAUACAACACCCACGCUGCACCACUGUUCUGAGAAAAGUCCACCCAAAAGGAAGCCACAUUGCAUUUGACUAAUCCCAUAGUCCAUAGGAGGUUUCUGCCAUCUAUUAGGAGAUCCCACUUCUCCAGAUGGUGGUAUGAACCCUCAUCAUUUUGUAACUACAUAUUCAACGCGCAUCAUUCUCGUGUGGAAGCUUUUUACUUUAGCCCAUCAGCUGAUAAAGUUCAGCCACACAUAAUUCAGAGAAAAGCCAUCAAGAAACAAAACAAAGCCCAAGUCUUCCUCGCCACUUCACAAUGGAAUAAGACGUGACAGAUAGUUUCAGUGUAUAGCCCAUACCUAGUACAGGUCGGAACCAACAUAAUACCCUGAGAUCUUAGACCAUUUUUGACUGCCAAAGCUCCAGACAGAUCCCUCCACAUGAAAUGUCUUAUUUUAGGAGAUGUUUUAGUUUUCCAUAGAUCUUUCCGUUGGAGGAAGGCUUGGUUCCGAAGGAGAUUGCUGUAAUUGCAGCACUUCAGCCAGCUUAUAUCUAGGCCUAGAAAUAUGAGUCUUUACCCGCGAAGACCGGUCCGUUUGAGCCGUAGCGGGGCGGGUCGAACAAUUUAGAAAAAUGUUUGACCCGCAACCCAGCCCUACUUUUAACCACUUUUCGCAUAUAUUGUUUUGUUAACUAUUAAAUCAAUAAACAUGUAGUAAAUGUUAAAAGCGUGUCCUACUUGGAUGACGUAUGUUCGAUCCCACGGGGGCGAUAUUCAUCCAUCUCCUUUGCUUAACUUGCACUCUCGGCUGUUUCUCGAUCACAACAACGACAGCAUCGUAUUUUUUGUUUUUUCAACUUACAUCUAAGCAAGUCCCCAACUAAAUUGUGUGGUUUUCCCACCCCCUUUAAUGUUUUUGUUCAUGUUCUUUUGCAAGGCUGUGGAUCAGUGAUAUGAUCAAAUUAAUGACUAGCAAUUAUUUUGCAACGAUAAAAGACAACGGGCACAUUAUCAUGACAAGGAUUGCACAACAUAACUUAAGUCGUGAUCAAGCAUAAAAAGGUACAAAAAAAAAGAAAAAGAGAGGAAAUAGAUAGUGGUGGUAACUUAGGUGGUGGAUACAGCUUUGCGUGAGCUCUUCUUCUUCUUCUUCUUCUUCUUCUUCUUUAGAAAAGCUUUGGGCUUGUGCAUCUUUGAACUUGAUCGGAGAUGCUUACCUAUGCGUAGUAGUGCAAGAAAAAAAAACAUACUGUGAGCGACAACAACGACCUGUACACAAACAAUAUUGAUAAUUAAAACAAAUAGACGACACCUUGAUGAGGCUUGGAGGGGCUACUAACGAUAUCAGACGACAACUUUUCCUGUCAUACAUAAAUGGUGCUGUAAUUAAUAAUCAAAUUAUUCUCAACCAAAAAAAAAACAAAAAAGAGAGGGAAAAGAGAGAGAGAGUAGAUUGUAUAACCUGUAUAUCAAUUUGGGAGACAAGAGUGGUCUGAUCCUGAUCAGAAGAUCCCUUUAGACUCUUAUCGGACUGGAUUAUUUGCAUACAGGUAGAACAACGUAGCAACGAGACUUGAGAACCUAGUGUUUUCUUCAUCCCGACCAAACUGUAUAAGAUUCGCAACAACAACCAUACAUAAUGUUAACAACAAAUACCAACAAUAUAUUACUGAGAGAAUAAUCAAAUUUACAAAUAAGACACCUCGGUGAUGGCGUCUGAGGCUUCGAGGUGCUAGCAACAACAUCAGACGACGACUUUUCCUGUUACAUAUCAUAUAAGUUGUUGUGAUUAAUAAUCAAACUAAUGGAUUUUCUCGACCAAACAAAAGAGAUAGAACCUGAAUAUCAAUUCCUGAGACAAGAGUGGUCUGAUCCUGUUCAGUUCCCUUCAGACUCUUAUCUGAUUGGAUCUCCACCGAGACUUGAGAUCCUUCACGUAGUUCGGCCAAUCUGAGCGCCAACAAAAACCAUCACCCACCAUUCACAUAGAUCUAUAUAUACUGCUAACUAAUUAAAUAAUAAGUAUCAAAAAUAAACGGACACCUCUUUUGUUGGAAGAGGUUGUGUUUGCGUACGGGAGGUCGGUAUGGACGAGGUUCUGUAAACGAAUUGGGUUCACAACGCAUUACCAUGCGGCAAAGACCUCUAGCCAUGACUAACUCUGCCUCCUAAACAAACUGACGAAGUCGGAAACCCUAGAUCAAAAUUUAUAUAUAUAUAUAUACACAAGAAUUUGGGCCUAUUCCAUGGUUUAUAUUCUUUAACUCCAAAUCUGGCCCACAGGUUUGGGCCUAUAAUUUGUUUAAUGCCCAAGCUUGCUUCAUUAUGAUUAAACGAACUGAAUUUAAAUCAUUCCAAUACCAAAAUCAAAAUAUUUGUUACACAAACAAAGGAAGAAGAAGAUGGAAAGCUUUCUCUCCCACCGGAAACUCCACCACCAGUUGGUAUUUGAUCUGAUCUAUAGUUGGUGGGAAAAGGGAGAUCCAACUGUUGGAAUUUAAACAAGUUGUUUUAACAAUUUAUAUAUAUAUAUAUAUAUAUACUAGGGUAAACCCGCCCUACGGGCGGGCAGGACAGGCGAAUAAACAAAAUAAUAAUACAAAUUUAUUUAAAAUCUCUAAUUUUUUUUUUUAAAUACCAUGUUCAUAAUUAUUUUACAACCAUUUUAUCUAUAUAUUUUAAAUUUUAUUUUAGAAAUUAUUAUUUUAUGUAUAUCAAUUACUAUGGUUAAAAUUGUUUGAUGUUAUAAUAUUCAACCUUAUAUUAUGCCGCGAUUAACUAUAUUUCAUAAUAUAAUGUUCAAAUAUAUUCUUAGAAUACUCUUUUAUUCUUCGGAUAUAUUGAGUCGAGUGAAAAGACAUUUUAAUAUUAGUCCAUUGUAUUUGUGCAAUAAUGCUAAUGAAUACUGUCAAAAAAUUGAACAACAAUCAUCGAUUUGGAAAAGGUUAAAUAUACAUAUAGAGAAAAAAAUAAGUAUAUAACUACCUAAUAUUUAUUUCAAUAUAUAAGACUCAACAUAAAAUGUCAUACAUCCAAAGAUUAGACAAAGACAUGUGUGAAUAAACACACAAAUCUGAAUCCAGAUCUAGUCUAAUCAAACGGACCUAAACAAUCUAUAUCAUCAUCACAAGUGUUCAGUUUUGAGCAGUCUGGCAGAAAAUAAACUGAAGUAAAAUUAAUCAAACCAUCAGAAGAUUGUUGGAAACCGUUAAUCGUGUAUUCAUGGUUUGGUCAAAAGCUAAUAAGAGCAUGAUUAUCCCUAGAAACUCAUUAGGUUUCUUAAUGAUUAUUUAAGUAUUAAAUUUUAGUUAAGGAAUUUAGUUAAGAAUCACCUAAUUUUCUUCCUCCAAUGGGAGUUUCUUAAUAAGGGGUUUCUUAAAAAAAAAAAAAUUAAAGAUAGGAUUGGAGAAAGAAUUCUCAACCAUUUGUGUGAUGUAGUUUUGAUUACCAUACAAAAACAAUUCUAAUACAAGCGUGUCUCAAGAACAGGGUCGUGCCUGAAUAUUAUGGGCCCUAAAGCAUUAAAAAAAUUUGGCCCUUAAAAUAUAAUAUUUUUGGAAAAAUGUCAAAAUUCCUAUAGUUCUGUUUGAACCCGGGGCUCUAGAGUAGUAAUGGGGACUGUUACCAACUAUGCUGUAGACAACUUUUACAAUAAAUUUGGCCCAUAAAACUAUUUAUCUAAUUUUUGGCCCCAAGCAGGUGCUUGAUUAUCCUCUAGUCAGGCACGGCCCUGCUCAAGAACACAAGAAUACAAGUUUUUAUUACCUCUCGAGCAGCUUGUACCGAGUGUCGUUCAAGUAAAACGACUGAGCGGUCUCCAUGAUCCAUUUCGCCUCCUCGUCAGUGAGUUUGCUUGUGAACACAACAUCACCUCGGAUAAACACCAAGUCUUUUGUCGCUCGAUGUAGAAGGUGCUAGUCAGGUAAGGAGCCGCUUGAGUUCCACCUUGAGCAAACAUUGUAACAUAACCAUUUCCUCUCCACAAUGGAAAUGGGUUGUAUCAAAUCCACCAUUUUCAUGUCAUAAGGCACAUGCUUCUCCUCCAUAGUCAACAACACCCUUUGGCAAAAAGGGCCUACCAACAAAAAUUAUGCAUAUACUCAAUUCGUGAAGUAAAAAAUAACCCUCGAGACUAGACUAGAAGCAAUCAAGUUUGCAUUUUUUAUAUUUCUAAAUUUGUUUUGAUAGUUUCAAAUUUCUAAACUAAGAAACAGUCUAAGCACAGUUUGACAAAAAAAAAAGAAACAGUCUCAGCACUAAUUAAGUUAACACACAAAAUGCUUUAAGUAUGUAUCUGCAAGGGAAAAUUAAGGAAAACAUGAAUAAAGAUUGCAGCUUUAUCAUCUACAUUUUAAAGUUGUUCGUCAAUAGAGAGAGAGAAAGAGAGCUAACAGUCUCCGAGCUUGUUGGGUGUAGUGAUGGAAGCUUUGACGCAGAUUUUGAGAGGAGCAGCCGCCAUAGCCAUCGUCCCGAACCGGGCGGUUCUUCUCGGCUUAAUCAAACCGCACCGCUUGAUAAAUCCUGCGCGACUGACCGACGCCGAUAAAACAACGGCGGUGCUUGGUUGAAACCUAAGGCUUAUUAGAGAGGGAGAGAGUGAUUUGGUAGCUGAAGAAACGAAAGGAGAGUGCUUUUGUUGUUAACUUAGGGAAAAUUGUAUCGUCCAGGGAGAGAAGUCAAAGGAGAUGGAGACGACGACAGAAGACGGAGAACACGAGAGAAACAGAAAAAAAAAAAUUGAGAUUUAGGAAAGAUUGACACGUGUUCUAAAAAACCCAUUCUAAAUCGGUUACAAAAGUCUCCUAUUAAGGAUCGACUACUCCCAUUUUAAUUAUUUUUGAUUUAAUUAAAUCCUUGAUUUUCUUAAAAACCCCACUUAAGGAUCUGGGAUAAGGAUCUGUAAUAAGAGUCCCUUCCUUUUUGUUUUUUUUUUCAAAUUGCCAAAACAAUCCAAUAACCCAUGCAGCUGGACAAUGGUGGACAAUUGGACACAAUCGAUAAAAGACGUAGUCUAAGACGGAAUACAUAAUGGAAAAAAGACUUGUAAAUUGCAGAGGUAAAAGAAAUCUCAUCCAAGUUCAAAACUUUUAUAAAAAAGAAGUAAACAACACAACCGAAGGAUAUUACUAAUGAAAUGAUCAAUAAUAGUAAUCAUGUGGGAACAAACUCAGAAGCCAAAAACUAAGUUAACUCUCUUCCUUUAAAUACUCAAAACAACAGUUUAAGAUGAUGAAGCCGCUGCCUUGUUCUUUGGCUUAGCUUCGGUACCUUCUCUGAUAUGGUCUUGAACCUGUGAGGCACAUUGCGAAGAUACCUAAUCGUUCCAGUUCCUGUAGUCUUUCUACGGAUUGCCUUCACACUCCAGUUGUAGGUCCUCUUGCGAGCGGCAGGGUAAGCACAGGUGGAGCUACAGCUCUUCUGGAUGUGGAAGCUGCGACGGCCACAUCUCACACAGAGAGUGUGACUCUUGUUCCUCCUCUUUCCGAAACUCCAUGUUCCCUUCGUCAUUUAAGCGGAUGCGCGUUAACAAAACUUUAACAAAAAUAUAAGGUAUAAUAUACUGCAAUCUAAAUCAGAGUUGUCAGCAAAAUCUAACACUUUUGAGAAAAAUGUAUAAAAGAAAAAUAAUACACAGGGGAGGGUGUCAAUAAACCGUAGGUAUGGCGACGGUGACAUAAACAAAACCGGUCUCUUCUGACCAACUAUCAUAUGUUGUGAGUACUGUCAAAAGAAUAUGUUCCCAAAAUUCUGUUUUUUUUUUGUGUUCCAAGAAAGAGAAUUAUGAGUAAUGGCUCUAAUAGCAAACCUCUGGACCAUCUGGAGUAUAAUAAGUUUGUUUAGACCAAGCUGUGGAUGUUUUCCAGCGAAUGCGGCCCCAUCUACCAAUUACAUUUUUUUUUGUGAAUCAGAAACAUUUCAUUAGAUUAGAUCAUAAUAAUUUAGGCACGGCAAACAAAACGUUAGGCUGAGGGUGGACUUUUCUGAAGAAUAAAUAAUAAGAAAUAAGAACCAAUAAAAAGCUUGGUCAUAGUAUUGGACGACUUGAUGCUGGGGAAGUUGCAUAGUUGAAUUUUAGAUCAAAUCAACAUAGGAGAGUCGGACAGUGACACCUGUUCGAAGCCAUAAGCUCGCCACCUUGUGAUUAAUCCUAACAAAUCUGAAAAGAGAAGGGAAGCUAUUUUUUUCCAUAUCACCGGAGUUACCUUAGCUAUAAGAAGAAGCAGAUGACUUUGGCGGUGGUGCUACAUCGACCGCUUUCAAGUAAGCUAGGAAGACAGAUGAGUUCGACAUUCUCCUAAAGGAAAGUUGUCUGAGUUGUAAUGGAUGAAAGGAUGAUGCUAAGGGAAUGAAGACUAACCUUUUUAUACACGGAGAAUCACCGACUGAAAGAGCAGGCAGGUGCAUUGAAUGAUGAAUCGUGGUAAGAGUGAGAUUUAGGAGUUAAGAUGGUCGUUAAUGACAACGACUAAAAGCAUCUCAGUCAUCCCGUAACGAUUCGAAUUCCCAAUACCACAAAAUAAAUACAGUCCAAAGGACAUAAACAACAAAUCGCUCAAGAGAUUUUUCGUAAGAAGUCGUCUCCCAUAACCUUCCAGAAUCUCCAUGGUCGUUUAUGAAAUCAGAACCUGAAGAACACGAAGAACCCUACAAAGCUAUGAAGCAAGUUGUCAAAGACGAAGAGGUGUUUAUUAGAUUUUAGAUAAUAGGUUCGACCAGUCGUUAUUAAAGAUUGGUGAGCCCAUUUAUAAGACUUGUAAAGCCCACAUAUAAAAGCCUAACACACUCGGGAAUUAAUGAAACGGAGCGUCUUGCUCGGAUAGACAGGUGUCGACUCCACAGCUUCCGAAUUGAUGACCUGGAAUCCGACGUGAACCCCCUAGGAGAGAAGGAAACCCUUCUUUAUAUAUAUAUAGAUAGAUAGAUAGAUAACUCCAUGCAUGCAACAACGAGAGAGAGAGAGAGAGAUUGAGAGAAAUAUAACUACUGCGUGGUAUAUCAAAUUUGUCAUUUAUUUUCAUUUUUCUUUAGUUUCAACAUCUUACAAGGGCUCCUUUUACAUUUUGGAGCCACAAGUUACAGUAUCUUUGGCAAUUGACACGAAAAUAAAAUUAAAAGAAAACACACACACAUACAAAGAAGCGAUCCUUUUGGUGCCUAUUUACGGAUAAAAACCUUUCUUGAGUAAUAAAUUCACAAGAAAAUAACCUAUCUCUUUUUUUUUUUUACGAAUAAAGAGUUAAACCCAAAUAUAUUAAAGACACAGACCUAACUCCCGGGUAGGAGGUGAAAAUAACCUAUUUCUAUAGUAAAAUGUGAAUAAGAAGUUGUCCUUAUUUUAUAUGCAUCCGUCAGAGUUGCGGUUGGACCAAAAUAGUAUGUUUAAUGUGUAACUUAUGUUCACCCAUAUUGGUAUUCUCCUCAUUCCAUACUCCCCACUACACCAAGAUGCUUGCAAGCCUCAAUAUCGACUUGAACGGUGCGUUUUGACCCCCUGCCGUGACAUGAACCUUCUCAAACGCUACCAACUGCUUGUUCACACCCAAUCCUUUUAUCCCGUUCUCCGGCGGCUCGGCAAAGGCGAACACCGUGUGAGUUUCAUCAAAUUCACCGGUGUUUGACACUCAACGUGGAGAUGCAUUUUUGGAAACGUUUCACAGUUGGCAUGAGACACUUUGAUAAUUGAGCUAGUGGGUUUUGAGCCAAACUGUGAGUGAAGGUAGUGUAACUUAAACCGAACCCAAAUGGAAACACCACUGGACCUUUGUAGAAACUGUAAGUCCUUCCUGGGUAGUUUCCAGAUGCUCUCAUUGUCAUUAUUGUGAUUGGAAGUUCUGUCACGUAGUCUUGUGGAUACCAUGUCAAUGGUAGUUUACCUCCUAUCAUAUUUGAUCUGAUUAUGUAUAUUAUGUUUUUAGUUUCUUAUAGAUUUUGUUUUUAAUUUCUUAUACACUUUUUUUGGGGUAAAAUUCUUAUACACUUUCUUUCUUAUAUACUUUGUUUUCUCUCAUUUGUAUGAUUCUCUUGCCUUUAGAUAAUUUUGUAAAAAUCAUGAUGUUAUUAGAUUGUAAUUUAGAUAAAUCUCAUGUUUAUAAUCUUUACUAUUAUCACAAUUCACAGAUUCUUAAUUCAAUUUGACUAAAUGCACCAAUAUUAGCUUUAACAUCUUCUGAUCUGUUUGGCUAUACUCUGGAUUUAUUUUGUUCCAUUCACAUUCAUUUUUGAUUAAGUUAAUGAUCCAUUUCAACAAGUAUUUGACUAUUUGUGAACAAUCAUGGCAUCUAAGCCGAAACAAACUCUAACUAACACUACAAGAAAACAGCGGUAUUCCGACGGACAUUCCGACGGAAAAUGAAAUCCUCGGAAUAUCCCGAGGAAUUUCCGAGGAAAUUCCGAGGAAGCACAAAAUUGGGUUUCCUCGGAAUUUCCUCGGAAUAUACCGACGGAAUUCCGAGGAAAUAUCAGUCCGUCGGAAUAUUCCGAGGAAAUUCCGAGGAAAAAUGUGUUCCUCGGAAAAAACCGAUGAAUUCCGAGGAAAUAUUAUAGCCGUUGGNNNNNNNNNNNNNNNNNNNNNNNNNNNNNNUAGGCCUGGGCAUUCGGGGUCCCAAUCGGGUUUCGGUUUUAUCCAAUCGGGUUUCGGUUUUUCGAGUUUAUCAAAAUCAGCCCCAUUCGGAUUAUAUGAAAGUUCGGUUCGGGACCGGUUCGGAUUCUAUCGGGUUCGGGUCGGGGUUAGUAAAUCUUCAAAGAACCGACACAAUCCAAUAUACUUUCGGGUUCGGGUCCCAAUCGGUUUUUCGGUUUAAAAGUACCUGAUUUUUACCUAUUUUAUAACCAAAACAUGAGUAAAAUCACUUCUUCAGUUUUAAAAUACUUGAUUCGUACUUAUUUUGUAACCAAAACUUAAGUAAAAUCGAUUCAAAAAUAAGGAACAUCAACCAUGAUCAUUCAAAAUCAAACGAAAAGUAAACGUAUUUACUGAUAAAAAGAAAACCAAAUAAAUAAAAUCAUAAAACGAAAACCAAGUUGAGAAACAUUGUUUAACGAAAACAAAAUCUAAAUCUAAAUACUUUAAAAUUUAACGGCCAUCUUCAACCAUCAACCUUAAUGUAACAAAACCACCAACAUUUAUGUAAUAGAACCACCAACCUUCAUGUAAUAGAUAAGUAUUUUAGAUGUCCAAUAUUUCUUAGUGUAUUUUGGAUACAUAUUAGGAAUUGAGAUCAUGUUUGGUACAAGAUCUUUUCGAGGUUUUGAAUGUUUCGGGUUCUAUCGGAUAUCCAUUUAGAUUCGGGUUCGGUUCGGAUAAUACCCAUAACCCGAAAUACCACAAAACAAGAUCCAUUCGGUAUUUACGUCGGGUUCGGAUCGGUUCGGAUUCAUUUUUAUCGGAUCGGAUUCGGUUCGGGUUAUCGGGUUCGGUUUAUUUGCCCAGCCCUAGGUGGAGCAACAGCUCUUCUGGAUGUGGAAGCUGCGACGGCCACAUCUCACACAGAGAGUGUGACUCUUGUUCCUCCUCUUUCCGAAACUCCAUGUUCCCUUCGUCAUUUAAGCGGAUGCGCGUUAACAAAACUUUAACAAAAAUAUAAGGUAUAAUAUACUGCAAUCUAAAUCAGAGUUGUCAGCAAAAUCUAACACUUUUGAGAAAAAUGUAUAAAAGAAAAAUAAUACACAGGGGAGGGUGUCAAUAAACCGUAGGUAUGGCGACGGUGACAUAAACAAAACCGGUCUCUUCUGACCAACUAUCAUAUGUUGUGAGUACUGUCAAAAGAAUAUGUUCCCAAAAUUCUGUUUUUUUUUUGUGUUCCAAGAAAGAGAAUUAUGAGUAAUGGCUCUAAUAGCAAACCUCUGGACCAUCUGGAGUAUAAUAAGUUUGUUUAGACCAAGCUGUGGAUGUUUUCCAGCGAAUGCGGCCCCAUCUACCAAUUACAUUUUUUUUUGUGAAUCAGAAACAUUUCAUUAGAUUAGAUCAUAAUAAUUUAGGCACGGCAAACAAAACGUUAGGCUGAGGGUGGACUUUUCUGAAGAAUAAAUAAUAAGAAAUAAGAACCAAUAAAAAGCUUGGUCAUAGUAUUGGACGACUUGAUGCUGGGGAAGUUGCAUAGUUGAAUUUUAGAUCAAAUCAACAUAGGAGAGUCGGACAGUGACACCUGUUCGAAGCCAUAAGCUCGCCACCUUGUGAUUAAUCCUAACAAAUCUGAAAAGAGAAGGGAAGCUAUUUUUUUCCAUAUCACCGGAGUUACCUUAGCUAUAAGAAGAAGCAGAUGACUUUGGCGGUGGUGCUACAUCGACCGCUUUCAAGUAAGCUAGGAAGACAGAUGAGUUCGACAUUCUCCUAAAGGAAAGUUGUCUGAGUUGUAAUGGAUGAAAGGAUGAUGCUAAGUCGGGUUCGGAUCGGUUCGGAUUCAUUUUUAUCGGAUCGGAUUCGGUUCGGGUUAUCGGGUUCGGUUUAUUUGCCCAGCCCUAGGUGGAGCAACAGCUCUUCUGGAUGUGGAAGCUGCGACGGCCACAUCUCACACAGAGAGUGUGACUCUUGUUCCUCCUCUUUCCGAAACUCCAUGUUCCCUUCGUCAUUUGAUUCGAAUUCCCAAUACCACAAAAUAAAUACAGUCCAAAGGACAUAAACAACAAAUCGCUCAAGAGAUUUUUCGUAAGAAGUCGUCUCCCAUAACCUUCCAGAAUCUCCAUGGUCGUUUAUGAAAUCAGAACCUGAAGAACACGAAGAACCCUACAAAGCUAUGAAGCAAGUUGUCAAAGACGAAGAGGUGUUUAUUAGAUUUUAGAUAAUAGGUUCGACCAGUCGUUAUUAAAGAUUGGUGAGCCCAUUUAUAAGACUUGUAAAGCCCACAUAUAAAAGCCUAACACACUCGGGAAUUAAUGAAACGGAGCGUCUUGCUCGGAUAGACAGGUGUCGACUCCACAGCUUCCGAAUUGAUGACCUGGAAUCCGACGUGAACCCCCUAGGAGAGAAGGAAACCCUUCUUUAUAUAUAUAUAGAUAGAUAGAUAGAUAACUCCAUGCAUGCAACAACGAGAGAGAGAGAGAGAGAUUGAGAGAAAUAUAACUACUGCGUGGUAUAUCAAAUUUGUCAUUUAUUUUCAUUUUUCUUUAGUUUCAACAUCUUACAAGGGCUCCUUUUACAUUUUGGAGCCACAAGUUACAGUAUCUUUGGCAAUUGACACGAAAAUAAAAUUAAAAGAAAACACACACACAUACAAAGAAGCGAUCCUUUUGGUGCCUAUUUACGGAUAAAAACCUUUCUUGAGUAAUAAAUUCACAAGAAAAUAACCUAUCUCUUUUUUUUUUUUACGAAUAAAGAGUUAAACCCAAAUAUAUUAAAGACACAGACCUAACUCCCGGGUAGGAGGUGAAAAUAACCUAUUUCUAUAGUAAAAUGUGAAUAAGAAGUUGUCCUUAUUUUAUAUGCAUCCGUCAGAGUUGCGGUUGGACCAAAAUAGUAUGUUUAAUGUGUAACUUAUGUUCACCCAUAUUGGUAUUCUCCUCAUUCCAUACUCCCCACUACACCAAGAUGCUUGCAAGCCUCAAUAUCGACUUGAACGGUGCGUUUUGACCCCCUGCCGUGACAUGAACCUUCUCAAACGCUACCAACUGCUUGUUCACACCCAAUCCUUUUAUCCCGUUCUCCGGCGGCUCGGCAAAGGCGAACACCGUGUGAGUUUCAUCAAAUUCACCGGUGUUUGACACUUCAACGUGGAGAGGAAUUUUUGGAAACGUUUCACAGUUGGCAUGAGACACUUUGAUAAUUGAGCUAGUGGGUUUUGAGCCAAACUGUGAGUGAAGGUAGUGUAACUUAAACCGAACCCAAAUGGAAACACCA
rnacentral:lncRNA from 1 species